UUGAUGAAGUUCUUUCUCACACUAUCGAAUCAUCCACAACCACAACUCUCUUUCCCUCCAACCACAACCUUACAGGAGAGACUCGAGAGAGCUUAAGCUUGACACCAAAGUCCCUAAUUUUCUGGGAAGGCUCAAUGAAAGUUCUCCCAACAUAAUGUGACCUUAUCAACCCUUGUUGAAAUGGCACCCUGGCUUUCGCAGCGUACUCAAGUGCAGCCACCACUCCAGAAUCUGGUACUGCAAUCACAACUUCACACUCAACAGGAGCCUCGGUAGCAAGUACUUCCCCAAAAUGAUACCUCGACUCAUAAACAGACCUACCAAAAACAACAGAAUUGGGCAAAGCAAAAUAAAUAUGCUCAAAGAUGCACUGCUUAGGUUCAGGGUGAGGCAUCAAACAAAGUGAUUGAACCCCAUCUUUAUCCACCAUCAAAACUUCACCGGGAUAUACCUCUCUCUCUCUCUCUCUCUCGUAAGUGGCCUCAAUCAAAUAGUGCACAAGUCUCUGACGCAAAAACCAGAGCACUAUUACUCCUCCUACCCAUCACCAACGGCAUAAACCCAUACGGGUCACGGACUGCAACAAACUUAUCCUCAGUAACAAACACCAUUGAAUAAGCACCCUCAAGCUUCUCACAAACAUCCACAAUCCUCAAAAAGAACGGCCUAGCUUUCGAUAUCGGAAUCAAAUGGAGAACAACCACAGUAUCAGAACUAGUAUUAAAAAUGGACCCAUUAUCUUCAAGCUUAGCCCUCAAAGUGUUAUAAUUAACUAAUGUGGAACACCAACAGAACCAAACCUGUACCCAGCAACAAAAGGCUGCACAUUCUUAAGCAUAGAACUACCCGCAGUCGAAUAUCUAACAUGACCAAUGGCCAUAUCACCCGGCAAUUGAUCAAGUUUAGACUGAUUAAACACAUCAGGGACUAAACCAACACCAGUAAUAGACUGAAGAACUUUCACAGCAACUAUACCUGCACCUUCUUGGCCGCGAUGCUGCAUCGCGUGUAGCACCAAAUAGCACAAACGGGAGGCCUCUGGGUCACCAUAGAUGCCCACAACACCACACUCCUCACGGGGCUUAUCGUCGUCGUCAUCAUCAAAACUGCCAAAACCGUCAUCUGGGUAUUCUUUAUUUGUGGUGAAAAACUCAGAGAUGGGGUUUUUUGAUAGAACAGUGAAGUUAUUUUUGUGGAUUAAAGAUUGUUGUUUCUGAGGGAAAAAAGGGUUUUUUUGCAGGGUUUUGGAGAAAAGAGAAACAUGGGUUUUUUGCGACGGCUUAGGGUUAGCAGAGGGAGAUGGGUUUGAGAGAGGGCAGAUAUUGGCGGUGCCUGUGGUUGUGGCUGCCAUUAAUGGCUGAAUUUAUUCUAUUUUAUUUUAUUUUUUGGGUUGCCUUGCUCAAAGAAAAAACAGAGGUGGUGUGUGGAGGGAGACAGUGACGAAGGGUACUUUAAGUCGAGGGGAACUUGUUCUAGGUUUUUUUCUGGAAUUGUGAGGGAAUCUGAUCCUGUGUUUGUGCAUAUGAUUCAAUUACUUAUAGCUGAUACUGUUGUGUCACCACAAAAUCUAAUUGGGAAGCUUCAGCUGUCAAUUUUUUUCCAAGGGUUAAUUAGGUAGAACUUUCAUGUCGUCGAUUUUAUUUGGAGAUUCUAAAAGUAGUUUCCAAAUAAAGAGAUGGACCAAAAUCAACAAUGUGACAAAGAUACUUUAGAUUUUUUUUACUUGUGGGACAUGAAAAUUGAUGCAUGUUCCAAUGCAUUGCUCUAUCAGAAUUGGAAUUAAACUUAGUUUGUAUUCUCCUAUUCCGAAAGCAAAACUUAUAAGUGAUAUUCUAAGAAGAAGAAAUUAAGAACCAUAACAAAUUUGAAGAUUCUAAUUUGCUAGAAAUAUUGCAAUCCAAAACUAAGAAAGUUAAAACCAAUUAUUAGAAGAAAAAAGCAAGACGGAAGCUCCCAGAAUAUUGUUAUGUGUUGUGUGUUUCAGUUUGUAUUUCCCAAUCAAUAAGAAAAAGUAAGUACACAUGUUACAAAACUUUAAUAAAAAAGAUUGGAGGUGACAAAAUCGUCAAUCUUCUAAUUAACUUUCUCUCCUUUCAAAUUUCCUGAGUUUGGUAGAGACUGCUUAAGUGGUGUAUCUGUUAUAAACAGGCAAAACUAUGUUGCAACAGUGGUAUGGUACCACUGUUGCAACCAGCCAUUGGAUGCAUAGUUGUACAGUUACAUUAGCAAGAUCUAAUGGUUGAAAGCAACAAUGGUACUGUACUACUGUUGCAACAUAGCUGGACCCAUUAUAAACACCUGAAGUCAAAGUUAAUGUUUUAAUUGUUAAGAAAAGUUAGAAGAAGAAAUUUUUGUAUAAGAGAAUUGGGUUUAAAUUUUAGAAUUCUUUGGGAGGAAAUGAGUCUAAAUUCCAAUAAUAUAAUUCAGCACUAUUUAUAUAUAUCAUUAGUUGGGUGAAAAAUUAAUUUCCCUCCUUUGAUGUGAUUUUCAUCAUUUAUUUUCAUAUGAUGGUAAUUUUUUGUUUAGAGUGAAGUUAUUGGCACCCUUUCAUUAUCCUUAUAAAAUCCUACUUCAAAUAAAAUUACACUUAAAGACAAUAGAAUUAAAUAAAAUAGUUUUUUUUUCAAACAAAUUACUCACAUUCAUAAUUUUUUUUCUUCUAAUUUUCUACAGGUUGCUUUGUAUCUAACUAAAAUCAAUUGUACAAAUUUAGAAUAAUUUAUUAUUCUUUUUAAAUUUCUUAUUGAUUAAAUAUUUGUGUGCUUAAGAUAGUUUUAAAAUUAUAAGAUAAUAUAUAUAUAAUUUAAGCCAAUGAUUAACAUUAAAAAAUUUAUCUCUCAUAAAAGUUUUUAAUUUGUGCGUAGGGUAAUAAUAAAAUUGCAAAAGAAAUGAAAAAUAGCAUAGCACUAUUUUGAGUUUAAACAAUAAAAAAUUAAAUGAAAAAUUAGAAGUGUAUUUAAAAAAAGGAUAUUUUUGAAAAUAAAUAUAAUUUAAAACAAAAAAAAAAAAGAGUUUCAUGAGGGGUGCAAUAGUUCAACUCUUUUGUUUAUAAGUUUUAAGAUGUUGGUAUCCGUAGCUUAGCUUUUCCCUAAUUAUUAUAUUAAAAUGUAACAACAAUGAUGAUAAACCCUAAUUUCAUGGAGGUCAAAGAUUUUGGUCAUGCCGCAUUAAUUAGUUCGGUCAUACUUUCUACAAAUUUAUUUACAUUUAAUAAUUUGACCAAGACUAGGUAAGGCGCCGCUUGGAGUCAUAGAAUUUUAUAUGUCAAAAGUGCGUUUCACUUCAAUUAAGCCAUAAAUGUCGUUUAAUAUGCUCAUUUUGUAUUUUUUUUUUAAAAAGUUUUAUUAGUUUUUUGGUUUUUAAAAAUAUCAUUUAUUGGAGUUGCUAAAGUUGGUGGCGAAAUUGAUGGAAUUCUAGUAUCUCAUAAGGUAUCUCAUGAUUUAGUGCUAGCUUCCAAUCAACGUAAGAACAAAGGCAAAAACGAAAGUAAUGUUGGGCUUACAAAUGAGGACGAGGAGGAAAUAGAAAUGGGCUUGGUUAUUUCCGAUGCUAAAAGGCGAAGGUCUGAAAUUGGGCUGGAGGAAAAUGUGGAUCCUCAAAGUGGCACAUCUACUAUUAUGGAAAUGGUUAUGGUACCAAAAAAGGGGUUAGCGGUGGGUCCUGUCGAUCAGGCCCACUGCUCCCAAUGAGUACCCUUAGCUGGAACUGUCGUGGGCUAGGCCACCCACGGACAGUUCAGGUUCUGACAGAGUUGGUCAAAUCUAGAAAACCUUCUUUUAUUUUUUUAAUGGAAAUUCUUUGUUACAGACAUCAAUUGGAGCAUCUUAAACAAAAAUUAGGCUUUGAAAAUUUAUUUGUGGUGGAUCGAUUGGGCCGUAGUUGUGGGUUGGCAUUACUUUGGAAAGCCAAGUUUAAUGUUAGACUUUUAAAGUUUGCAAAAAAUUUCAUUGAUAUAGCUGUGAGUGAAACGGGUUCGGAUAUGGGUGAAUGACGGUUGACUGGUUAUUAUGGGUAUCCGGAAUUUGCUCGAAGACGAGAAUCUUGGAAUCUCCUCCGCCAUCUUGCUAACAGCUCCUCUCUUCCUUGGGUUUGCUUAGGGGACUUCAAUGAUCUUCUCUCCAGUGCUGAGAAACGAGGGAAGCGAGCUCACCCCAGUUGGAAGUUUAAUGGGUUUCGUGAGGCUGUGUCUGAUGCUGGUUUGGUGGACUUGGGAAUGGAGGGAUACCAAUUCACUUGGGAGAGGUCCCGGGGUACAAAUGCGUGGGUUGAUGAGUGAUGGGUGUCGAAGCCAGCAAAAAUAAAUACCUACUCUAAAUAAAUUGUGUAUAGUAAUUGAGCAGGGUCGUGUUCACAGAGAUCGGUAAUUAUUUAAAUCCUUUUGAAACGUAAAACGUAAAAUGGGGGAAUUGUUGAUAAUAAUAAAAAUCAAAUUAAAAUAACAAGAAUGCAAAUUAAAGUUGUAAUUCAAAUUAGAGAAAGCUCUGGUUGAAGGAAUUAACUCAGCUUGAUUCGACUACUGAUCAUUGAUUCAAAUAUAGAUUAUUAUUACUUAAAAAUAGACUGGUUAUAGCUAUUGAGACCCUCUAAUAGCCAAUCUCUCCUUAACUAGUCGAUAACCAAGGUACAAUCGUUGGUUAUUUCCCUAAUCAAUAGACAACCCUAGAUACGAUCAUAGGAUUUAAUCAAUUGACAGCCUGAAAAACCAGAGAGACCCAAAUCCUAAUAAACACAUCUGAUGAUUCAUUUAAAUUAGAUUGUUUAUUCUCACAACACAACUCUCUGCUAUGUUAUUUGUCACAAACAUUAAAUUCUUCAUACGAUGAAUCCUUUAAUUGACAAUAGAUUAAGUUGAUAAUUAAAUAGUGGCCAAUUACCUAAUUAACAAACUUGAUCAUGAAAAUAAUACAGAGAAUAAACAAAUACCCAAAAAGCAAUAAAACAAUUAAAGCACAAGAAAGAUCUCACAGUAGUGAUGAAUCAAAGCUUCAUUAUCCUUCAACCAGAAAAAUAAGUUUAGUUCUUCAUAGAGAGAAGAGAAAAAUUAAAAUCUAGGGUUUCUUUCUUUUCCUCCAAUCUAAAAUCCCCUAUUUUUCACAAUAGAUUCCUCCCUUAAAUACUCUCUCUCUCUUCUCCUCUAGAAUUCUAUUUAAAAUAAAAUACUAAUAUCUGAAAUAUUAAAUUCGUAAUUACAAAAAUAACCAAAAAUACAAAACACGUUAAACUAAAAACUGCAGGUCCGCAGUUAACAGCACGCACCCACGCCUUAUCAAUAAAGUUCUUCUGAUGCUCAUAAUUUCUCUAAGAGAACAAUCAUCCUUAAACAUCAUCUUAUAGCUCAAUUUUAUCACCAAUCAAUAGAAUUGCACCUACAAAAGUAAAACACAAGUAAAUUACUAUUAUUAAGUGCAAAACAUCGAUAUUAAGGGAAGUAAACAAUGCAAAACUAGUGCAUAAAUUGCACUCUAACAAAUUCCCCCACACCAAGAUGAUGCUUGUCCUCAAGCAUAUAACUCAAGAUUAUUCCCAAAUCUCCACUCAAUUCUCAUCUCAACUCAUCCAAAAAUAAUUUUAAGCAAGCAUACCUCAAGAAAUUAAGUCGAUCAACAUUCGAGAGACAAGGAUUUUAAAGCAUAGAAUUUCAUAAGAUAGAAUAAGAACAUUCAACCACCAAGAAGAUCCAUUCAAAAUUCAAGUGCAACAAGAUUUAAUAGCCCUCUCAAUAACUUCACUCCAUGCACUCAAAGUGUUUAGAGUGUCAUUUAUCCACUCAAAUCAAAUCAAAGAAUGCUAUUACCAUAAGCUUGCUCAUAUAUCACAUCUCAAUCCACAAAACAUGAAUAAAAUGCAAAAAUCUAAGGGUCUUAAAAGGGUUGUAAUGAGGUUAAAUGGGUGAAAUGAAAAAGAAAGGUCUACGAAGGAAAAAGAGAUCAAAACGAGAAGAAUGAACUCAUUGAAUGAACUUAUGAUAUCAAAAUGCUUAUUUCUACUCAAGUCACCAAGAAUGUAAACAUUUUUUUUCUUUUUUUUAAUUUUUCUUUUUCUUCUUUUUCUUCUUUUUUUUUCUUUUUUUUCUUUUUUUUUUGUUUUUGAAUCAAACAAAAGAAACAAACCUUGCACAAUUUAAUUCAAGCAUAAUGCUUGUUGAUCUAAUUGAGAAACUUUAAUACAAGGUAGAAAAAGCAACAAAAUAUAUUCACACAAUGAGUCCAAAAAUCUCCUUAAAUCGAGGCUCAAAAGAAGAAAAAUGGUUAAGUCGACGGAGAGAAUUAGAUGGGUAAUGGUUAAGGCUCAAACAAAGGUAGCAAAUAAAGGUCUUCGGGUAGAGAAAAAAAAAUGCAAGAAUAGAGAAAUGGAAUAUGGUUUGCCCUUAUCAUUUUAAUGCAUAAAAUCCCGUAAUGUGGCUUCAACAUGCAUAACAAAGCAAGUUCUAGAAUAAACAAACUAGGAUUGAUAUUCACAUAACAAAAAAAUAAUUAGAGCAAAGUGGUUGCUCAUAGGCUCAAAUCCUUACAAAGUUGAUAAAUUUGCCAUCAAAUCAUGUACACUCUUCAAAUGAAUCAACCAUCAAUAGUGGUGUAGAAUGAGAAGAAGGUAUGAGUGAGAUAUAAAAGGAAAGGUAAAAAAAAAAAUGUGAGUAAUGAAAGAGUAUGAUAGAAAGAAAAAAAAAUAGAUGUAAAUAAUUUGAGAUAGAUGGGAAAAGAGUAGUGAGAAAGAAAAGAAAAGAAAAUAAUAAUAUAUGAAGCAUACUAACUCCAAAAUCAUUUAAGGAUGAGUAGAGUGAAAAUACUACUUCCAGACAUCAAUAAUGCAAAAAUCCCUCCCCCACACCAAGAACUUACAUUGUCCCCAAUUUAAGAUAAUCAAAGCUCACAUAAAAAUUAAAACGUAAGGAUAAAAGUUUAAGGGCAAAAAGAAACUUCCCUGAAUUGUGAGCUUUGAUCCACAUAACGUUUAUGGGCUUGGCGGAAAUGGUGGGGUAAAUCCCACACUCUUAAAGUAUGCGGCCAAAUUCUGCUCCAUCUUGUUCAGCUUGUGCUCCAUUUUCUCUAACUGAAUGCUCAAAGUGAAAUAUAAGUGUGCAACCCAAGAGGGGGGGUGAAUUGGAAAUUUAAAAAUUAACCUAGCAAAUCCACACAACAAGCAAUCUAAUGCCUUAAUAAAAAUUGAAAGCAAUAAGUUUAAUAAAGGCACAAUAAUUAAAGAGUAAGGAAGAAGAGAAAUAAACACACGAAUUUUUACGUGGUUCGGCAAUCCCCGCCUACGUCCACGCCUCCAAGCGAUCCAAGCUUGAGGAUUCCACUAUCCAAGCCUUUCCAAGGCUUCAACGAUUACAAUUGACUUCGAGGUGUCAAUAAACCUUUACAACAAAGAGAUUAUCUCCCAAUCUCUUCACUCAAGUGUCUCACACACUCAAACUCUUACAAUUGAGAUGAAUAAAUGAAGGUUACAAUGAAACUCACUCAAUGAGUAGAUAUUCAAAAAUGAAGAACAAUUAAAGACUCAAUGUUUGUAUUUCACAAGUUUGAAGGCUCAAGAUAUCACGUGUGCUUUUUGUUCUUGCUUGUUGGAGAGCUUGAAAAUGAGUUGGAUUUGAGUUUUUAUAGUUUGAGCUCGAAAACUAGCCGUUACUCACAUUUUGGUCGUAACCGGAUUACCGGUUAUGGACAUCCGAAAUUCCGCUUAAUGUUACCGUUACAGCCACAAAUUUGAAUUUCUGAACAUCCGGAUUUCCGCUUUGUCACAUCCGGAUUUCCGCUUACGCUCAGUAGUUUACUGCCCAAUAACCGGAUUUCCGUUUGUCAGGAUCCGGAAUUCCGCUUUUAAUUCGGAUAGAUUUUGCCUCGAAUCCGGACUUCCGUUUAUCAGAAUUCGGAUUUUCGCUUGCUACAGUAACUGCUACAGUGAAUAUUUUUCCAAAUUUACAGUUUGACCCCAAAACUUUAUAAAACUAUAAUGUGGCCUAAAACGUUAUGAAAGUUUGCAAAAAGGUCCAAUUUCAGAACUUUAGAAUAAUGCUUUGUCAAUCCCACAACUUUCUGAAAUUAUGACUUUGCCCAAACUUUGUGAAAUUAUAGAAUGGCCCAAAAACAUUUAAAUAGUUUCAAAUAGGUCCAAAUCCGAAAUUUAAAAUACUAUCAAAGAUUUUAAAAAUACUUUCAUUUUAGUCCAAAAUGCUUUAAUUCCAUAACAUCGUUUUCUUAUUAUAAAAGCACAAUUCAUAAAUCUUUGCUUAAUAAAUACAUGUGGUUUGUUAUCAUCAAAAUCAAUAUUUAGCCAUAUAGGCUAACACAAAGGUGGUGCGGAUGUAGAAGGAAUAGUUGGCGGGGCAGCAGUGUCGUCGUCAAACUCAUCAUCAGAGGUAGCACCACUCCUAGCAUAAAGCUUCUUCGGAAGUUGAGUGGGUCCUGGUUCCGUAAAUUGAAAUCUCCCCUCCUUGAAUUCGACCACACCUGUUCUUUCAAACACAGACAUAUCCAAAAAUUCCUUUUUGCAAGCAGGAUGCAAAUCAUUAUUGUCAGGAUCAAGCACACAUAGGUUUAUAGCUAACAUAGUAAUGUAUGGACCAAGAAAUAAAGUCCUAUACCGUUUAAGCACACUUUGAAAUUGAUCCGCUAACCAAAAACCUAAAUUAGGCCUCACAUCAUGUAACAUGCACCAGAUAAAAUAAAAUUCAGUUUUAGAGAAAAUUCAUGAGUGAUCUUUCUUGCCUAAAAAAUUAUAUGCUAAGAAUCGAUGCACGCAUUUCAAAACAGGAUCACGUAAGAAAGAACUCUUUGAUUUACUCGGGUCAUAGGCAUUGUGAUCAACAGAUAAAUUACGCCAAAGACCAUAAGGCUCAAAAUUUUCGCUAAAGUCACAAGUUGUUCCUAAAUAUUCAUCACUAGUAGAAUAAUCAUCAUCAAUGAAUCCUAAAGCUAGGUUAAAAUCCGUGAUAGAGUGUGAAAAAUUUCGUCCCAUUAACCUAAACUUAAUGACAUCUGGAGUAUGCAAAGUAAAAUUAUUCGGCAUAGUAAAUUAAAAAGUAGCAUAAAACUCCCUAAUCAACUCAACAUAACCCAAACAAUCAACAUCAACAAACUUACGCAACCCAAUCUUAUCUAUCAAAGAAUCAAAAUUAUCUUUAACAUUCAAUUUUUCAAGAGUAGGGUAAUGAAUAUACUUAGCUGGAAGUAUUUUGCGCGUGGAAAUAUCUUUGUACCUCUCUUUCUCUUGUUGAGUCGCGAAUGCGAGGCACCCUCCGAGAUUGGAUUCCGCAAGUGGCAAAACACUCAUGCCUUUUCCGUGCUUUGAUCUUUGUCUCACGGCUUGGCGUGAAUUUGAAAUUGUGUUCCAUGGAACCGUAGUGGGAGCGGCAAUCUUAUAUUUCUUUGCGAAAGGAAGAAAAUAAAUUAUUUAUAACCUCGGAAUCAUGUGCGUCAUCAGAGUUGUCUGUCUGCUCCUGGUGGUCAUCAACAGCCACCUCAUCCUCAGAAGUGUCAUGACGCUGCUCUGGUGUUGGGUUUGGUAUGUCGUCAUGCUCGUUUGAUUGCCUUGUAAUGGACGGCAUCGCGUUAAUUGAUGGUUGGUGCUGUAUAAAGUAGCAUUUAAAAUUAGUAAAUGAAAAAUAAAAAAUUUCGAUUAAAUAAAUAAUAGUACUUAUAGGAUACCGACCUUAUGAACCCAGUCUGGAAUGUGUGGCAUGUAAUCCUUUACAGUGAGCCAAUAUUUUAUGCUACUCUCCUUUGUAUUCGGCUCAAGGGUUUGUAAAACGUCCCCCUAUCAUAAAUUCAAUCCAAAAUUUUAAGUAAGUAUAUAUAACUUAAAUUUAGUAACGUUAAAAAAAUAACUAAUACAUAUUACUUACAAGACGAGAUUCGUCGUUGAAGAACGAAUAAACCUCAGCAAAGUUGAUUCUCGAAGACCCCAUGGGCUUCCAUUGCACGAUGCGGGGAAUCUUCUUCUUCGUUUUCACGACCCAUGCUGACGGCAAACCUCCGAUCGCUUUGUAAAUCCAAGCCUGCAACAACCAAAGUGAAAAACCUAUUAAAACAACUAUCAAAUAUUUAAUACUAUAAAACUUAUUAAUAAACAAAAAAACAACGCACCUGAACCCCGGACAUAUAGCCGUAAAGAUUGUACUUUUCAAUGUUAUGAUCUAGGUUUUUCAACCGAGUCGUCUUAAAUUUCUCGUCUUUCUCGAACAGUGCAUUGUCAAGACUCUCGUAUAUCAUUUCCCACGACAAAAGACCCCAUGGAUGCUUUCGGAAGUACUCUAUAUCAUCUACUUCGUUAAGCGAUGAGAAAUUGAUUUGACAGUAAUUUUUUCUUGCAUUUAGAACUAUGUCCGCAAAAUAAAAUAGUGCAAUCUUUAAUGCGUCAAUAUCGUCCAUUUCCUCGAAUUUCAACUUCUUAAAUAAUGCAUCGAAUUCCUUAAGAUUGAUCUUGCGAUGCACACCACCAAAAUACGUAUUCCGUAGCCUAUGCACCGUUUUGUUAUUUCUUAGUUCGGUAUCUACACCAUAUGAAAGUCCAAUAACCAGGCACCAUUCUACAAUUGACAAGCGAAUCAAAUGCUCACCAAUUUGAAACCAUAACUGAUCCUCACGGCUAUCUUCUUCAUGGGCCACUUGCCUCAGUAAAAAAUUGUGCAAAAUUACCCCACUAAAUGAAAAGUUUCGACACUCCAAGAAAUGCCUAAAUAUGUCCUUCUUGAACAGAUUCAAUUGCCGCUUUGUUAAUUUUUUUUCGGUGGCUUUUACGACCGAAGAUAAAUUACACAUGCUCGAAAUUCGACCCGGAAAGUGAUCGGCGUAACGAAAAUACAUCCUGCCUACUUCGAUUUCUGAUGAUUCUGAUUUUUCCAUGUAUCGGUAAUAUUUAUAACAUUAUUACAUUGCAUUUACAACAAAAAUAAAAUAAAUUGACUUGAUGGAAAAAAAAAUUAAACCCACUAUAAUUUGGUGCGACAGCACAGCAAGCGCGUGCGCGCUGUUGCCCAGCGACGGUUCUACACCAUAUGUGCAGCACCAUUCAACCCAAAACAAGUGAAAGAACAAAUCACUCCCAAAACAACAACAACCACCACAAACACCACCACCACCACCACCAUUAUUCUCAAACUACAACCACUAUUAUUCUAAAAUUUCAUUUUAAAUUAAUGAAAUAUAAAUAAAAUGGCUAACUUAGGUUUUGUUGAAGGCUGUAGAUGGUAAAUUGGACGCCGAUAAUAGAUGGAGCAGCCGCCGACGAGGGCUGAUGUUGCCGCCGACUAUAGGUGUUUCUUCGGUUUGGGAGAGAUGAGUGAAAGAGAGAUUAUUGGGGGAGAGAUGUGAGAGGGGUAUUUUGGUCUCAAAGGUUUUUUUGUGGGUAAUGUUGAUAGAAAUUAGUUUGGGGGGUUAAGAUGGAAAAACAAAAACUUUUAUAGUUAUUGGUGUAAAUUUCCCAUUGUAUGUAAUACUUUAGAUUCAGGUAAUGUAGAUUGUGUAUACAACUUUCUAAUAUUCUGUAGAUCUCAAUAUAAAUACUUGUAAUCAACAAAUACAAUAAUAAGAGUCAUCAUUCUUCAUUUUCUCUUUGUUUCUCUCAUAUUUUCUCUUCAUCCAAACACAAUAUUCUCAGUUCUUGACUUGGUAUCAGAGUUGCAGUUUAAUUGUCAUGGCUUCCUUCCUUAAGCACAAAUUAAAAAAAAAUCAGUCUCCUUCAUUCUUUACCCUCACAAAUGCGAUCAAACUGGACAGAUCUAACUAUACGAUCUGGAAAUCUUAGAUCCUCUCUUCAGUGCGUGCCAAUGGACUUGAAGGCUUUCUUAAUGGAACUAAAAUUUGUCCAGAUCAGUUACUUACUCAAGAGAUUGAAAGUUAUGGUGUGUUGAAAUUGCAGUUGGUGAAAGCUCAGCUGAUAGAUCUUAGGAGAAUCCAGCCUUUGUUGCUUGGAAAAGGUAGGAUCAAUUGUUAUUAAGUUGGCUCAUGUCCUCCAUCAGUGUUGAGAUACUUAGUCUAGUGGUAAAUUCUGAUUCUUCUCAUAAACUUUGGACUAAUCUUGAAGAAAAAAUUGGAUUAGAAACUAUGGCUAAGAAAGCACACUUAAAAAUGAUGUUAAGCAAUCUCAGAAAGGGAUCAAUGACAAUAACUGAGUAUUUUGCCAAACUUAGAGCUGUAACUAAUAAACUUGCUCUAACUGGUAGCCCUGUUUCUACUCUUGACUUUAUUAUUCAUCUAAUCUCUAGAUUAGGCCAGCCAUACUACCCUGUUGUUUUGUAUAUUGAAGCUAUUGUUUUGUAUAUUGAAGCUAAUAUGAUGAAAAUAUUCGUCAAUGAAGCAUAUUCUAUGCUUUUAACUCAUGAAGCAAGAAUUAAAGCUAAUCAUCCAAGUGCAAAUAAAGAAGCAAAGUUGAAUUAUGCUGUUAACAUAGCUGAGGCUGGACCGAGUACUAAAUAACAAUAAGAAGUCUAGUAAUCAAGCUAAUUACUAUCAGGGCAACCAAGGUAACUGGAAUAGAAAUGCUCAUUGGUGUGGUAACAAUGGAGGAAGAGGUGGCUUUGGCAGAGGUUUUUCAGGGCAAGGAAGGGGUAAUUAGAAUAAUGGUGGUCAUUGGAACAAUGGACCUUGGAGUAGUAGUCGAGGAGGCUAUAAUGGUUCUAAUAUAAACAAUAUGACAUGGUUGCUGGUGAACCUGCAAACAUAACCACAAAAGUAAGAAGGCAUAAUCUUUUUAUAAGAAACUCAAAAAUGUAUUAAUGAUGAAAAUUUUAAAACAGAUAGUGGACCAGCUGUUCACUAAGAAAACAAAAAACUGAAUAUUUGUGCUAUAAAAAGGCACACCCAAUCUCACCCCUAUAAAAGGCUAGAAUCAACUACAAAUUCCUAUCUCAAAACCCCAUCCCAGUUUAGAUGAAUGAAGAAAAAAGAUGAAUCUUGAAACUCCUUAGAAACUGAAGCCCAAAGUGAAGCAAGAAGAUGAACUCUAUCCCAAGCAAGCAAUAUGGCAUAUUUCUCCAUUAAUGGUUCAAAUAAAGUGAAUGGCUUUCUCUGAUGAAUGGGAAAUUGUCAAGAUCAAUAGUCAAACUCACGCAAAGUAAACGGACUUAAUUCUCAGAGGCUACUCAUUCUAAGUCUUAAAGAAAAAUUUUCUAAUUUCUAAAGAUUAUAUGGGGAAAAAUCAUUAUUUUUUAACAUGGAAAAUUUGAUACGGUGUUUAAUGUCUGAUCAAAAUCAUAAUAUGAGUACUAACAAAAACAUCUUUAAUCGGCAUGGUGCGAGUAAAACACCAUCACUUCAUCUUUGAUGGAAAGAUGAUAAUAUAAGGAGAUGGUGAAAUGGUUUUGGUCCAUGGCAGCUUGUAAUCAAAAGAAAACAAAAAACUACACUAUCAUUAAUGAUUACCGAAGGUACAGAAGUAUCAAAAUCGGAAAGCAAACAAUUGCAAAACACAUCAAUGACUGAAGGUUAGGUUCUAAAACUUCCGUAUUUAAUUUUCAGAGCAUGUUAUGUAUUAUUCAGAAAUAUGCUUUCACUUCAGGCACUUGACCAAGACGCAUUAAACAUAAAACGCGGCGUUUUCAUGGACUAGUACAUUCCAUGCUUCGAAAGUUUAUGUUUUAGACUGAUUGGUUUGAUACAUUAUUUGUUUAUUGCGUUUUUCUUGCUUUAAAUAUUAUGUUGGAUUGAUAAGUUUUGUACACAUUUAUAUUGCUCGCAGUAAAUAAUUUAUGACAUUUAAAAAACUAUCAACCGUCUAUCAAAAGAUUUCUACUAUAAAUAUAUAUACACAAAAAACUUUUAAUUUGGUCAAUUUGUUCUCUUAUUUAUUUUUAUUCUAUUUCUCUUUUCCUUCCCUUUCAUUUUAUUAUUUUAUGGUACAAAAUAAAAAAAUAACCUUAAAAUUUAAGGGUAAAAUACUCAUUUUACUAAAAUUCCGUUUAAUAUUAUAAAGCUGUCAAAUGUCAAUGGCAUAGUACACGAGUGAUACAAAUUAAAAACAAUAAAUUGAAAGUUUUUAUGCAUUUUCCUUUUAUUUUUUUUAUAGCCGAUUGAGAUUCCCCUUCAUUUUUUUAAAUUCAAUAGGUUUAGACCGUUUAACAAAUCUUAAAUUAAAAAAACCCGUGGUGUAAUAACAAACUCACAUCAAACCCUGUCCACUGUCAUCCCUAAUUAUAUUUACCACUUCAUACUCACAGUGAUAAUAACUGUGUAUCACAAUUGAUUUUGCAUACGGGUAAAAGUUCCAAGUCCGGAUAUUUAGUUAAUGAAAUUUUAUGAAAAGGGCAUGAAAGAAAAUAAGAAAUUAAAUAAUACAGGAGGUAUUAAUCAUUACAUCUUUAGUUAAUGAAAAUUGAUGAAAAUAUUUCUGCAGACGUGAGCCGUAAUUAUAUUACCGUUAAGAAUGAAGCAGAAGAGUUUCCCCAAACAAGCUAAAACACAGCACUUCAAUUUAAAGAAUUUUUAUAUCACAGUACCAGGGCAAAAAGUUUAAUGCAACAACAUACAUUAAGUUAAUUCCAUAAUCUAUCCCCAAAGAAAGACAAACACAAGCUUAUAAGAUUAAAACUUUGGAAAACAUUAAAGAGUCAGACAAAAUUGUGUAAUCUUCAGAGUUUGGAGCCUAGUUCAUCCAGGAAAGCAAAAGAAAUAAUAAUAAUAAUAAUAAUAAUAAUAGUAGUAGUGGUUUGAUCUCAAAAGGUGGCAUCAAAGUGGUCACUUUGAGGUAUUGGAAGCAAUUACGUCUUCAACUUUGUCCUGAUUUCGAAGUCCCUUAACCCAUCCGCCAUCAAUGGAUUGAAUGCUUCCAUUCAACCCAUCAUCAACAAAAUCACCAACCCGUUUCACCUUCAUCUCCUUGGGCUUAACAGGGUACUUUCCACAGAAGCAAGGAAAACAAAAAUUCUGAGAAUCAUCGCCUAACAACUAGUUCAAGCUGUAAAUCGGCAGAAAAGCAAGCGAAUCACACCCAAUAAACUCGCUGAUUUCCUCAACGCUCAUCCUGUUGGAAAUCAACUCCUAAGUACUUGUCUGCUCUGUAGUAACAAGAAGCUAUGAUUGGUGGGCUUGCAAUUCUCAUGUGAACCUCUUUAGCUCCAGCCUCCUUAAGCAACCUAACAAUUUUUGAUGAAGUUGUUUCUCACACUAUCGAAUCAUCCACAACCACAACUCUCUUUCCCUCCAACCACAACCUUACAGGAGAGAGCUUAAGCUUGACACCAAAGUCCCUAAUUUUCUGGGAAGGCUCAAUGAAAGUUCUCCCAACAUCAUGUGACCUUAUCAACCCUUGUUGAAAUGGCACCCCGGCUUUCGCAGCGUACUCAAGUGCAGCCACCACUCCAGAAUCUGGUACUGCAAUCACGACAUCACACUCAACUGGAGCCUCGGUAGCAACUACUUCCCCAAAAUGAUACCUCGACUCAUAAACAGACCUUCCAAAAACAACAGAAUUAGGCAAAGCAAAAUAAAUAUGCUCAAAGAUGCACUGCUUAGGUUCAGGGUGAGGCAUCAAACAAGGUGAUUGAACCCCAUCUUCAUCCACCAUCAAAACUUCACCGGGAUAUACCUCUCUCUCUCUCUCUCUCUCUCUCUCGUAUGUGGCCUCAAUCAAAUAGUGCACAAGUCUCUGAUGCAAAACCAGAGCACCAUUACUCCUCCCACCCAUCACCAAUGGCAUAAACCCAUACGGGUCACGAACCGCAACAAGCUUAUCCUCAGUAACUUAUCUCAUUUAUGACUUAUUGUUGCAUUUAAGUGAUUUUGCAAAAAUUAUUUUGCAAUAAUAUUAUUUUUUUGACGAGUAAGUUUGAAGUAAAUAAUACAUAUGGCAAGUGUGAGGUUUGUUAUUGCAUAUAUUUUGUGGAUCCAUUUUAAAGCCAAAAAAAAGGCAUUUUGAUUCAUUCUGAUUCCAGAUAAUUUCAAGCCAUAUGUCAUUAUUGGGAUAAAAAUAAAGUAAAAUGGUUAAAACUAUUUUUAUGUAAUUUAUAAAAAUUAAUGAAGCAGCUACAAAAUUUUUUAAACGAAAAACAAUUGAAAUGUGUGUGGAAAAAGAAGAAAAAAAAUAAGGCAUUUAAAUAUCUUCUUAAAAAAUACGAUUGAGUAAAAUCAUUUUAACAGAAUGCUCUUCCAAAUGCAAUUCCACAUUAUUUUUAUUACAUUGGGAUAUUCCAAAAUUGGCACAACUCAUUAAGAAUUCGGCAACUCAAAUUUUAUUUAUCUCUCUUUGCAUUUGACAAAUUAAAAAGAAAAAAAAAUUCAUAUGUCUUCUGUUCAAAAGAAACCUUGGUAAAUAUUGUAAAACAAAUUACCAAUUUUUUUAAAUUUAUGCCAUUAUAUCGUCGCUAUUUUCUCGCCCACUUUCUUAAAAUACAAUCAAUAUUUAUUGAUGGGUUGCGUUCCAGAGUAAGCACCAAUUCAGCAAAAUGGUUUUAUAGCAGAAAAAGCACUUGUAAGACAUUCAGAACACAUUUUUCAAUUUUGUCUUUUGAAAAUGAGUCUUGAGUUUCCGCAAGCCAAGUAGAAUGGCUAAAAAAUGUAUGGUAUCAAAGAAAGAGAAACACACACACACACACAGAGAUUAGUGGGGAGAUAUAUAUAUGUGUGUAAUUUGUAUAUAUAUCCCCAUUAAUUGUUGAUAGUCCAACGGGUGAGUAUAUGCAAAAGUAAAAAAUUGGCUGUCCUUUAAGACAAGAUUGACUGUCACAUGAAAAUGUUAGCAAACUUGCCACACAACAAAAAUAAAGAUUCAAAGAACAACUUUAUGGUCCCCUUUCUGUCCAAACGUAUGUGAUCGAAAUUAGUGUAAACGACACUUGAAAUAUAUAUGUAGAUCCUCACACAAUUGAUUAAAUAUUUAUAGUAGGAUGAAGUGAUAAAUAGUUUCACAAAAUUAUUGGAAUUAAUUAUUUAAUACAUGAGAUCUAUCUCAUUAAGUAUAAAAGAUUGAGUGCUGCUUCAAAAGCAUGACGUUGCUGGCAACAAAUUUAACACAAAAAUUUAAUUAAUUAUCCUAGUUGAGAUAAUAAAAUCUCGUGUUGAAAACAAAAGGUUUGAGGUUCAAACCUUCUCAUUCAAAAAAAUCAAGUCAAAAUAUUACAUCUUCCAGCACAUAUCAAAGAUUUUUUCAAAGGCAGACUGAUAAUUCAGGGUAAAAAAAAACAAAAAAACAAAAGGAAUAUAUGCUAUUCAAGACAGGUAUACCUUGGACAUGAAGUCUGAAUCCAAAACAUGAAGCACCUAGCUGAUCUUUCACUUUCCAAAACCCAACAAAAUCUUUGUCAAAAUAUAUGAUCUAGUCCCAUAUUAAGCACAUUCAUAGCCAUAUCACCAGGUUCAAAAUAUUUUCCCCAAAAAGAGAUAGAGAUUCCAUUGAAGUUGAGUUGUGACUGUCCCAACGUUUUGUAAUUAUAUGGUUCAGGAUACCAUGCCUAUGACUCUUUUUUUUUUUUUUUUUCUGUUUCCAUGUUUCGAAGUCUAUCAAAUGAAAAUGUAAUUAUAUGGUUCAGGAUACCAAUAUGCCGGAGCUGCAAAGGUUGACUUCCACUAUGCUAUCAAUGUCUAUACUUUCUAUUGAAUUUCCUUGUUUUUUUUUUAAAUUGCAAGAUUUCUUUUUGGAAAUCUUUGACACAUUUUAUGUAAGAUACCAUAAAGCCAAAUACAACCUUUUUUAUUCUCAGCAGCAAUUUUUUUUUUCCUUUUAAAAAAAGGAAGCCAUAUAAAUAAUGCUUAAAACAUUAUUUGCAACAAGGAACAAUUAUUUCAUGCUUUCAUGUAUUAGAAACUUUCCAAAAAAGCUAGCAAGAAAAUGAAAUGGAACUUUACCUAGUCACAGAAUAUUGCUGUUAGCCCAAUUAUUGCUGUUAGCCCAAUUGUUAUGAAGUGGCUUCUGCAUCAGAAGAUUCCAGCUCCCACCAAGCAUUGUUAUCUCUCUUCUGAAUACAAUCUGCAUCGCUGGGCAUGAGUUAUAUCAUUAAUGUCUGCAUCCUCACUUACAUCAUCCCAAUCAAGUGCUUUUUCUCCACAUUUGGAUUAUAAGUCCAAUCUCUUCAAAACAUCCUAGUCCUUCCAUCACAACUGAUACGACUUCCUUCCUAAUUACUUUCCCAUUAAUAAAUCGCUCCAAGAAAAAAAAGCAUUAGCAAUUCUCUUCAACGCCCCAUCACUCAUAUCCCCCACAACAACCAUCUUCAGCCACCUCAACGUUGCCUCUUGAAAGAUCUCCACAAAAUCCGAAUCAUCCGACACAACCACCAAACACCCAAACCUUCUUUUGUCCACCAUAGCCACCAUAUAAUUUCUCAACAAAAUAUCGGCAUCUUGUGGCUUAACUAACACCAUCCUGACCCAAAACCAUGCUCUUUUUAACUCAUCUGCAAAACCAUAACCCACUUUUGGAGUCAAAAUUGCGCUUGCAGCCGUUUUAUUUUUUUCCAUCUUUAUUGAAUAGUUGCCAACCAAAAGCACUCUCACCUGCCCUCUAGCUGAUUCUAUUUGAUUCGACCUUUUCUUUUGUUCACCCUCAUGAAUUUGCCUAAAAUGAUUAACAAGUUUGUCAUUAUUAUAAAAUCUCCUUCCACAAUCACCAAUACAUACGGCUUAGCAUGCCUAAUUACACCCCUGAUUUCUAAUUGGUUAAACAAUUCUCUUUCUUUCUUUGCUCUCUUACAACUUGAGGCACAUAACUAAACGCGUGGCUAUUAGCAUUUGCCACCAUGCAUUUAACAACCCCAAAUGAAGAUAUUAAUUUUUUUAGUUUAAUUGCUGCUUCAAAAUGGGAUACUGAAUUUGGAUUUUGUUAUCCAAAUACCAAAAAUUUCCCAUAUUGUGCUGGACAGUUUUUGGUUCUAAAGUUGAUGACUGGUUUUGCGAAUCAGGCUUUAAAUGAGAACUUCUAAACAAUAAGACAAAUGAGUUUUGAGUUUCUAAUCUUGUAAACUUUGUUCUAUUGUAUAAGUUAUGAAAUCGCUGAAACAUCACUACAGCUACAGGUCUUUAUGUGUCAAUGAACUGCAGAAGCUGAUGAUCUACCUGUAGCAUACUUUUAUUGCCCCUGCCGUUCUAGGAAGACAAACAAGUUCAAGAACUACUUCUGGACCAAACUCAUAAUAUUGCCAUUGCUUUGUGCCAAUCUGAGAGGGAAAGCAUAUUGAAGUUCCUAAAUAAGGCAAAUCAUGAUUUGACAGAAGUACCACUAUGAGGAACAAUUGAUUUCAGGAAAGCACUAAAAUAUGACAUAAUCUCCCCCUGAUGGUCUAAAGUAGUCAAGAAAUGAUAUCAACCAAGUAAAAACACAUAAACUAGUUGAGAUACAAAGUUAUUGUAAAAGUCAAUUUUGAUCACAAAUCCAUUAAAAUUAAAAGACAUCAGAAACAUAGAGAACAUUAUAAUUUAGGACUCAGCUAAGUCGCAGAUUCUGUAACUAACAGCUAAGUCCACAUUGGCCUUGCAUCAACUGAGUUUGGGUUGCUUUUCAUCUCUCCUUCAACGCGUGGAAGCGCCCCAUUUGCUGUGUUAUACAGAGUCGGUACCGUAGCGAGCUCCUAUAAUUUAAGUUUGAUCACUGUAGACAAUAGUCUGCCUCUGCUCAAAAGCUAUGCUGCAAGAUAUAACGUCUUUACAAUGUUAUACUUUCUAAAAGUAAUAAGAAAUGAAACCAAGGGGUAAACCGAACACCAAAAGAAAUUUAGUCGGCCAACUACAUUAUGUUCCCACACAGUCCACUAAUUAAGUUAAUAAUUAAAGGGAAUCAAAAUCUAAUAAAUCUCAUCUUCAAGCAGAAUACAAACACACCGAGAUUAAAAAUCACAAAAUCAUAAAAAGAAGCUGACUUUAAAAGCUCAAAUAUACGUUCAUCAGCCUCUCAACUUAUAUCUAAGAACAAAUGCCUGCAGCUUGUGAAGACAUAGAUAAUUGAAGCUGAUGAGGCAUAUUUAACAGAUGAUAAUCAAAACUCGUGUGAUUAAAAUUAUAAUUCAAUAAUCGAGCACAUAAAACAAGAAGUAACUAGUUGUAUACAUACCAAACAACAUUCUGAAGUUAAGGCGUAAAACCACUAGUGUAAACAAGCGCUAGUGUCAAGAACUAUUGUUAAUAACUCAAAAACCACUAGUGUCAAGAACUAGACUAAUAAGUGAAACCCAUAAUCAAACACAACUACAUCAAAAUCUCUGAAAAUUGAGGUCUAAACAUUGAAAACAAUUAGACAUAUAUAACAGUCAAUCGAAACAAAGCCUCAAAAUAAUAAUGAACUACAAUAAGACAGAACCUAAAUUGUAAACAAGCGCAUACCCAGUAACAAUAAUCAAGUAACAAGUCAAAACCAGAAUCAAACGUAGAAUUUUGAAAUCCAUACGAACUCUAACGUAUUAGAAUGAAAGAAUAAUGACGAUCGAUAAACUAGACUCAAACAAAAACAUGCCCAGUUAAAAAACGAAGGUAAAUAAAUAAAAAUGGUAUAAAAUUGCGAAAAAAAUUAAUGAAAUGAAGAGAAAAUCACAGGAAUCCUAUGAAGAGGAAGGUAAACAAAACCUUCGGGAGCCGAGAAGAUGCCUUUUUUUGUUCACUUUUGUGCCUAUACAUACAUUUUUUUUUUUGUAAUUUUGAAGAAAGUAUUGGUUAAAUAUUGUCAGAACGAAAUAUUAAUAGAUGCUGGCAAUUUCAACAAGGACAAUCUUCGAUUCAAAUGUACCCUUAUGAUAAAGAAAAAGCCAGCUUGUCUAAAUUUUGAGCAUCACAUUACAAGAUUUAGGUGUAUGUUUAACUAUGCAAAAUGAAACAUCUAUUAAUUGUAAGACCAUUGACCUCUGGAACCAGACAACCAGACUCUUUCCUACUAGACAACCUUCCAUUGAUCAGACUAAUAAUAUUUACUAAAUCAAGUUCUACAGUUAAUGAAGUUGGACCAAAGGCAAUUGUUAGCUUAAUGUCAUAGGCCACUCAAAUUUCUCGUAAUUGGAGGAUAAUUUUGUGCACAUGAGUUCGCUUAGCAAAAGUCCGCCUAGGCGUGGAGUGCGCUUAAAGGCGGGAUGCACUUAGAAGUGGGAUGCACUUAGCAAAUCAUUCAAGCCCAACCCAAGAUCUAAAACUCUAUGCAAAUUAUAAAUAAGCUAAAAGUUUCUAUGUUUCUCCACAUAGUUCCCUAGGAUAUUUAUGAAAGUUGCUAGGAAGUUUCCUCCCCUAGAACUCUAAUACCUAUAAAUAGGGGUGGGCCCCCUCAUUUGCCCACCAACCAUACCACACACACAAACACUCCAGCACACACACAAACACUCCAGCACACACACAAGCUCUCUAACUUUUGUAAAAAGCUCUCUUGUAUAUUCUCUCUUUGAGAGUAAUGAAAUCAUAUUCAGCCAUAUUGCUCUACUUCUCUCUACCAUUUUCCGCAAGUGUUCUUGCUUUGCUAGUUUGAGGAGUGUUCUAGGCUUGCUUAGCAACUUGUUUGCUACAAGGACAUCUUGGUCACAAAACAUGGACAUGCAAGGAAAAAAAAAAGAUAUUGAUAUGUUCUAAAAAUAAAACGCAUUCUUCUACAGUGAACCAAAAAAUUUAGGCUAAUGGUAGCAAGUGAAGGAAUUGUGAUUUCACGUGCAUUUUGUUGACAUGAAGGUAAAGAGCUUUUUUAUAGUUUAUAUUGUUUAAUAUAACAUUUGAAUUGCAAAAUAGGGGUACAAAAUGGAUACACGAAGUGAUAAAACUAAGUUGAUUAUGAUAAAUAUUGAAUUAUAAGAUUUAGGUUUAAUCAUAAAGACAUAAGUGGCGCACAAAGUCACGAAUUAUCAUCCAUGAUGUAAGUUCAAACAACUGCAUAAUAAGUUGCCCCAAGCUAAACUAUUAAUCUAGUAACUAUUCUAGUCGAUGUGGGAUAAUUUUCAUAUCACCUCUAUCACGUGCAAGCCGAAUUUGUUGCUUGGUCCUUACAUGUGGUAAGGUAAUAUGAAUCCACUUGUGCAUAAAUUUGGCUCCGAUAUUAUAUAGAAGCCUAUGACCCAAAAUUAUACUUAAAGGUUAUUUCAAGAUUUGAGGGUUGCCUCAAGCUAAUAUUAUUAUUAGCCUGGUAACCCUUUUUUUUGUUGAUAUGUGAUAUUUUCCCUAUAACUUUUAUUAAUCUUUAUGCUUAUGUUUUGUCAUUUAUCCCAAAAUAUAACAUUAACAAAAGUUCCAAAAUUUCCUUCAAGAGAUAUAUUUGAGAAAAGUAAUUUGUGCAAUAACUUUGUGAAUUGAUGAGCAAAUUCAGAGAAAAGAAUAUAUGUGCCAAACGUAACGUUUAUUAUUGUGUUUAUUUGUAGAGCUAUUUAAAGCCCAAAAAAAAAAGCACGGGUCCACUAUUAUUUCAAAUAAGUUCAAGCCCUAUGUCAUUAUUGGUACAAAAAUGUAUCAGAAAGGUUAAAAAAAAUUUUUAUUUAACUUAUAAACUUAGGAAAUUAUCAACUGUCUGCCCUUAAAUUGCACUAUUAUAAAAAAUAUUACAAUAUUUUCAGGUUGUAUCUACCAUAAAUUUACAAUUGCAUCAUUUAUCCACCAAAUCAUUAACUUCGUUAAAAAGUGAUAGACGUCACAAGGGUAGUUCAGACAUUUAACACACAAAAAUAAAAGAGAAAUUAUCUAAGCUUACCAUGUUAUCAAAAUUGCUACAAAAUUUUAAAUUUGUUCAAUUUUUCAAUCUAAGUUUAUGACCUCCAAGAUAUUAAUUGCAGUUUGUAAUUAAUGAGUUCAUAAGGAUAAUUUAGACACUCAAUAUGCAAAAUAAAAAAGGAAAAUUAUCAUUUGUAUACCUUAAAGUUGCGCUUUUAUAAAAAAUAUUACAGCACUUUAAUGGUGUAUCAAUCGUCCACCUUAAAUUGGCAAAACUUAUCUACCGACCACUAAACCAUUAGCUGCCGUUUGAAAGUUAACGGAACUGAAGCGAAUUGACGAUUUUACCCUUGAAAAUUAUCACUUGUAUACCCUUAAAAUCUCUUAUUAUCAAUUAUAUACUCUUAAAUUAUCACUUGUAUCUAUGAAAAGACUAGAUUAACCCUUUGACGUCAUCAUGUUUAAACGGCAACUAAUGGUUUGCUGAACGACAAAUACAUUUUGUCAAUUUAGGGUGGACGACUGAUAUACCCUGAAAGUAUUGUAGUAAAUUUGAUAACGGAGUAAACUAAGGGUAUACAAUUGAUAAUUUCACAAUAAAAAAUAAAAUAAUGGCUUAAAUUAAAACAAAAAACUUGAUAUUCAAUUAAAUACACAUAAACUCUAUUUUUUUCUUAAUUAAAAAUAUUCUAAUUUAGUUUCUCAAUUUAUCAUCAUAAAUUUACAUUAAUAAACUAAAUCCACAAAUUACCCUAAACCCUAAUUCAUAAAUGCCCAAUCAAUCUAAUACUUUAAUUCGAUUUCAUAAUUAAAAAAGCUAAAUUUAUUAUAUUAGUUAUGGUGCAAAGUAAAAAAUGCCCUUAAAUUCAAGGGUAAAAUAACAUUUUAUUUAAAUUCUAUAAAUUAUUCUAACAAUGUUAACAUUUUGGUGGACGGUUAAUAUAAGUUACAAACUUAAAAUAGAAAAUCAAAUAAAUUCAAAAUUUCAAACUAUUUAGAGGAAAUUUAGGAUAUAUGGUUAAUAAUUUUCCCAUGUCUUUUUACAUUGGUUGAUAUAAGCUACAAACUUAAAAUAGAAAAUCAAAUAAAUUUAUAUUUUCAAACUAUUUAGGGCAAACUUAGGGUAUAUGGUUAAUAAUUUUCAUUUGUCUUUUUAUGUUAAAUUGAAUUUCAAAGGUAAAAUGAUCAAUUUAUUAUAAUUCUGUUAAUUGUUUAGUGGAAGCAAACGAUAUAAUGGACGAAUGAUAUAAAUUGUAAAAUUAAGGUGCAUGAAUGAUACAACUUUAAAAUAUUGUAGUAAUUUUAAUAAUAAAACAAUUUAAGGGUAAUGAUACAACUUUAAAAUAUUGUAGUAAUUUUAAUAAUAAAACAAUUUAAGGGUCGAUUGGCAAUAAUUUAAACUUUAAUGAAGCAACUAAAAAAUUUUUUAACAAAAGAAAAAUAAUUGAAAUGCUUUAAGAAAAAUAAAGGAAAUUAAAUAUCUUUAUAAAAAGGCCAUCAAUUUAGCCAGCAAUUUUGUCAAAAUUUCAACAAUUGAAGAAACAAUGAUCACAAACGGAACAUGUGAAUUUUGAAGUUGAAUAAAUCUUGAGAUACAUACAACAAAGCCUUGAAACUUUAGUCUUCACAAUUUGAGCACGCACUAAAUAUUAAACAAGUAUAGAACAAAGCUUAUUUUUAGCUUCUUGUGCGAACUGAACGCGCUGAAAUGUGUGUUUUUUUUUUGGAUUUUUGGAAUUUUUUAAAUUCAUUUAUGUUCGCUGCCAUCUUUUUCUUCGCUGGCGUCUUCCUCCUCUGUAGUUUGCUGUGCCUAUAUAUCCAACCAAUAAAUUGGGCAUUAAAUGCGAAUGAAUGAUGAAUAAAAUGAUUAAAAAAAAACAAACAGAGAAAAUUAUAAUAUAACACAUAUAUUGAAAGAGAAAUUUUGAUUUUAGGAUAGAUCAAUUAGCUAUCACAAACGAAAAUAUUAACCAACUAUGUAUAGAGUCAAUUAAUUUAAAGUUCUCAAGAAUUACCUCUGCUCCAGAAUUCUCGGAAUCAUCUUCUCCUUCUGAACUUGGACGAAGCUUGGGACAAUUACUAACAAAUACAGACUCGGCAGAUGGAAAUGGGAUCUGAUAACCCGCAGGCCAAAAGUUGGUGAGGUUUGGUAAGUCUUCCAGUCUCAAGUACCGAAGUUCAUUCAUAACAAUUUCAUUGUAAUCCGUGACGUCUGCUCCAUCUUUAUGCCAGAAUACUUCUUCUAAUUCAUCAUUACCUAUUAUGUAUAGGCGCGACAGUUUUUGAAGACUUGGAGCUACGCUGAUAUGAAAUAGAUGCUUGAGUUUGAGGCAAUAACUGACAAUGAUGAUUGUGAGUUUUGGGAAACAUACAGGUUGGAGAUGAUCCUCAUCCUCAUCAAUGAUUUGCUCUAAUCCCAAGCAGUUAACAAUACCUAACAUCUCCAAUUGCAACAGAUUUCGAGCAAGUGUUGAUGAGAAGAGACGUCUCAGCAUAGUGCACCCCUUUACAGUUAAUCCAGUAAGAUUUUGCAGGCUAAAAUUAUGCGCGGGACCUUCAUGAUAUAAUAAUACUUGCAGUUCUGGAAGAUCUUCCAAAUGCAACGACUUCAAACAUGGGAAUAGUUUGUUUUCUUGUCCCUCAGCGAUAAUAGCUUCCACUUGAAAUACCACCUGUACUCCAAGUUCUCUAAUAUCCAAUCCUUCCAAAUUUUUUAAUCCGUGCUUCAACAGUGCUGGAAUCGUGUCACUCAAAUGGGAACAAUUGGCCACAUCUAGAGUAUUUAAGUUCUGAGACAAAUAAAUAAAUAACUUGAUGCAAUUAAAAUCUAUUAGCAGCUAGGAUUAUCACAUGAUAAGUGAUGAACACCGCAAAAAUAUCAUAAUACAUAUGUAAACUAAUAAAAUAAUUAAAAAGUAAUGGAUUUUUAAAAAAAAAUUGAAAUUAGUUAAAAGAGAUCAUGUGAAGUGUAUAAAUGUGACAUUAUAUUGUUUGAGAAAAAUUAGUAUUCUAUUAAUUUCUAUCGAUUGAUCAACUAAUUAAUUGAAUUUGAGUAAUAUAAUAUACACUUUAGUAGUGUUUGCAUCAAUUCUUUCUACAGCGAAAUGAGAUAUGACUUUCAUUUGAAGAAUGAUUUUAGGCUCUAAAAUAAAGAAAUUUCCUUAAGAUAUUUGAGCAUUAUUAUUAUCAUCACCACAUCCACGAUCAUCAUCAUCUCCAUAGGACCAAAUAAUUAAUGGCUGAUCAUAAAAUUUAUUGCUAAACUAUUAUUUCGAGUAAAAUUGAAGGAAAAGAAAAAACAUAAACACAAACGAACAUACCUCUCCAAGAUACUGCAAAUUGGCUUCAAGUUCAGUAUUGUUGACAGUCAAGUUGGGACAUUUAUGAAGGUCUAACUGUUCCAAUGCUGGCCAAAUUGAACAAUAAUUUUCUGAACAGAAGCUGACGAGUUCUGGGAGAUUUCGAAGUGUUAAUUCUCUUAACAAAGGGAGGGCGAGCAUCGUAUUUCCAUCUCCGACACUUAUUUCCCCUUCAUUGUGAUCAAACUUUGCUUCGACAAUACAUUCUAGCCUGUCGCAAUAAGUCACACUGAGACAUUUAAGCUGCUCCAAACUUCGGGCUUGUGACAACGUGAAGAUAUAUGUCAACUUGUUGCACCUUUGCAAAUUCAAUUCUGUGAGAGUUUGGAGGCUGAUCACAUGUUGGGCGGGCGUCUUCCAUAUCCACUUCAGUUCUGGUAAUUCCUGCAUAAAUAACUCUGCUAAUCUUGAGAGCACCACAGGAUUCCCACUCUUUCCAUGUGGCAACUUAGAGGCGCCCAUUAUGCAUUCUAAAUCCUCACAUUGUUUGACAAAUAGACGAGUCAACUCAUUUAAGCCCCUUUCAUCUAUGCUUGGCACAAUAUUAUGACAACCUAUUAACCCCCUCAAACGAAGAAAUUUCAGAUUUUGAUACAAUGCUGAAAAAAUAACGAGCGAGGUCGCUUCAUGAGGGUAAUUCUCAAUGAUUAAGCUCCUUGUUUCAUCACCAUGUUCCAUGUCAUGAGCAGAUAAUUGACCAUUACUGAUGACGUACCUUUGCAUUUUCGGGAAUGUAAAGUCUUUUGGAAGACAUAUAACUUGGGAGUUCAACUCAGCAAGCCUAGCAUUACUUUCUUCUGAACUCAUCCCUUCAACCUCCCAAUUUUUUAUCCGACCAUAAAAUUCUUCCAAUUGAGGAAAUUUUUUUAUCCCAAUGGGAGAAACAGAACCGGUAUCAAUAUAUAGAAGUUUCAAUCUACGAAGUUCAUCCGACAAUUCUUCAAGAAUUUUAAUGGGAGACUUCUCGAGAAAAAGAAGUUCAAGCCUCUUCAACUUUCCAAGGAAAGACGCGUCACUCACCUCACAUCGAAUCAAUUGCAGAACCUGGAGGUUGGUGAGGAUCUGAAGCGAUUUAAGUGAAAGAACUCCACCUAUUAUAGUGACAACUUUCAAUGCUGGCAUCCCUUCAAAAAAAUGUUCUGGAACUUGCAAUCGGUGGUCGUAUUCAGGAUUCUCCAAUCGCAAAAUAUGAAGGUUAGGGCAUACCAAACCACUAGGAAGCUCUUCUUUUUUAUUUCCCACCAAAGAAAUUCCUCUGUAUUGUUCCAGGCCUUCUUUCAUUGCCCGUUCAGCCAAUCCAAUGCCAACUUUACUAAAAAAUUUCUUCUCCUCUAGAACUAUUGAGCCUAUCCAUAUGGCUACAUCACGAACUAUGUCAUGCAUUUUCACAGAUCUGUCAUUACCAUUGUCUAACAGCAGUGACGCAGCUUUGAGCGCGUUAAUCGUUCCAUACAGUCGGCUUCUGGCGUUUUCUAUUGACGGAUCACAUUGAUACCAAAUAACCCCCACUGCGUAUCCAACCAAAUCCUCCAAAUAAAUCUCAUAAUCUUCUGGAAACAGAGAACACAACAAGAAGCAUAACUUGGACUCCUCACUAUUUAAAUUGUCGUAACUGAAUUUGAGACAACCGUAAACGUCUUGGUCAUCCUUGUCAAUACCUUCUAUUGCAUAGAGUUUUGCUUCCCUUAGGUUAUAUAGUGCUAGAUUCCAAUCAUCAAAUCCUUUUUCUAUUAGUGCACUUCCAACAGCUUCAAUAGCUAAAGGCAGCCCCUUACAUUCGUCAGCAACUUGUUCUGGAACACGAUCCAAGGAGGAGUCGUUUACAUUAAUACCGGCAUUCAUUUUUAGGAGAGUCAAUCCUUCUUCUGGCGUUAGUGUACUAAGUUGAAUCUGUGUGUCACAACCCAAAGAAUCACAAACUGACUUUUUGCGAGUGGUUAGAAGGAUUUUGCAACAAUUAUCUCUACCACCGACGGUAAUACCUAAUUUUUUCUCCAAGUCGAGCUCUUUCCAGACAUCAUCGAUGAUUAUGAGGAUCUUGGUGCUUUUACUGUCAGAAAACAUCGAGCGCAAUCGGUCUGCUCCAUGUUUUUCAUCUUUCUGUUUUAAUUCCCAACCUAAUGAAUUUGCCAGCUCGUUUUGAACAUUUAUUAUGCUUGGAUCCUGAGAUACAGUGGCUAUCCCCACCAUAUCGAAAAUGUUUUUUUCCCGAAGUUGAUUGCCCACAAAUUUUGCCAGGGUUGUCUUUCCUACACCACCGAGACCAUGCAAUCCCACCAUCUUUGUGCUCUCUUUUUUCAGUGCGUCAAUGAUCUGAUUGCAAGCUGAUUCUGUGGUCUCGAAAAUAGAAGUAAAAUGACUUGGCAAACUUAAUUCUCUUUCUAAUGGUAGAGGUUUAGGAAAGGCAACUGUGUUGAAUUGGCUGCAGUCUUGUAGCAGAUCAGACAACUUGCUAGUCUUCUGUGAUGCUUUUCUACCCAGCCAAUAUCGGCAACACCAAUUAGGACACAAUCCAUGAAGACUACUAUCCUUUUCAUCUAUCUCUGCUUGCAACUUCCAAACAUCGUCCAAUUCUUCGACUCCAUUAUUCAGCCACUCCAUUACAUUUCCAUUGACUACUAUGUCGGGGCAUUUUCGUAGCUCAUCGUAUAUUCUUGUUUUGAUGCCAUCUCGUGCCUUCUUCAACUUAGUUUCUUUAUCCUUAAGUUCUUUAACAAUGCUGUUGAAACAGAACAUAUAGCGAGCUUGGUCAAUUGCUGCAUUCACCAAUAAUUCUUCAACCUUUGAUUUUAAAGCUUCCAUGCUAUUUAUCUGCAAAUAACGAAGUUGAUCUCAGCACGCUAUUAGCAAAACAACAAGGCUUGAUCACUAGACAAAAUGAGAACGUUUAAUUACCUUUUUCUGUACUGUGAAUGCACGUCUAUUAACACCAGCUUUGACCAAUAAGAGCAAAAUGCAGAGGCCGGGGGGGGGGGCUUAAGAGUUUCAGUGGCCUUUAGCUGCAAAACGGAAGAUGACAAAUAAGGUAAACGUUCCCAGCAAACGUGAUUUACGGUGAAUUAUAUUCAAAUUAGAUUAUUUUAAAAGUUGGUAAAUUAUUUAUCACUCUAUCUUAAUGAUACCUUAUUUGGGAUGGUAAAGAUUGGGGGUAAACUCCCUUUUAUUCUCACAUGUUUAUAGUAUUUAUAUUUUUAUAAAUUACCUAAAACAUCCACGUCACUACUUUUAUGGCUAUUGAACAUAUCAUUUCAAAUAUAAAAUACUAUUUCGGUCUAAUAUAAAUUAAAAAUCAAACAAAUCUAUUGUGCAAUAAAUGAAAAGUAAAGAAUAUUAAUUAGGUUUUAAUGGAAACAAAUAUAAAACAUAGAGGUUUUGAGUAACUUUUGUGAUUUUUUUUUUAAUGUUCAAUUUAGAAUUGAAUAAUUUGCAUAAUGAAAUUUUGAGGUUUCUAUAAUUUAUAUGAAGAUAAACUGAAAAAUAAGUUUAUAUGCCGAAAUUAAAAUAGUUAUAUAUUAGCAAUCAUAUAAUUAUCAAAAAAAUUAAUAAAAUUUAUUUAAAAAUUGGCCAAUUGUGUUUCAUGAGGAAAACAGAGAGCAUAAUGGACUUAUGUUGGGUCUUGGGAUUGAAGGACUAAGGGCAAGGGGCUGGGAGGUAGGACGGUAGGAAAAUUAAUUUUUUUUUUUUUUUAAAGUAUGGUCAACAUUAGUGACUUGGAGGUGAUUGCCGUUAAUCAAUUACCUUUAACUUAAGAAUUAAUACAAAUAAAUGGCAAAAAUAAUUUAAUGAAAAUUAAUUUAAUAAAAAAUUGCACUAAAAACUUAGAACUCAAAUUCUCGAUCAUUUUAUCCGUACGUUUUAAUCCGACGCUCAGAAUUGGCAUAAAACAAACUAAUAUAGCCAUUGGAAGUAAAACAAACAUCAAAUCAAGAGCCUAUGAAACGAUAAUAUCUCGUACCUUCUUCCUUAUAGAUCCUCAAUUGCUGCUGAAAGCUGCAUAUGACAAUAUAAAUAAACAUGAGAUCAAAACAUCAUAGGAUAUAUCUAACCAAUUAACAUCAUAUAUAACUCCUUGUUCUCAGUCAAAUCUUUCAUUCUUAGAUUAAAAAAAAAAGAAAUAAUAACUGUUAAGUGAUAUAGGAAGCAAAAGUAACACACCGAAAUGAAAGCAGCAAGUUCACAAAUGACAGAUGCGGUGACUUCAAGAGCAUGAAAAAUGAUUAAACUUUGGUAGAAAGGUCUGAGCCGUGUUUCACAAGUUGCUAUUGACUUCGUGGCUUCGCUUUUAUUUAUUAUUAUUAUUAUUUUUUUAAAUUCUAUAUCAGUGAGAAUUGAAAUGUGGAAAGUGUAAUGAUACACAUGCCUUAUCAUCUAUCAUGAGGGGUGAUUUGGUAAAACCGAUUUAAAAUAAAAAAAAGUUUAAAAAAAUUGAAAAAAGAUGCUUUGUGUCUGACUGCCUGUAUUUGGGGUAUUUUUCGGGUUGUUGAGAGUCAGUUUAAUUAAAUAUAAGAUUUUCAUUUUUCUUAUUAUAUUUUUCUCUUUAGAAUGAAUUUAAAUCUCAUUCUUAUUAAAUCCAUUUUUUUAAAUGAAAGUAGAUUUCUCUCCACACAUUUGAGAUAUAUUUUAAAAUUAAUGUUCAGCAUAUCUCUAAAUUAUAUUAUAAAUAUUUUUAUUUAAAAUCUCAACAAAUUUCAUAACACACAGAGAGAAAUACAUAUAUAUGUUGUAAUGUUUUAAUGAUGGAUCUCUAAAGUUGUCAAGUUAAAAAAUAAAUAAAAAAAUAAAAAAUACACACUUCAACUUAUUAUAUGAUAAAAUAUAGUAUAUUAAAGUGAGUAUUUUUUGUGUGAAAUAAAAUUAAAGUGAGUACUAUUACCACCUCACAUCUUAUAAAUUCUAGAAAAUAAUCAAGGCUUGACAUACUUUUAUUUAUGCAAAAGCAUAAGAAAAUAAUUCAAAGUAAUAAUUAGUGUACUAUUCCUCAAAAUUCUAGAAUAGAUUUGUUAGUUCUCUUUAUCUAUAGAUUGGUCCAUGAUUGGCAUCGCAAUAGCUCAGAAUCGCCUCAACGAUUGUUCCACACGGUCCAAGUCUUCUUAGCAAUAGUUUUAGAGAAAGUGUUUAGUAGUUCCAAGUCUUCUUUUUUUAACACAAAUGUUGGCAUGAUAUUCUUAAUAUAUUUUUAAAAUCAAAAUAAGAUGCAUAGAGGACAAUAAUUUUAUUUGAUAAUUGAUUUUUUUGCAAAGAAAGUUUGAACAUGAGAGUGAUGAGAGAUGAGAAUAUUGAUGAUGGUGUGUACUUUAGAUGGAAAAAUAGAUUGGAAAUAUAUAUAGACAUAUUAAAAGAAAAAAAUUUGGUCUAUUUCAUAAGAGAAACAAAAAAUUAUAAACGCAGGUGUUAAAAUGUAUUCAGAAUUUAUAAAUUUUUAUAAAUAUGAUAAUCAUUAGACCCUUAUAAAAGUAUAGCAAAAAGUUUAAAAUUUUUUAAUAAAUGUCGAAGAGAUGGACGAAGAAACCAUCCACCAGUUCAGAAUUAAUAAUCAAAGAUAUGAGGAUUCGAUCGAAGAAAUGGUGAAAAAUAAAAGGUCACGGGAUUGGUUAGUGGGACCCUAACAUUAAUGGUAAAAAAUAAAAGGACACUGGGUUGCUAUCAAUUUUUACAGUGUAGGUUCAUAGCCGGGGAAGUAAUUGGGCACAAAUAUCUCGGAUGAGAAAUAUCCAUUUUAUCCCGCAACUUUAUGUUUAUGGCCUCUAAAAAUUUUCACCUCUUUCACUUCUGGAACCCGUGCUUUCUGGCACAUGCACAAUACUUGGUUGCUACUUAUAAAGCGUUUUUACAAUUGCAACGACAUGGUGCUCUUUGAUAAUUCAAAAAUCCAAUAUAAUUUAUAGAGAAUUACAGAAUUGUGGUACGUGAUAAUUUGCUGACGCAAUGAGGCGCCUAAAUUCUUAUACAUGGGAUUUAAGUUAAAUAUGUAUAAUUAUGUAAUUAGAAAAUACUAGUUGGGGGUAUUUGUGUCCAUGAAAAUUUACAGCUGGUUGUUGACAUUACACUGCGGGUGUGUAAGUGUAAUCAUGGAUCUGACCAUUCAAAUUAAAAAAUGGGGGUCCCACUAACUUACGGAGUUAGUAAUUAUUACAUAUGCAGAUAUUCUCCCAUACGAUAACCUUAUCAUAAAUUUAAAGGAUACGAGGACUUGAUUGAAGAAAUGAAUGAAUAUUUGAAUUAAAAAAAAUUUAUAAUAAAGACAAGUAUUAAUUUACUAUGAAUGUAACUUACAUAUGCUGUAAGUUAGCGGGACACUAUUGAAUCACAAGCAAAAAACAAUCUGUCUUCUUCUUGAUUCCGUAAUUUGGCUGUCAAAAUGUAAUCUAUAAAGAUUACGAUACCUCGAUUCAAAAAAAUAUUUUUUUUUCUUAUGAAAUAAAUGAAAACUGAACACCAUUCAAUUAACCGUUUAUUUCCCCUUAAAUUUUUAAUCUCAAUGAAACAUAGAUCUAAUGGGAACUACACAUAUAUAAAAAUACUAUAGAUUGAAGAAGUUGAAUUUUUCUUGUGUGUUAAGUAUUUUUGGUUAAUACGAAAGGAUUCUAGCAAGUUAAUACAAAAGUAUCAUAAAUUCACUGUAGUACAAGAUUUUUUUUUUUUUCCUUUGAUGUUAAGAGUUUUGGAGAUUAAAAAAAAAAGAUGAAAGAAGAAGAUGAGAGAAGAAAAAAUAUUAAGAAUAGUUUUGGCAUUUUGAUGCGUUUUAUAGAGUAAAAUUUAUAUUUUAUAGUAUAAAAUGGUACACCCAAAAUUUAAUGAUAAAAUUUUAGGAAAAAAUUGCACUCGUCAAAAAAAAAAAAGAGGCUCAGCUUAGCCCAAAAUUUUUUUAUUAAUCGUCUAGUCACAAAUGUAAUCUCUUUUUUAUGAGAUUCUUUGGCGUUUUAAUUUAGUCCAUUGUUAGCAAUCCUAAUAGCUUUUAUGUGCACCUAUUUUUAUGUGAAAUAUGUUUCAAGCUUGAAUAAAAUCUGCGGGACAACUGGUAAGUAAUAAAGCUCAUCAUUUUUUAUUUUGAAAAUAAAGGGAAUCACUUACACUUUAGCACGAUAUUAUUUUUGAUAAGUCAUUUUUUGGAUAGAUUAUUUUUUCUGACGGGUAAUUUUUAGGACCUCUCCUGAAAUUUGAUGUAUUAACACUUAGAUGAAAUGUAUCCAUAUAAUUACAUAUACCUCCCCUAUUGUUAAUAUAAAAAUAUGUAUAGCGUCAGAUAAAAGGGUAAAUAUGUAAAAAUAUAUUUAAAAUUAAAAAUAUUUACUUUUACCAAAUCAUUAAAAUUUUGACCCACUUGCCCGCUGUUGGCCCAACCUUGACCAGCCGGUCAUGGCUCCACCGGCGACUGGUGGUGGUGCUUUGCCACUGCCGGAGUCCUCUCCUCACACCUGCGACCAAUCCCAUUCACGGCAGCCUUUGAAUCAACUGCAUCAACCAACACACAUUAACACAAGUACACGGCUUUUUGAAGUCUCUUUUGUUUUGCGUUUUCCCUUCACUGAGAAAAUUUGUCAGCUAAUAUAAUAAGCUUUGUUGCCUUAGAUUUGAGAUUACAGAGUCCUGAGCAGAUGUUGUGGCUGUGAUGUGGGUUUUAUUGUAUUUGACUAAUAGGCAAAAUACCUUUUAUUGGCCUACAAGGACGGUGCCUUUUUCUUCUUGUUGGGGAACUUCGUGAAGAAUCCAGCUUGCUUUUUUCUUCCUUUUCUUUCUUCAUUUUAAUUCAUUUUUUAAUUUAUAAUAACUUUUUGAGAUUGAAUUAUCGGCUUCACAUGUAAACAAUGGCAUUUGGUAUGUCACAAGUGCAUAGUUAUUCUUAUUUUUUAAUUUAUUUUUUUCUGAUGUUUUUGUUGCUGGAAUUAAUUUCUCAAGGUUUUGGCAUCACUCCCCAUUGGAUUUGCUAUGUUCAUGGUACAAUUGGCCACAAUCCCAAUCACUCGCACUGGAAUUAACCCAGCAAGGAGUCUCGAAGCUGCUGUUAUUAACAAUAAGGACAAGGCUUGAGAUUGACCAAUGGCUCUUUUGGGUGGUGGUGCUUUGCCACUGCCGGAGUCCUCUCCUCACACCGGCGACCAACCCCAUUCAAAGCAGCCUUUGAAUCAACUGCGUCCACCAACACACGUUAAUCCAAGUAUGCUUUUGUCUCAUCAGAACCCCCACACCCCCGCUGCCCCUUUGGCAAUCGCCGACGCCACCCAAUAGCGGCUAACAUCACCCUUGAACCAUCCCGAUACCAUGCCGCAACCUCUAGCAUCCCAAAACCCAAACUGCACACAACUCUCAAAACCCUUGCUCGAGCUUGUCACGCCGCAUACCACUGCCGUAAUUUGUACCAACAGUGAUGGUUCCAUAUCGUCACUGUCCAUCCCCUCAACCAACCCCCCAUGCAACCCCGACCUCAAUAACAUCUCAACAACCACGAACGCACGAUUUCUUCAACCUGCACUUACGGCCACUUUUAAUGAAAUUCUCACUGCCAACGGAAUUCUCAAAGUUAUAUAUAAUAAUUUAUUAUUUCAGCAGCAAGGAUAGUUUAAUAAUUUUAAAUGUUUAUUAACGGUCAUCUUAAUUAGUAACUAACGGCAGGGGAGGUAUAUGUAAUUACAUAAAUACAUUCUAUCUAAGUAUUAAUAAACCAACCCUCACAGAAGGUCAUUAGAAAUUAUCCUUUUUCUGACAGGCUCUUAGAUUUGGGAAAAUAAAUUGUGUACUUUUAAUGAAGAAAAGUAAAAGAUCAAUAAAAUAUUUUGUUGUUUUCGACAAUUUUUGCGUUGUCAAGUGCGCCUGGUACCUUUUUUUUUUUUUUAACUUUUGAGUUGUUGUUUAAUUUGUAUUAUAAUUAAUUAUCAUGGACCCACGUGCCACUGUUUCCAUUUCAAGUUUCAUAAUUUAACAGUGGAAAUGGGUUCCACAGAUAAUUUAUUUUAUAAUUUUUUAAAAAAAUUAUCAAAAUGUAAUAAAUAAGGUAAUAAUAAUUAAUAAAAAGUAGAUUUUAAGAUGGAAAAAUCUUUUUGUGUACUUAAUAAAAAGAUGAUAAGAUUGGGAUGCUUUUGGUUUACAUUCUCAUAGCUAUUUCUACUGAAAAAUUACAUCAAAAUUUAAUUAAUAAAUCAGUGAACUGCAGACUUAUUAAAUUUAAGCAAUUUUAAUAAGUCAUAAAUAUACUAAGUUAAAAUAGUAGUAAACCCAUCGUUACACAAUUCUCUCCAUUGAAUGUUCACCACUUUAAGAUAAUCAUAAAAUGACACUGGAUGUGCUAUUAUCUGUUUCAUUAAAAGCCUUCACAAAAUAAAAGGCCGGUGAACAAAGUUGGUCAUAGAAAAAAGGAGCAUAGAGCACAUACAUCCAGUUUUUAUAUCCUCUGAUACUGAGUCGUCACAUGCUAAUGCUAUAGACUAUAUGAUAAUCUACUAAGGUGACGCAUGCCAAUGCUAUAGACUAGCUUUUCAAAGGUUGAAGUGGGUAUACUUUUAGUAAAAAGACCUGCAAAAUUAUAAUGUAUCUAUUUGACAUCAACUUUUUUUAUCUGCUGGAGCUUAUGAUUAUAGAAGAUCUUCGGUAAGAUGUGUUUGAUUUUAUCUUCUUUUAUAUAUCCUCCUCUAACUUGUGUAAUAGUAGUAAACCCCUGCCCGUUUUUAUUUCGUUUAGUAUUUUCUAAAUGGCCGAAGGAAAAUUGGUAAAAACUCAUUUAAAAAUAAAAAAAAAUCAAAGAAAUUCAAGAAGAAGCUUUCUAUCUGCCAUUUGUAUUUGGGGUAUUUUUUUGGUUGUUAAGUGAAUGAGCUUAAAUCUAAAACAUUUAUUUAUAUAUUUCUUGUUGGAAAGAAUUUAAAUUUUAUUCUUAUUAGACUUAUUCUCUUUAAACAAAGGUAGAUUUUUCUCUAUGUGUUUAACGUGUAUUUUAAAAUUAAUGUUCAACAUAUCUUUAGAUUCUAUUAUAAAUAUUCAUAUCUAAAAUCUCAACAGAUUUCAUAAUAUAUAAAGAGAGAGAAUAACGUUUCUAAUAAAAAAUUUAUUAAGUUAAAGAAUAAUUCAAAAGAUAAAAUAACACACUCCAAUAUAUUAUAUAAUAAAAUAUAUUGUAUUAAAAUAUAUAUUUUGUUUACUUUUUUUAAUAUAUCUCCUAAUAACUUAAGAAAUCAUUUAUUUAACUAUAUAUAUAUAGAGAGAGAGAGAGAAAAAUGUUCACGAGAAACCUUUAAAACUGCAUGGUUUUAAAUGUUUAAAAUGUAAGAACCGAUGAACAAUUUUUGACAAAGACGUUGCGACCUAAGUAGGGAUAGCAACUAAAUUCGGAUCCAACUCGGAUAUGUAAGGAUCCGAAAGAUCCAGAUCCAGAAAAUUUUUUAUCUGAAUAUUAAAAAAUGUUGAUCCGGAUAUAGAAAUUUGGGAUCUGCACGUAUUGGGAUGGAAGUACAUUCGGAAAAUUGGAUAACGAGAUCUAGAUAACUUUUGUUUCAAAUUAAAAAUAUAUAUUAAAAAUUAAAUGAAAAAUUAAAAAAGUAAAUUUCAUUUGUGGAUUUAUGAUGUUGUUGUAUAUUAUUCAUGUUGAAUUAUUAAUUGCUGGAUAUGAUUGAAUUUUUUUUGAAAUUAUUGGGUAAAUUUUUGAAUUUUAUUUUAAAUUAAAAAUAUUUAUUAAAAAUUAAAUAAAAAUAAAACAUUAAAUUUUAUUUGUAAAUUUAUGAGAUUAUUGUAUGUUAUUCAUUUUGAAUUAUUAAUUGUUGAAUUAUGAUUAAAUUUUAUUUGAUAUUAGUAGGUAAAUUAUUAAACUUUCAAAUUAUAUAUUAAAUUAUUUAAUUAUAAUUUUUACGGAUCCGAAUAUCUAGAAUAUCUGUUCGCAUCCGGAUCUACAUAUUUUUUUACGAAUCCAGAUAUAAAAAUAUGAAUGUGGAUCCAAAUUCGGAUUUUGCCAACCCUAAACCUAAGCAUGAAUGUGCCUAAAGUUUUUACUAAGAACAUGGAUCAUUCAAUGACACGACAUGUUUUGCAGCUCUCAUUAGUAUAAUUGAAUAAUUAAUUCAUCUCUAUAUUCAGCUUACACCGUCUCAAAUUGCAUGCAAAUACGAAAGUACACUUUUGAAUCGUUCACUUGAGGAAAAUUAGAUUCUCCACGUAGAAUUUAGAUUCAAAGCAUAGCAAAUUAGACAUAAUUCUAAUUUAUAUGGGAAAUAUAAUUAGCGAAGACACUCUUUAUAUAAACAUUAUUGUCAUAGGAUGCCAAACCUAAUAAGAUUCAAGAUCUUAACAUACUUCAUAUGAAAUUUGAUCUUGACGCGUACCGACACGCAUAACAUCAAGACUCUACUUCAUAUAAUGUAACUUCAUGGAUUUUUCGCUCUCUUGUGAAAUUGACAAUUAUGGGCGCUGUGUGGCAGUGGUACAUAAUAAAAUAAACAUUUAUUUUUAGAAUAUUAUUAUUUAUCUCAAUUUUUUAUUUAAUAGUUAAUUUUAAUCAAUUCUUAAACUGUCAUAAUCAAUUAAUUUUUUACAUUAUGGUAUCUUAAAUAAAUUUUGGAUCUGUAAUAAAUAAAAACUGGUAACGUUUGUUCUUUUAAAACAUAAAACAACCGUAACAUUGGUUUUUACAUUUUGAAUUUUUCUUGCAUCACUAUUUAGAAAAAUGAUGUUAAAUCAACUCACAAAAUAUAUCAAGUCAUCUAAAAUCCAAAUAUUAUUACAUUUGUAUUUGUAUUGUUAAAUUGUUGGAACGACGGCAAAGCAAUUGAAAAGAGAUUAACAAAAAAGUAAAGAUUGGCCAAGGAUUAUUCAUGUUUAGGAAAUGCCUUAACUUUUGAUAUAAUCAUUGUUAUAAUUAUAUUGUAGAAAUAAUCAAUUACCUGUGUUUAUGUUGGUCUCCUUUUUUUCCAUUUCUGUACAACGAAAUAUUUGCAUGUUUUGAUAGAAAUUGGUUUAAAUGACAUUUAAAAUUGUAUAUCCCCAGACAAUUAACGAAAUAUUUGGAUGGUAGGAUGAAGUAAUAAAUAGUUUUACAAAUUACCAUAUUAGAGGUAAAAAAAAAUAAAAUCGAGAGGUUACUUGACAAUUAUGACGUUACUAACUACAAAUUUAACACAAAAAGUUUAAUUAACUUUUCUUUUUGAGAUGACAAAAUCUCUGGUGUUGAAAACAAUGAGGUUUGAGGUUCAAGCUUGAAUAUUAAGUUACAAUUAGUAGAUGGUCUUAGGACAUAUCAAAGAUUUCUUUAAAGACAAAAUAAUUAUUAUAAGCAAUAGGAAAUUAUGGUAUUCAGAACAUGUAACCUUCGCACAUGAAGCUUGAAUCCAGAACAAGAUGCAGCUAGCCAAUCCUUCCAACUUCCAAAAACCCACAAAAUCUCUGUCAACAUGUCUGUUCUACUUCAAUAAUAAGCACAUUCAUAGCGGUAUCAACAGCUUACAGCGCCAAAAUAUUUUCCCCAAAAAGAGUGAGAGAUUUCACUGAAGCUAAGUUGUGACUUGUGACUGCCCAAAUGUUCUAUAACACGAUAUGAUUAUUCUAGUAACAUCAACAUUUGCAUCCUUCUGUAUCUGUCUGAGCUCCUGAAGCAUGAUACCCGGUUGCCCAGCAAAAGAUGCAGCUAUCACAAUGAAUAAGGGAACAAAAUAGAUAACAAAGUCACAAAAACAAAGCUAAUCACAAUGAAUGAUAAGGUUUAGAGUAAACAUAAAGUUAUAAUCUUGAACAUAAGUGGCGCUCUUGAGGAAAAAAAAAAUUCAUUCUAACACAACAGAAUAAAUUGUAAAGAAAUCCCAGUUUGUAUAAAAGAAAGAAAACAAAAUUAAGGAAAACAUAAGCACAACAAAAUUUGACUGAUUAUUAAAAAUGAGAAAUGAGUUAUAAUGAGAAUUUUGGCUUUGUGGUGAAAUAAAUUGGGAAGUAUCCAAAGUUCGCAUGUAAAUAAUAUAAAUGAUAAGAAGACGAAGGGAACAAAAUGAUAAUAAGCAAGCCAAAUAUUAAAAUGCAGAUUCUACGCUUCCGCCCCCCCAUACUUCAAGUUAGUGUCUCGCUAAUCAUUUUAGAUGUAUCAAUUACAAAGGGAGGCCAUCUAUUUAUGGUAAGCGUACGCCUCUAAUGCUUUGCCAAGUGUCCAUUGAUAAUAUCACAAGGGCAAUUAAAUUGGUGUAUGUGUAUUACACCUCCUAAAGUCAUGUUAAGAUAGUUAGUGAGCUGAUAAAGUUUGUUGCACGUGUGAGUUGGUUAAGUCUGCUAGAAAUGCAAACGUGUAAAGCUGAGUCAGCAAGUUAGUUAACGUUAUUAUGAAUGCUUAGAUUCAGCCCACGUGUAUUGUAUGUAAUACUUAGAUUCAGGUCACGUAGAUUGUGUAUACAACUUUCUAAUAUGAGUAAUGAUACAGCCACAAACUCUUGUACAAACUUAUUUUAUACAAACUGACGUGAUAUUUAAUUCAAACUGAUGUGGGCCAAGUGAUAUUUAAUUCAACCAAUCUUAUCAUGCCACAUCAGUUUGUACAAAAUAAAUUUGUACAAGAGUUUGUGGCUGUAUCAUUACUCUUCUAAUAUUAUUUAGAUCUCAAUAUAAAUACUUGUAAUCAACAAAUACAAUAAUAAGAGUCAUCAUUCUUCAUUUUCUCUCUGUUUCUCUCAUAUUUUCUCUGCAUCCAAACACAAUAUUCUCAGUUCUUGACUGGUAUUAGAGUCGCAGUUUAAUUGUCCUGGCUUCGUUAAGCACAAAUUCAAACACAAAUCAGUCUCCUUCAUUCUUUACCCUCACAAAUGCGAUCAAAUUGGACAGAUCUUACUAUACGAUCUGGAAAUCUCAGAUCCUCUCUUCAGUGUGUGCCAAUGGACUUGAAGGCUUUCUUAAUGGAACUAAAAUUUGUCCAGAUCAGUUACUUACUCAAGAGAUUGAAAGUUAUGGUGUUGAAAAUGUUGUUGGUGAAAGCUCAGCUGAUAGAUCUCAGGAGAAUCCAGCCUUUGUUGCUUGGAAGAGGUAGGAUCAAUUGUUAUUAAGUUGGCUCAUGUCCUCCAUCAGUGUUGAGAUACUUAAGUCUUGUGGUAAAUUCUGAUUCUUCUCAUAAACUUUGGACUAAUCUUGAAGAAAAUUUUUGGAUUAGAAAAUAUGGCUAAGAAAGCACACUUAAAAAAUGAUGUUAAGCAAUCUCAAAAAGGGAUCAAUGACAAUAACUGAGUAUUUUGCCAAACUUAGAGCUGUAACUAAUAAACUUGCUCUAACUGGUAGACCUGUUUCUACUCUAGACUUUAUUACUCAUCUAAUCUCUAGAUUAGGCCAGCCAUACUACCCUGUUGUUGUGUAUAUUGAAGCUAAUAUGUUGAAAAUAUUUGUCAAUGAAGCCUAUUCUAUGCUUUUAACUCAUGAAGCAAGAAUUAAAUUUAAUCAUCCGAGUGCAAAUAAAGAAGCAAAGUUGAAUUAUGCUGCUAACAUAGCUUUGGCUGGACCUAGUAAUAACAAUAAGAAGUCUAGUAAUCAAGCUAAUUACUAUCAGGGCAACCAAGGUAACUGGAAUAGAAAUGCUAAUUGGUGUGGUAACAAUGGAGGAAGAGGUGGCUUUGGCAGAGGUUUUUCAGGGCAAGGAAGGAGUAAUUAGAAUAAUGGUGGUCAUUGGAACAACGAACCUUGGAGUAGUAGUCGAGCAGGUUAUAAUUGUUCUGAUAUAAACAUUAUGACAUGGUUGUUGGUGAACCUGUAAACAUAACCACAAAAGUAAGAAGGCAUAAUCUUUUUAUAAGAAACUCAAAAAUGUAUUAAUGAUGAAAAUUUUAAAACAGAUAGCUGACCAGCUGUUCACUAAGAAAACAAAAAACUGAAUAUUUGUGCUAUAAAAAGGCACACCCAAUCUCACCCCUAUAAAAGGCUAGAAUCAGCUACAAAUCCCUAUCUCAAAACCCCAUCCCAGUUUAGAUGAAUGAAGAAAAAAGAUGAAUCUUGAAACUCCUUAGAAACUGAAGCCCAAAGUGAAGCAAGAAGAUGAACUCUAUCCCAAGCAAGCAAUAUGGCAUAUUUCUCCAUUAAUGGUUCAAAUAAAGUGAAUGGCUUUCUCUGAUGAAUGGGAAAUUGUCAAGAUCAAUAGUCAAACUCACGCAAAGUAAACGGACUUAAUUCUCAGAGGCUACUCAUUCUAAGUCUUAAAGAAAAAUUUUCUAAUUUCUAAAGAUUAUAUGGGGAAAAAUCAUUAUUUUCUAACAUGGAAAAUUUGAUACGCUGUUUAAUGUCUGAUCACAAUCAUAAUAUGAGUACUAACAAAAACAUCUUUAAUCGGCAUGGUGCGAGUAAAACACCAUCACUUCAUCUUUGAUGGAAAGAUGAUAACAUAAAGAGAUGGUGAAAUGGUUUUGGUCCUUGGCAGCUUGUAAUCAAAAGAAAACAAAAAUCUACACUAUUAUUAAUGAUUACCGAAGCUACAGAAGUAUCAAAAUCGGAAAGUAAACAAUUGCAAAACACAUCAAUGACUGAAGGUUAGGUUCUAAAACUUCCGUAUUUAAUUUUCAAAGCAUGUUAUGUAUUAUUCAGAAAUAUGCUUUCACUUCAGGCACUUGACCAAGACGCAUUAAACAAAAAACGUGGCGUUUUCAUGGACUAGUACAUUCCAUGCUUCGAAAGUUUAUGUUUUAGACUGAUUCGUUUGAUACAUUAUUUGUUUAUUGCGUUUUUCUUGCUUUAAAUAUUAUGUUGGAUUGAUAAGUUUUGUACACAUUUAUAUUGCUCGCAGUAAAUAAUUUAUGACAUUUAAAAAACUAGCAACCGUCUAUCAAAAGAUUUCUACUAUAAAUAUAUAUACACAAAAAACUUUUAAUUUGGUCAAUUUGUUCUCUUAUUUAUUUUUGUUCUAUUUCUCUUUUCCUUUCCUUUCAUUUUAUUGUUUUAUGGUACAAAAUAAAAAAAUAACCUUAAAAUUUAGGGCAAAGCUAUGGUACCACAAUUGUAUGGUACCACAGCUGGAUCCAACCAUUGGAUCUAUCCCACAGUUGUCACCAGAAUUAGAUCCAAAGGCUGGAUCCAGCUGUGGUACCAUACAACUGUGGCACCAUAGUUAGACCCUAAAAUUUAAGGGUAAAAUACUCAUUUUACUAAAAUUCCGUUUAAUAUUAUAAAGCUGUCAAAUGUCAAUGGCAUAGUACACGAGUGAUACAAAUUAAAAACAAUAAAUGGCACCCCGGCUUUCGCAGCGUACUCAAGUGCAGCCACCACUCCAGAAUCUGGUACUGCAAUCACGACAUCACUCAACAGGAGCCUCGGUAGCAAGUACUUCCCCAAAAUGAUACCUCGACUCACAAACAUGUUGAAAAGUCAUGCACAUGACAUUCAAAUUCAAAAAUGCAUGCAAAAUUUCAAAUGGCUACCAAACAUUUGAAGAAAAAAAUGAAAAGUUGGCAAAUUUGUCAAAUUUGAGAAAUGGACACCAUUGACUAUUGGCUUAGGUUAGGUGGAAUAGUAAAGGGGUUGGUGCAAUAGUGCUAUUAUUUUUCCUAUAAAUAGAUGGCACUUAUUCCAUUCUUAAGCAUCCCAAAAUUGUUAAGCUUAUAAGUUUCUAAGAUUUUAAGAGAAGUGAGAGAAGUGUGUCUGUGGAAUUUAUCUUUCCUGCAGAGUGUGAGAGUACUGGGUAUAUUUAGGUUUUUGGGAAGUGAGAUUCGUUACUCAAAUAUUGUACUCUAUUAAUUGUUAAAUAAACAAUUAUUCUUUCUUACCUCCGUGGAUGUAGGUUUAAUUACCAAACUACGUAAUUCUUGUGUCCUUUAUUUUUUUGUAAUUAUUUGGUGCGCUUGAUUCCGCAUUCCGCGCACAACAAGUGGUAUCAGAGCCGACGGUUCGUACUUGGGGAGAUACGGUACUGUUCACGUAUACGGUAUUAUUCCCGUAUACAGUACUAUUCACGAAUACGGCGGAGACGGCCAUUUGUACUUGGGAGACAGUCUAUUAUAAGUAGUGUGUAUUUUUGCAUGUCUAGGAAAGUUUUGUCAACAAAGGCGAUAAGAGUCUAAGGAUUCUGGUUUUUAAUUGGGACCGAGUUCCCGUCCAGUCUCCUGAAAACUUUCCUGGUGCAUUUAUUCACGUGAAAUUAACAUUAUAGAGACUGUUUUUCAAGUGGAAAUAGUUCGUUGAGAAAAUGGUAGAAGGUGAAACUUCCAGAAUUGGGGAGAGAUCUACCGAGACUAUUUCAGGAGACACUUCAGGUGGGAGGCGAGAUUUGUCAAAUCGCUAUUCAGCACCUGUUAUAGGAGGCUAGAAGACCGAUGUUGAAAAGUUUGAUAGGAAAAUCAACUUCGGCAUGUGGAGGCGCGAAGUUAUGGAUGCCCUUAUUCAAAUUGAUCUCGGUGUUGUGUUGUUGAGAAAGAUCGAUACCAAAGAUAAUCCAUCAGAUAUAUUGAUGAAGGUAGUUUCUGGAGUUAAGUUUCAACAUUACUUGAAAUUAAUUCAAAUCCUUCAAUUGUAUUAAGAUAUGUCCUUCGGGAAUUAUGAACUACGGUUGGCUUGAUCCCAAAUUUUGGGUACGUAGGCAGUCGAAUCGACACAGCCAUUCUGGAUCCUUAUUGAAGGAUCACUUUGGGGAUGAGGGUUCAUUGGUAGUUGGCUCAGAUUUGGACAAAUUUUCGUCGAGGUGGAGAAUUGUUGAAAAGUCAUGCACGUGACUUUCAAAUUCAAAAAUGCAUGCAAAAUUUCAAAUUGCUACCAAACAUUUGAAGAAAAAAUGGAAAGUUGGCAAAUUUGUCAAAUUUGCCAAAUGGACACCAUUGACUAUUGGCUUAGGUUAGGUGGAAUAGUAAAGGGGUUGGUGCAAUAGUGCCAUUAUUUUCCCUAUAAAUAGAUGGCACUUCUUCCAUUCUUAAGCAUCCCAAAAUUGUUAAGCUUAUAAGUUUCUAAACUUUUAAGAGAAGUGAGAGAAGUGUGUCUGUGGAAUUUAUCUUUUCUGCAGAGUGUGAGAGUACUGGGUAUAUUUGGGUUUCUGAGAAGUGAGAUUCGUUACUCAAAUAUUGUACUCUAUUAAUUGUUAAAUAAACAAUUAUUCUUUUUUACCUCCGUGGAUGUAGGUUUAAUUACCGAACCACGUAAUUCUUGUGUCCUUUAUUUUUCUGUAAUUAUUUAGUGCGCUUGAUUCCGCAUUCCGCGCACAACAAAACAAACCUUCCAAAAACAACAGAAUUAGGCAAAGCAAAAUAAAUAUGCUCAAAGAUGCACUGCUUAGGUUCAGGGUGAGGCAUCAAACAAGGUGAUUGAACCCCAUCUUUAUCCACCAUCAAAACUUCACCGGGAUAUACCUCUCUCUCUCUCGCUCUCGUAUGUGGCCUCAAUCAAAUAGUGCACAAGUCUCUGACGCAAAAACCAGAGCACCAUUACUCCUACCCAUCACCAAUGGCAUAAACCCAUACGGGUCACGAACCGCAACAAGCUUAUCCUCAGUAACAAACACCAUUGAAUAAGCACCCUCAAGCUUCUCACAAACAUCCAUAAUCCUCAAAAAGAACGGCCUAGCUUUCGAUAUCGGAAUCAAAUGGAGAACAACCACAGUAUCAGAACUAGUAUUGAAAAUGGAUCCAUUAUCUUCGAGCUUAGCCCUCAAAGUAUUAUAAUUAACUAAUGUGCAACACCAACAGAACCAAACCUGUACCCAGCAACAAAAGGCUGCACAUUCUUAAGCAUAGAACUACCCGCAGUCGAAUAUCUAACGUGACCAAUGGCCAUAUCACCCGGCAUUUGAUCAAGUUUAGACUGAUUAAACACAUCAGACACUAAACCAACACCAGUAAUAGACUGAAGAACUUUGUUAUUCACAGCAACUAUACCUGCACCUUCUUGGCCGCGAUGCUGCAUCGCGUGUAGCGCCAAAUAGCACAAACGCGAGGCCUCUGGGUCACCAUAGAUGCCCACAACACCACACUCCUCACGGGGCUUAUCGUCGUCAUCAUCAUCAAAACUGCCAAAACCGUCAUCUGGGUAUUCUUUAUUUGUGGUGAAAAACUCAGAGAUGGGGUUUUUUUGAUAGAACAGUGAAGUUAUUUUUGUGGGUUAAAGAUUGUUGUUUCUGAGGAAAAAAGGGGUUUUUUGCGGGGUUUUGGAGAAAAGAGAAAGAUGGGUUUUUUGCGACGGCUUAGGGUUAGCAGAGGGAGAUGGGUUUGAGAGAAGGCAGAUGUUGGCGGUGCCUGUUGUGGUGGCUGCCAUUAAUGGCUGAAUUUAUUUUAUUUUAUUUGUUUUGGGUUGCCUUGCUCAAAGAAAAAACAUAGGAGGUGUGUGGAGGGAGACAGUGGCGAAGGGUACUUUAAGUAGAGGGGAACUUGUUCUAGGUUUUUUUCUGGAAUUGUGAGGGAAUCUGAUCCUGGGUUUGUGCAUAUGAUUCAAUUACUUAUAGGUGAUACUGUUGUGUCACCACAAAUUCUAAUUGGGAAGCUUCAGUUGUCAAAUUUUUUUCCAAGGGUUAAUUAGGUAGAACUUUCAUGUCGUCGAUUUUAUUUGGAGAUUCUAAAAGUAGUUUCCAAAAUCAACAAUGUGACACAGAUGCUUUAGAUUUUUUCCCUUGUGGGACAUGAAAAUUGAUGCAUGUUCCAACGCAUUGCUCUAUCAGAAUUGGAAUUAAACUUAGGUGCCGUUUGUUUUUUUGUCUGAAAUCUGAAUAGACUUGAAUUAGUCUGAAUUCUGAAUAGGUCUAAAUGUCUGAAUCCGAAUAAUAUGUUUGUUUUUUCGUCUGAAUCUCGAAAAAUAAGUAUUAAGUUGUUUUUUUUUUUUCAACUUAAAAAGCUGAAAAUAUGUACUUUUACAUUUGUAUCCUUAUUAAAUUUGAAUGUCAAAUAAAUAAUAUAUUAAAUACCACAAUAUUUUAAUAUUUAUAAAUAAAACUAUAUUCAAGUGAAUACAUAAUUAUUUUAGAAUUUUAAUAUAUAAAAUACCAUAAAUUUCAAAUUUUAUCGUAUAUAAUAUAAGAAAGAAAAAACAUGGAUAUUUUUAUAUGGGGUAAAUAUCUAUAGGUAAGUUUUGGGAUAAACAUGAAAAAUAAAUUAUAAAACAGAGAUAUUUUUGACAUUAGCAAGUAAUUGACUUAAUUCAGAUUUCUCCAUUAAGUAAAAAGCCAAAAAAAUUAGCUUAUUUUAUUAAGUCAAAAUUAUCUAAAAAGUCUCAUUAAGUUAUAAAAACAAACACCUCUAAUUAACUUAAUUAAUUAAAUUAAGUCACUGUAAGUCAUUAAGUUAAACAACAAACGCCACCUUAGUUUGUAUUCUCCUAUUCCGAAAGCAAAACUUAUAAGUGAUAUUCUAAGAAGAAGAAAUUAAGAACCAUAACAAAUUUGAUGAUUCUAAUUUGCUAGAAAUAUUGCAAUCCCAAACUAAGAAAGUUCAAACCAAUUAUUUGAAGAAAAAAGUAGGACGGAAGCUCCCAAAAUAUUGUUAUGUGUUGUAUGUUUUAGUUUGUGUUUCCCAAUCAAUAAGGAAAAGUAAGUACACAUGUAACAAAAAUUUAAUAAAAAAGAUUGGAGGUGACAAAACCGUCAAUCUUCUAAUUAACUUUCUCUCCUUUCGAAUUUCCUCGAGUUUGGUAGAGACUGCUUAAGUGGUAUAUCUAUUAUAAACACCUGAAGUCAAAGUUAAUAUUUUAAUUGUUAAGAAAAGUUAGAAAAAGAAAUUUUUGUAUAAGAGAAUUGAGUUUAAAUUUAGAAUUCCUUGGGAGGAAAUGAGUCUAAAUUCCAAUAAUAUAAUUAAACACUAUUUAUAUAUAUCAUUAGUUGGGUGAAAAUUUAAUUUCCAUCCUUUGAUGUGAAAAACUCUCUUGAUCAUCUAUUUUCAUAUGAUGGUAAUUUUUUGUUUAAAGUGAAGUUAUUGGCACCCUUUCAUUAUGCUUAUAAAAUCCUACUUCAAAUAAAAUUACACUUAAAGACAAUAGAAUUAAAUAAUAUAAUUUUUUCUUUAAAACAAAUUACUCAUCUAAUUUUUUAUAGGUUGCUUUGUAUCAAAUUAAAAAAAUUUUUUACAAAUUUAAAAUAAUCUAUUUUUUUUUCAAAUUUCUUAUUGAUUAAAUAUUUGUGUGCUUAAGAUAGCUUUAAAAUUAUAAGAUAAAAUAUAUAUAAUUUAAGCCAAUGAUUAACAUUAAAAAAUUUAUCUCUCAUAAAAGUUUUUAAUUUGUGCGUAGGGUAAUAAUAAAAUUGCAAAAGAAAUGAAAAAUAGCAAAACACUAUUUUGAGUUUAAACAAUAAAAAAAUUAAAUGAAAAAUUAGAAAUGUAUUUGAAAAAGGAUAUUUUUUGAAAAUAAAAUAAAUAUAAUUUAAAAAGAAAGAGUUUCACGAGGGGUGCAAUAGUUCAACUCUUUUGUUUAUAAGUUUUAAUGUGUUGGUAUCCUUAGCUUAGCUUUUCCCUAAUUAUUAUAUUAAAAUGUAACAACAAUGAUGAUCAACCCUAAUUUCAUGGAGGUCAAAGAUUUUGGUCAUGCCGCAUUAAUUAGUUCGGUCAUACUUUCUACAAAUUUAUUUACAUUUAAUAAUUUGCCCAAGACUAGGUAAGGCGCCGCCUGGAGUCAUAGAAUUUUAUAUGUCAAAAGUGCGUUUCACUUCAAUUAAGCUAUAAAUGUCGUUUAAUAUGCUCAUUUUGUAUUUUUUUUUAAAAAGUUUUAUUAAUUUUUAAAAAAAUAUUAUUUAUUUAUUUAUUUAUUUUUUUAAAGGUAAAGAAGUGGAUAAAGUUCAAAUUUAAUUUUUAUCCCUUACGUCAUGACCCUUAAGAUUUGAACUUAGGUAACCAAACGUAUAAUAAUAAUAUCUCAAAUUUCAUUUCAAAUGAUAUGCAAUAUAUUAAGUGAUUGUUAAUUUUUAUAAGAUCCGAGUGAAUGAAUUGUAUUAUCUCACUAAUUAAUUAAUGAGUGUCAUAUCAUUUAUGAUAACUUUUGUAUAAAAAAAAUUGCAUGGAUGAAAUAUCCUUUUGAGAAUUUAAUGGUUUAUCUCAUUUAUGAUUUAUUGUUGCAUUUAAUGAUAUUGCAAAUAAUUUUCUGAUAAUAUUAUUGUUUUGACGAGUAAGUUUGGAGUAAAUAAUACAUAUGGCAAGUGUGAGGUUUGUUAUUGCAUUUAUUUUGUGGAUCUAUUUAAAAGCCAAAAAAAGGCAUUUCGAUUCAUUAUGAUUCCAGAUAAUUUCAAGCCAUGUCAUUAUUGGGAUAAAAAUAAAGUAAAAUGGUUAAAACUAUUUUUAUGUAAUUUAUAAAAAUUAAUGAAGCAACUACAAAAUUUUUUUAAACGAAAAACAAUUGAAAUGUGUGUGGAAAAAGAAGAAAAAAAAUAAGGCAUUUAAAUAUCUUCUUAAAAAAUACGAUUGAUUAAAAUUAUUUUAACAGAAUGCUCUUCCAAAUACAAUUCCACAUUUUUUUUUAUUGCAGUGGGAUAUUCCAAAAUUGGCACAACUCAUUAAGAAUUCGACAACUCAAAUUUUAUUUAUCACUCUAUGCAUUUGACAAAUUAAAAAGAAAAAAAAUUCAUAUAUCUUCUGUUCAAAAGAAACCUUGGUAAAUAUUGUAAAACAAAUUACCAAUUUUUUUAAAUUUAUGCCAUUAAAUCGUCGCUAUUUUCUCGCCCACUUUCUUAAAAUAGAAUCGAUAUUUAUUGAUGGGUUGGGUUCGAGAGUAAGCACCAAUUCAGCAAAAUGGUUUUAUAGCAGAAAAAGCACUUGUAAGACAUUCAGAACACAUUUUUCAAUUUUGUCUUUUGAAAAUGAGUCUUGAGUUUCCGCAAGCCAAGAAGAAUGGCUAAAAAAUGUAUGGUAUCAAAAGAAAGAGAAACACACACACACAUUUUAUGUAAGAUACCGUAAAAGCCAAAUACAACCUUUUUGAUUCUCAGCAAUAACUUUUUUUUUUCCUUUUAAAAAAAGGAAGCCAUAUAAAUAAUGCUUUAAACAUUAUUUGCAACAAGGAACAAUUAUUUCAUGCUUUCAGGUAUUAGAAACUUUCCAAAACUGCUAGCAAGAAAGUGAAAUGUAACUUUACGUAGUCACAAAAUAUGUAUUGCUGUUAGCCCAAUUGUUAUGAAGUGGCUUCUGCAUCAGAAGAUUCCAGCUCCCACCAAGCAUUGUUAUCUCUCUUCUGAAUACAAUCUGCAUCGCUGGGCAUGAGUUAUAUCAUUAAUGUCUGCAUCCUCACUUACAUCAUCCCAAUCAAGUGCUUUUUCUCCAUAUCUGGAUUAUAAGUCCACUCCAAUCUCUUCAAAACAUCCUAGUCCUUCCAUCACAACUGCUACAACUUCCUUCCUAAUUACUUACCCAUUAAUAAAUCGCUCCAAGAAAAAAAAGCUUAGCAAUUCUCUUCAACGCCCCAUCACUCAUAUCCCCUACAACAACCAUCUUCAGACAAAAUCCGAAUCAUCCGACACAACCACCAAACACCCAAACCUUCUUUUGUCCACCAUAUAAAUCCUCAACAAAACAUCGGCAUCUUGUGGCUUAUCUAACACCAUUCUGACCCAAAAUCAUGCUUUUUUUAACUCAUCUGCAAAACCAUAACCCACUUUUGGAGUCAAAAUUGCGCUUGCAGCCAUUUUAUAUUUUUCCAUCUUUAUUGAAUAGCUGCCAACCAAAAGCACUCUCACCUUCCCUCUAGCUGAUCCUAUUUGAUUCGACCUUUUCUUUUGUUCACCCUCAUGAAUUUGCUUAAAAUGAUUAAAAAGCUUGUCAUUGUUAUAAAAUCUCCUUCCACAAUCACCAAUACAUACGGCUUAGCAGGCCUAAUUACACCCUUGAUUUCUAAUUGGUUAAACAAUUCUCUUUCUUUCUCUGCUCUCUUACAACUUGAGGCAUAUAACUAAACCCGUGGCUAUUAGCAUUUGCCACCAUGUAUUUAAGAAUCCCAAAUGAAGAUAUUGAUUUUUUUCAGUUUAAUUGCUGCUUCAAAACGGGGUACUAAAUUUGGAUUUUGUUAUCCAAAUACCAAAAAUUUCCCACAUUGUGUUGGACAGUUUUUGGUUCUAAAGUUGAUGACUGGUUUUACGAAUCAGGCUUCAAAUGAGAACUUCUAAACAAUAAGACAAAUGGGUUUUUGAGUUUCCAAUUUUGUAAACUUUGUUCUAUUGUUUAAGUUAUGAAAUCGCUGAAACAUCACUACAGCUACAGGUCUUUAUGUGUCAAAGAACUGCAGAAGCUGAUGAUCUAGCUGUAGUAGACUUCUAUUGCCCCUGUCGUUCUAGGAAGACAAACAAGUUCAGGAACUACUUCUGGACCAAACUCAUAAUAUUGCCACUGCUUUGUGCCAAUCUGAGAGGGAAAGCAUAUUGAAGUUCCUAAAUAAGGCACAUCAUGAUUUGACAGAAGUACCACUAUGAGGAACAAUUGAUUUCAGGAAAGCACUAAAAUAUGACAUAAUCUGCCCCUAAUGGUCUAAAGUAGUCAAGAAAUGAUAUCAACCAAGCAAAAACACAUAAACUAGUUGAGAUACAAAGUUAUUGUAAAAGUCAAUUUUGAUCACAAGUCCAUUAAAAUUAAAAGACAUUAGAAACUUAGAGAACAUUAUAAUUUAGGACUCAGCUAAGUUGCAGAUUCUGUAACUAACAGCUGUGUCCACAUUGGUCUUGCAUCAGCUGAGUUUGGGUUGCUUUUCCUCUCUCCUGCAACGCGUACGUGGAAGCGCCCCAUUUGCUGUGUUCUAUACCGAGUCGGUACCGUAACAAGCUCCUAUAAUUUAAGUUUGAUUACUGUAGACAAUAGUCUGCCUCUGCUCAAAAGCUAUGUUGCAAGAUAUAACAUCUUUGCAAUGUUAUACUUUCUAAAAGUAAUAAGAAAUGAAACCAAGGGGUAAAUCGAACACCAAAAGAAAUUUAGUCGGCCAACCACAUUAUGUUCCCACACAGUCCACUAAUUAAGUUAAUAAUUAAAAGGAAUCAAAAUCUAAGAAAUCUCAUCUUCAAGCAGAAUUAAUACAAACACACAGCGAUUGAAAAUCACAAAAUCAUAAAAAGAAGCUGACUUGAAAAGCUCAAAUAUACGUUCAUCAGCCUCUCAACUUAUAUCUAAGAACAAAUGCAGCUUGUGAAGACAUACAUAAUUGAAGCUGAUGAGCCAUAUUUAACAAAUGAUAAUCAAAACUUGUGUGAUUAAAAUUAUAAUUCAAUAAUCGAGCACAUAAAACAAGAAGUAACUAGUUGUAUAUAUACCAAACAACUUUCUGAAGUUAAGGCAUAAAACAACAACGUAGAACAAAUUAAUUAAAUAUACCAGCACCAAUACUCUUAUUAUUAUCCAAAUAUAGAAGACCAAUGUAUCAAACAAGGAAAAUGAAAUAUUGUUAAUAAAUAAAAAACGACUAGUGUCAAGAACUAAAGUAAUAAGUAAAACCCAUAAUCAGACACGACCACAUCAAAAUCUCUGAAAAUUGAGGUCUAAACAUUGAAAACAAUUAGACAUAUAUAACAGUCAAUCAAAACAAAGCCUCAAAAUAAUAAUGAACUACAAUAAGACAGAAACUAAAUUGUAAACAAGCGCAUACCCAAUAACAGUAAUCAAGUAACAAGUCAAAACCAGAAUCAAACGUAGAAUUUUGAAAUCCAUACGAACUCUAAUGUAUUAGAAUGAAAUAAUAAGGGCGAUCGAUAAACUAGACUCAAACAAAAACAUGCCCAGUUAAAAAACGAAGGUAAAUAAAUAAAAAUGGUAUAAAACUGCGAAAAAAAUUAAUGAAAUGAAGAGAAAAUCACAGGAAUCCUAUGAAGAGGAAGGUAAACAAAACCUUCGGGAGCCGAGAAGAUGCCUUUUUUGUUGACGUUUGUGCCUAUACAUGCAAUUUUUUUUUUUAAUUUUGAAGAAAGUAUUGGUUAAAUAUUGUCAGAACGAAAUAUUAAUAAUAGGGACUUGACUAGCUUACAGAAUCUGUAAGGUACAAACUGCAGCAUCAGCCGUUGGAUGUGGUUGGAUGUGGAGUGAGAAACUAAACAAUAGAAAAUCGGAUGGUGGGAUGACGGGAGAUGUUUGUUACAGAAUCUGUACUGUAGACAAGUCCUAAUAAUAGAUGCUGGCAAUUUCAACAAGGACAAUCUUCGAUUCAAAUGUACCCUUAUGAUAAAGAAAAAGCCAGCUUGGCUAAAUUUUGAGCACCACAUUAUAAGAUCUAGGUGUAUGUUUAACUAUGCAAAAUGAAAUAUCUAUUAAUUAUAAGUCCCUUGACCUCUGGAACCAGCCAACUGGUCUCUUUCCUACUAGACAACCUUCCAUCGAUCAGACUAAUAAUAUUUACUAAAUCAUGUUCUACAGUUAAUGAAGUUGGACCCAAGGCAAUUGUUAGCUUAAUGUCAUAGGCUGCUCAAAUUUCCUGUAAUUGGAGGAUAAUUAUGUGCACAUGAGUUCGCUUAGCAAAAGUCUGCCUAGGCGUGGAGUGCGCUUAAAAGUGGGAUGCACUUAGAAGUGGGAUGCACUUAGCAAAUCAUCCAAGCCCAACCCGAGAUCUAGAACUCUCUGCAUAUUAUAAAUAAGCUAAAAGUUUUUAUGUUUCUCCACGUAAGUCCCUAGGAUAUUUAUGGAAGUUGCUAGGAAGUUUCCUCCCCUAGAACUCUAAUACUUAUAAAUAGGAGUGGGCCGCCUCAUUUACCCACCAACCACACCACACACACAAACACUCCAGCACACAUACAAGCUCUCUAGCUUUUGUAAAAAGCUCUCUUGUAUAUUCUCUCUUUGUGAGUAAUAAAAUCAUAUUCAGCUAUAUUGCUCUACUUCUCUCUAGUAUUUUCCGCAAGUGUUCUUGCUUCGCUAGUUUGAGGAGUGGUCCAGGCUUGCUUAGCAACUUGUUUGCUACAAGGACAUCUUGGUCACAAAACAUGGACAUGCAAGGAAAAAAAAAUAUUGAUUCGUUCUAAAAAUAAUAUGCACUCUUCUCCAGUGAACCAAAAAAUUUAGGCUAAUGGUAGCAAGUGAAGGAAUUGUGAUUUCACAUGCAUUUUGUUGACAUGAAGGUAAAGAACUUUUUUAUAGUUUAUAUUGUUUAAUAUAAUAUUUGAAUUGCAAAAUAGGGGUACAAAAUAGAUACACGAAGGGAUAAAACUAAUCUGAUUAUGAUAAAUAAUGAAUUAUAAGAUUUAGGUUUAAUCAUAAAGACAUAAGUGGCACACAAAGUCACGAAUUGAUAUCAUCCACGAUGCAAGUUCAAACAACUGUAUAAUAAGUUGCCCCAAGCUAAACUAUUAAUCUAAUAACUAUUCCAGUCGAUGUGGGAUAAUUUUCCUAUCACCAUCUAUCACGUGCAAGCCGAAUUUGUUGCUUGGUUCUUACAUGUGGUAAGGUAAUAUGAAUCCACUUGUGCAUAAAUUUGGCUCCGAUAUUAUAUAGAAGCUUAUGACCCAAAAUUAUACUUAAAGGUUAUUUCAAGAUUUGAAGGUUGCCUCAAGCUAAUAUUAUUAUUAGCCUGGUAACCCUUUUUUUUUUGUUGAUAUGUGAUAUUUUCCCAAUAACUUUUAUUAAUCUUUAUGCUUAUGUUUUGUCAUUUAUCCCAAAAUAUAACAUUAACAAAAGUUCCAAAAUUUCCUUCAAGAGAUAUAUUUGAGACAAGUAAUUUGUGCAAUAACUUUGUGAAUUGAUGAGCAAAUUCAAAGAAAAGAAUAUAUGUGCCAAACGUAACGUUUAUUAUUGUGUUUAUUUGUAGAGCUAUUUAAAGCCUAAAAACAAAAAGCAUCAGUCUGCUAUUAUUUCAAAUAAGUUCAAGCCCUAUGUCAUUAUUGGUACAAAAAUGUAUUAGAAUGGUUAAAAACUAUUUUUAUUUAACUUGUAAACUUAGGAAAUUAUCAACUGUCCACCCUUAAAUUGCACUGUUAUAAAAAAUAUUACAAUAUUUUCAGAUUGUAUCAUUCAUCUACCAUAAAUUUACAAUCUGCAUCAUUUAUCCACCAAAUCAUUAACUUCGUUAAAAAGUGAUAGACGUCACAAGGGUAAUUUAGACAUUUAACACACAAAAAAAAUAAAAGAGAAAUUAUCUAAGCUUACCAUGUUAUCAAAAUUGCUACAAAAUUUUAAAUUUGUUCAAUUUUCCAAUCUAAGUUUAUGACCUCCAAGAUGUUACUUGCAGUUUGUAAUUAAUGAGUUCAUAAGGAUAAUUUAGACACUCAAUACGCAAAAUAAAAAAUAAAAUAAUGGCUUAAAACAUUAAAACAAAAAACUACAUUUUAUAAUUGAUAUUCAAUAAUACACAUAAAUUCUAUUUUUUUCUUAAUUAAAAAUAUUCUAAUUUAUUUUCUCAAUUUAUCAUCAUAAAUUUACAUUAAUAAACUAAAUCCACAAAUUACCCUAAACCCUAAUUCAUAAAUGCCCAAUCAAUCUAAUAGUUUAAUUCGAUUUCAUAAUUAAAAAAGCUAAAUUUAUUAUAUUAGUUAUGGUGUAAAGUCAAAAAUGCCCUUAAAUUCAAGGGUAAAAUAACAUUUUAUUUAAAUUCUAUAAAUUAUUCUAACAAUGUUAACAUAUUGGUGGACGGUUAAUAUAAGUUACAAACUUAAAAUAGAAAAUCAAAUAAAUUCAAAAUUUCAAACUAUUUUGGGCAAAUUUAGGACAUAUGGUUAAUAAUUUUCUCAUGUCUUUUUACAUUGGUUGGUAUAAGUUACAAACUUAAAAUAGAAAAUCAAAUAAAUUUAUAUUUUCAAACUAUUUAGGGCAAACUUAGGGUAUAUGGUUAAUAAUUUUUCUUUGUCUUUUUACGUUAAAUUGAGUUUCAAAGGUAAAAUGGUCAAUUUAUUAUAAUUAUGUUAAUGUUUUAGUGGAAGCAAACGAUAUAAUGGACGAAUGAUAUAAAUUGUAAAAUUAAGGUGCAUGAAUGAUACAACUUUAAAGUAUUGUAGUAAUUUUAAAAAUAGAACAAUUUAAGGGUGGAUUGGCAAUAAUUUAAACUUUAAUGAAGCAACUAAAAAACAUUUUUAACAAAAGAAAAAUAAUUGAAAUGCUUUAAGAAAAAUAAAAGAAAUUAAAUAUCUUUAUAAAAACAUAAUUGAGUAAAAUCAUUUUACAAAAUGCUCUUUCAAAUGCACAUUCCACAAGGCAGGGAGAACGGGUGGGUAACAAAAAUCUCACUUUUUAUGAGUUUAUAAAAUCUUACUUUCGCAGAAUCAAAAAAUAACCAAUACUAAUCACACAAAAAAUAAAAAUUAUUGUUGUCACGACAUUACGCACUUUCUUCGCUGUCUAGAAAUUAGAAAGCUAGAACAUUUUGAAGUUCCUCAAUACAAAAUGUGUGCUACUACUAAAUUGGCCCAAUUAAUGCCCAUCGAAAAGGCCAUCAAUUUAGCCGGCAAUUUUGUCAAAAUUUCAACAAUUGAAGAAAUAAUGAUCACAAACGGAACAGGUAAAUUUUGAAGUUGAAUAAAUCUUGAGAUACAUACAACAAAGCCUUGAAACUUUAUUCUUCACAAUUUGAGCACGCACUAAAUAUUAAACAAGUAUAGAACAAAGCUUAUUUUUAGCUUCUUGUGCGAACUGAAUACGCUGAAAUGUGUUUUUUUUUUUUUGGAUUUUUGGAAUUUUUUAAAAUCAUUUAUGUUCGCCGCCAUCUUUUUCUUCGCUGGCGUCUUCCUCUCUUGGCUGGCAUCUGCCUCGUCUGUAGUUUGCUGUGCCUAUAUAUCCAACCAAUAAAUUGGGCAUUAAAUACGAAUGAAUGAUGAAUAAAAUGAUAAAAAAAAAACAAACAGAGAAAAUUAUAAUAUAACACGUAUAUAUUGAAAGAGAAAUUUUGAUUUUAGGAUAGAUCAAUUAGCUAUCACAAACGAAAACAUGAACCAACUAUGUAUAGAGUCAAUUAAGUAAAGUUCUCAAGAGUUGACCUGUGCUCCUGAAUUCUUGGAAUCAUCUAUCUCCUUCUGAAUUUCCACGAAACUUGGGACAAUUAUUAACAUCUUCAUUGUAUGCAGAUGGAAAUGGGAUCUGAUAACCCGCAGGCCAAAAGUUGGCGAGCUUUGGUAAACCAAACAAUGUCAAGUUCCGAAGUUCAUUCAUAACAAUUUCAUUGUAAUCCGUGAUGUUUGCUCCAUCUUUAUGCCAGAAUACUUCUUCUAAUUCAUCAUUAGCUUCUAUCCAUAGGCCCUUCAGUUUUUGAAGACUUGGAGCUACGCUGAUAUGAAAUAGAUGCUUUAGCUUGGGGCAAUAAUGGACAGAGAUCCAUGUGAGUUUUGGGAAACAUACAGGUUGGAGAUGAUCCUCAUCCUCAUCCUCAUCGAUGAUUUGCUCUAAUUCCGAGCAAUAUAAAAUACGUAACUCCUCCAAUUGCAACAGAUUUCGAGCAAGUGUUGAUGAGAAGAGACGUCUCAGUGUAGUGCACCCGUCCACUCUUAAAUCGGUAAGACUUUGGAGGCUAAAAUUAUGAGUGGGACCUUCAUGAUAUAAUAAUACUUGCAGUUCUGGAAGGUUUUCCAACCACAACGACUUCAAACAUGGGAAUAGUUUGUUUUCUUGUUCCUCAGCGAUAAUAGCUUCCACUUGAAAUACCACAUAUACUCCAAGUUCUCCAAUACCCAAUGUUUCCAAAUUUUUAAAGCCAUGCUUCAACAGUGCUGGAAUCGUGUCACUCAAAUGGGAACAAUUGUCCACAUAUAGAUUUCGUAAUUUCUGAGACAAAUAAAUAAAUAACUUGAUGCAAUUAAAAUCUAUUAGCAGCUAGGAUUAUCACAUGAUAAGUGAUGAACACCGCAAAAAUAUCAUAAUACAUAUGUAAACUAAUAAAAUAAUUAAAAAGUAAUGGAUUAAAAAAAAUGAAAUUAGUUAAAAGAGAUCAUGUGAAGUGAUAUAAAUGUGACAUUAGAUUGUUUUAGAAAAAUUAUGGCUUGAUCAACUAUUUAAUUGAAUUUGAAUAAUAUUAUAUACACUUCAGAAGUAUUUGCAUCAAUUCUUUCUAAACUAAAAUGAGAUAUGAAUUUCAUUUGAAGAAUGGUUUUAGGCCCUAUAAUAAAGAAAUUUCCCUAAGAUAUCUGAGUAUUAUUAUUAUCAUUACCACAUCCACCACCACCAUCAUCAUCUCCAUAGGAUCAAAUAAUUAAUGGCUGAUCAUAAAAUUUAUUACUAAACUAUCAUUUUGAGUAAAAUUGAAUGAAAAGAAAAAACAUGAAUCCAAACAAACAUACCUCUUUGAGAUACUGCAAAUUGGCUUCAAGUUCAUUACUGUUGAUGGUCAAGUUGGGACAGUUAUGAAGGUUUAACUUUUCCAAUGCUGGCCAAAUUGAACAAUAAUUCUCUGAACAGAACUUGGUGAGUUCUGGGAGAUCUUCAAGUUUUAAUUUUCUCAACAAAGGGAGGGCGAGCAUCGUAUUUCCAUCUCCGACACUUAUUUCCCCUUCAUUAUGAUCAAACUUUGCUUCGACAAUAUAUUCCAGUCUCUCGCAUCCACUUACAUUGAGACUUUUAAGCUGCUCCAAACUUCUAGCUUGUGACAACGUGAAGAUAUAUGUCAACUUGUUGCACCUAUGCACAUUCAAUUUUGUAAGAGUUUGGAGACUAAUCACAUGUUGGGCGGGCGCCUUCCAUAUCCACUUCAGUUCUGGUAAGUCCCACAUAGAUAACUCUGCUAAUCUUGAGAGACUCUUUCCAUGCGGCGACUUAGAGGCUUCCAUUAUGCAUUCUAAAUCUUCGCAAUCGCAGACAUCAAGACAAGUCAACUCAUUUAAGCCCCUUUCAUCUAUGCUUGGCACAAUAUUGUAACAACCUAUAAUCCCACUUAAAUAAAGAAUUUCCAGUUCUUGAUACAAUGCCGAAAAAAUACCGAGCGAGGUCGCUUCAGGAGGGUGGUUACCAAUCAUUAAGAUCCUUGCCUUAUCAUCAUGUUCCCUUUCAUCAUAAACUCCUUCAACUUUAUAGAUGACGUACCUUUGCAAUUUCGGGAAUGUAAAGUCUUUUGGAAGACAUACAACAGAUCCGUCGACUUGGGAGUUCAACUCAGCAAGCCUAGCAUUACUUUCUUUUGAACUCAUCCCUUCAACCUCCCAAUUUUUUAUCCAACCAUAAAAUUCUUCUAAUUGAGGAAAUUUUUUUAUCGUAAUGGGAGACAUAGAACUAGAACCAAUAUACAGAAGUUUCAAUCUACGAAGUUCAUCCGACAAUUCUUCAGGAAUUUCAAUGGGAGACCGCUGGAGAUAAAGAAGUUCAAGUCUCUUCAACUUUCCAAGAAAAGACGCGUCACUCACAUCACAUCGAAUCAACUGUAGAACUCGGAGGUUUUUGUCGAGGAAUCGAAGCAAUUUUAGUGAAAGGACUCCACCUAUUAUAGUAACAACUUUCAAUGCUGGCAUCCCUUUAAAAAAAUGUUCUGGAAUUUGCAAUUUGUAAUUAUAUACGGUGUUCACCAAUCGCAGAAUAUGAAGGUUAGGGCAUAUCAAACCACUAGGAAGCUCUUCUUCCUUUUUAUCUACGACCAAAGACAUUCCUCUGCACUGUUCCAGGCCUUCUUCCACCCCCUGUUCCACCAUUUCGAUGCCAGUUAUACUAAAAAAUCUCUCCUCUUUCUCCUCCUUUUUGCUUAUCCAUAUGGCUACAUCACGGACUACGUCAUGCAUUUUCACAGAUCUGUCAUUGCCAGUGUCUAACAGCAAUGAAGAAGCUUUGAGCUCUUUCAUCGUUCCACUCAGUAGGCUCCUGACUUUUUCAAUUGCAUCAGCUCGAUACCAUCUCAACCCCACUGCAUAUCCAACCAAAUCAUCCAAAUCUACCUCAUAAUCCUCUGGAAACAAAGAACACAAUAAGAAGCACGACCUGGAAUCCUCACCAUUCAAAUAUUUGUAACUAAAUUUGAGACAAUGGUAAAUGCCUUGGUCCUCCUUGCCAAUACCUUCUAUUGUAUUGAGUUUUGCAUCUUGUAGUUUAUCUAGAGCUAGGUUCCACUCAUCAAAUCCUUUAUCUCUUAGUGCACUUCCAACAGCUUUAAUAGCUAAAGGCAGCCCCUUACAUUCAUCAGCAACCUGUUCUGAAACACCAAUCAAGGUUGAAUCAGCAACAUCAAUGCCAGCAAGCUUUCUUAGUAAAUCCAAUCCUUCUUCUUGUUGGGAAAAUAUGCUCUUUAAAAGCAUAUGUGUUUAUUUAAUUGUAAUAAACAAUUUUUCUGAUUAAUAAAAUAAAUGAGGUAUUUUAUUCAAAUAUCUUAAUUGCAUUAAUAUUUGUAUUAAAGUCCAUUUAAUCAUAUUAUAUGUAUUUAUGUGAUCACCAUGUGGAUUCACAGAAGACAUAAAUACAAGUUAUCUUAUGAUUAAAUAAAUUUAGUUCGCAGUUGAUAAAUAAAGUUGGGCACUUUAUUUAGGUAUAGACUGUAAUAAAUUCAUUGAAUGAUUUGUCUUAAUCAUGUAUGAAUUUAUUGAUGUAGUACGACUACAUUGAACAGGAUCACAUAUGAGAUUUAAUUAACUUUGUAAUAACUGUCAGACUUAUUAAAUCUCAUAGGCGUUGAUUUUACUGUAAUCUUAAUCUUGAGUUAAUUAUGAUUUCAUGAUUGUGAUUGUUAUUUCAUUUGAGUUACCAAUGGGCACGACACAUCCUUGUGGUCAAGAUUACCCGGUAUCUUGGUGGGAGCAAUUAUAAAUAUUGGAGUUAUGGAUUAACAAUAUAGAAUUUGUACAACACAUCUCUUGAUAGGUUUUCGGUACUUGAUCAUAGAAUUCUCUGGCCAGAGUGUGUCAACAUAUUUAGUAUGUUGAAAAUGAUCAUUAGAGAAAACCAGUAAGGAUCAAGGAAUAAGAUGUUAUUAAAUUGAUUGGACAGUUGAGAUAUCAAUUUAAUUAACGAUGUGGUACAAAGGAUUGUGCAGUAAAGAAAUCAAUGUGGCUUGGGACGAAUUAUUAUUCGAGCGUACAAUUAUGGAAGUCGGUUCCAAUCUUUUAGUGGAGUAGAUUUGGAAUUAAAUAAUUGGGCUAGUUUAAUUACAGGCAUAAUUAUUGUAGCCACUAUUGUAUGUUCCCAAAUGAUCCCCGGGUUAGCUCAUUUAAUUGACUGCACCACUACUGGACUAAUAAGCAAGAUAACUAGCUAUUUGGGUCAAAAACCUAAAUAUAUCAUUUAGUGGGAGGCUCCAUUUAAUUAGCUUAUGUGUAAGGGGCCUUAUGUUAUUUUACAUGGUGGGUCCCCUACAAAAUAAAAAGGAACGUGAGUUUUAUUUUGGGCUUUAUUUGGAGCCUAGGGUUUUCACUAAAGGGAGAUAUAUAAGGCUUAUUUUCCCAAAAGAAAAGAGAGAAGCCACUUUAUACAGAUCAGAGAAAAAGAUUUUUCUCUCCAUUGUUGAGAGAAAAAUUUUCUCGUGCUAGUUGCUUUGGUAGUGAUAAAGGCGCCCACACGUCAAGUGCAGAUCGAACCUGAGUCAUAACCUGGAAGAUCAUUGGAGACAGUUCGUGAUCUAACAAGAGUGGUGGUGGCGGAUCGUGAUCUAAGAGCCUAAAUCACUUCAACGGAAAAAGUCCAAUCGGAUUUUCAAGGUACGAUUUCUGGAUUACGUAUUCCUAUAUAUUAUAUGAGAGCGGUCCUUAAAAAGGUUUUAUAAAAUUUUAAAAACCAGAUUUUUCCCCAACACUUCUCGCUUUAGAACACCUAGUUGAAUCUGCGGGUCACAACGCAUGCGAUCACAAACUGGCUGCAGGCGAGUGGUUAGCAGGAUUUUGCAACAAUUGUCUCCAUCACCAACAGGAAUACCUACUGUCUUCAAGUCAAGUUCAUUCCAGACAUCGUCAAGUAUUAUGAGUAUCUUGCUGCUUUUACUCUCAGAAAACAUCAAGCGCAAUCGGUCUGCUCUCUCUUUUUCAUCUUUCUCAUUUAGUGCCCAGCCUAACGACUUUGCCAGCUCACCUUGAACCUUUAUUAUAUCUGGAUCCUGAGACACAGUGGCUAUCCCCACCUCAUCGAAAAUCUUUUCUUGUCGAAGUUGAUUGCCCACAAAGUUUGCCAAAGUCGUCUUUCCGACACCACCGAUACCAUACAAUCCCACCAUCGUCGUGCUAUCUCUUUUUAGUGCUUCAAUAAUCUGAUUGCCAGUCGAUUCUGUGGUCCCGAAAGACAUAAAAUGUCUUGGCAUAUGCAAUUCUUUGUCUGAUGGUAGAGGUUUAGGAAGGGCAACUGCGCUGAAUUUGCAACGAUGUUGCAGUUCGGACAACUUGCUACUCUUCUUUGAUGCUUGUCUACCCAGCCAAUAUUGCCAACCCCAAUUAGGACACCAUCCAUUAAGACAGCUCUUCUUUUCAUCUAUCUUUGCUUUCAAAUUUCGAACAUCGGCCAUUUCUUUGUCCACAUCCUUCAGCCACUUCUCCACAUCUUUCUCGAUUACAAUGGCUCGGUGUAUUUGUCGCUCUUGUUUUACUUUUUCAUUGAUGCCAUCUUGUGCCUCCUUCAAAUUAGUUUCUUUAUCCUCAAGUUCUUUAAUAACGCUGUUGAAACAGAGCAGAUAACGAGCUUGGUUCAUGGUUGCAUCCACCAGCAAUUCUCCAAGCCUUGAUGCAACACCUGACAAAAGUUCCAUGCUAUUUAUCUGCAAUUAAUAAAGUUGAUCUCAGUAAGCUAUAAGCAAAACAAUGAGGCUUGAUCACAAGAUUGAACGAGAAAGUUUAAUUACCUUUUUCUAUUCUGUGAAUGCACGUUUAUUGACACUAGCUUUGACUAGGGAUGGCAAUGGGGCAGAUAUGGGUUGGAUCUACUCUGCUCCAGAUCCAAAUCCAUAAUAAAAAUUAAGAUCCAUAUCUGCUCCAGAUCCGUCAUGAAUCCAUAUUUUUCGCUCCAUAUCCAGAUCCAAAAAAGAAAUAAAUAUCUAUAUCUGCUCCAAAUCCGAAAAAAAAAUAAAAAUCCAAAUCUGCUCUAGAUCUGUCGUGAAUUCUAAAAUUCAUUAAUAAAAAAGUAAUAAUUUUUUAGAUUGAAAAUUGAAGGGUAAAAUGUAUUGAUAACAAAUAAAUUAUAUAAUUUUUCUCAAAAAUAUAAUAAAUAUUGUAGCUUAUACUUUUACACCAAAACAACAAAUAAGUAAUUGCAAGAGUAAGAUCAAUCUAAUAUUCUAUUGUUUCCUUCAUCAUUUAAAUAUCCACGAUACACCUAUCUUCAUUCCUACAACAUUAGAUAAUGACAUAUAAAUUAAAUAUGAUUUAUAUUCAGUCCUUUAUUAUUUUUAUUAUGACCAUAUUUGACUAAAUAUAUGAAUAACUAUAUUCCUUAAAAAUUAUUUGGCCAAUAUAAUAAAAUAAAUUGCCAGGUUAUUUUACUUGGUUUGCAAUUUGAAUAUUGCAUGUACAUGCUUUGGGGCUGGCUGACCUUUAAAUUUACAAAACUAACCUUUAAGUUUUAAGAGUUUAAAUGCAUGGUAAAUACUACUAAUAUGUUAUGAAUAAAAUUUAUUAUCAUUAUAAUUUCACAAUUGUUAAGAAACUUUUAAAAUAAAAUAAAAUUAAAAGAUGAGUGGAUAUGGAUAUGGAUUUAGAUAUUAAGAUAGAUCCAUAUCUGCUCCAGAUCCGUCUUAGAUCCGCACAUCGAUAUCCAAAUCCGAUCCAAAUCCAUUUUAAACCGAUCCAAAUCCGAUCCGAUUGGAUUUGGAUCACGUGGAUCUUGGAUCAGAUCCAAUCCAUUGCCAUCCUUAGCUUUGACCAGUAAGAGCAAAAUGCAAACGCCGAGCUUUAAGUAGCCUUUAGCUGCAAAACAAAAGAGAAGAAAUAAGGUAAUUUAUUAUUAUUAUUAUUUUUAAGGACGGAUAAAGGGUAGCUAGCUUGCAGACAAAUUUAAUAAAAUCAAGACAAACCUAAGAGUUUUCCUAAUUUGUUCAAACAUGGAAUAAGCGUUUCACAACAGUAUAUCCAUAAAGGCCCCAGCGAACGUAAUAUGUGCUGGACUAUAUUGAAAUUAGAUUAUUUUAGAAAAUUUUAAAUAAAAAAUAUCAAACAACAAAGAAAUCUAAUAGAAUCUGGAUAAACAGCAUGGGAGAAUAUGGUAAAAUUGAUCAACUUGGUUCAAAAAUUACAAUUCUUUUUGAGAUUUGAACCAACGAUUUUGACUAAGGUCUCCUAAGCCACAAAGCAUAACUCUUACUACUAAAUUACACGCAUUUUGUUACAUUUAAAUGUGGUCAUAUUCUUUUUAUUAUCUUUUUUUAGAAGGGACUCAUGGUAUACUUAAAAGAAAUAAUAAUGAUUUAGAUGGGGCUGAAGCCCACUCAUGAAAAAAUUUAAAGGUUUUCAAGAUAAUUAACGAUUUUUUUCCAUCCAAUAUUCUAAUAGAAUGGUGCCAGAAUUCUCAAAUAAUAUCUUAAUAUUAUUCAACUAGUUGGCACCCACCUAUUGGAUGAUUAAUUUAAUAAUUUGUUAAAUUAUUUAAUACUCCAUCUCACUAUCUAAUGAUGUAAAUGGUGGAGAAGGAUCGUCUCCUAGACUUUUUUCUCUCACUAAUCUCUUAGUGAAAUAAGUGGCCGAAAUUGAAUUUUAAUUUUUGAUAUUGACAAUUAAAUUGGCUUGUUUCACAUUAUUAACAAUUAAGCCAACUUUUUUUUUCUCAUUUUUUCAAUUAGAUUUGGAAGGCUAUAAGAGAGUAGGAGAGAAAAAACACUAGAAGGAGAUCUUAAUCCAUAAAUAGUACCUUAUUUGGGAUGGUAAAGAUCGAGAUAAAUUUCCUCUUAGUCUCUAAAGUUUUGGCCUAUGCGCAGCCAUAAUUUUAGUAUUUUUAAAAAGAAUGGGAUUAGUUACAUUCUAAAAUUUAUUUUGAAUACUCUUUUACUCAACACACUCAUUCAAUAAAUAAAUUUUAAAAAAAAUAAUUUUUACUUUACACACUAUUUCAAUUGUCAAAACUAUCCUUCAUUAGGACCAUUUCAUUAACUAAUUAUUUUCUAUUGACACCCAUAAAAUAUUCAUCAUUCUUGAACCAUGUGGCGUUAAUUAAUGAUUCCGAAGCAUUAUCAAGAUUCAAGAUUUAUGUUGAAAUUCUUUCAUCAGACAUUUGAACCCAGCCACUAGCUAUAUACAUAUAUACUUUCAAAUGCAGCUCUGGGAAUAUUUUGUGACUGAUUUAUAAAGUGUUUUAGUUACAUUAAUGCAGUGAAACAAUAAAGAGUACGUGGCUUUGCUGAUUUCCAAAUCAAGUUGGGGAAAAAACAGAGCAUUUUUCUUUUAUAAUGGAUUAGAUUAGACGAUGAAGGAAAAAUUAUUAGCGAUAAUUAGUACUUUUGUGUGUGUUUAGAGUAAUAAUAUUAUUUUAAAUUAUAUUAAUGCCUUUGGUAGUGAAUUCAAUUAGGGUUAUUUUAGUAAUAUAAAUUUUCAUUAAAAUUAAAGUGUCCAAAUUAUAAUUUAGAUUUUUCAAAUGUAAAAUAAUAUUUUUUUAUCUGAUAUAAAUUAAAAUUCAAACAAAUGUAUCAUGCAACAAAUGAAAAGUAAAGAAUAUUAAUUAGGUUUUAAUAGAAACAAAUAUAAAUAGAUGUUUUGAGUAGUUAAUUUUUGUUAUUUUAUGCUAUUGGUAGUUUGUGGAUUAAAUAAUUUGUAUAAGGAUAAAUGGGGGUUUGUAUAAUUUAUACGAAGAUAAUCUCCAGAUAAUCUCCAAAAUAAGCUUAUAUGUCGAAUUUAAAAGUGUUAUAUAAGUAGUAAUCGUAUAUGCAUCAAAAUUUUUAAUAAAAUUUAUUUAGAAAUUGGCCAAUUGGGUUUUAUGAAGAAAAUAGACGGGCAAGUAAUUAUGUAACAAGUAAUUUGUAGGUUGUGGUACUUCUCCAUACUUCAAAUCACUUUUAUCUAAUCAAUUGAUAAAUAUUUUUUGGGCUCCAAUAAAAUGAAAAGAAAAAGUUAAAAAUAAUUCUGAAAUUAAAAACGUUAGGUACUGCCUAUAAGCUAUACAAUUUUACCUUUUCUUCUAUCACAAUUAGUAUUAGAAAUAAAAAUAGUUUCCAAAUAAAUGUAAUUAGGAGGUAAUAUUAUCUCAACAAUACCUUAUAGGGAAAAAGACAUCUACAUCCUAAAGUUCGGAGAAAUGGUCGUAAAGACCCCAGGUUUUCAGAAAGGGAUAUCAAAACCCUUUUUUGACCGUAAUACCCUUUAAAUCUAGUAAUUAGAAAAUUGUCUUUAAGAUUUUUUAAUUGACAAAUUUAAUAUAAAUAAUAUAAUCUAUCUAGUAGAUUAAUAAUAUUAACAAUAAAAAUAAUAUUAAAAUUUAAAUUCUUAUAUUUAUUUUAAUAAUAUAUUUUUAUUUAUUAUAAAGAUUUUAAAUAAAUCCUUGGGUUAAAUAGGUUUUCUAGUUAACAAAAUAUACCCCUAUUAAUAAUAUUGAAAUUACUUUCUACAUAAUAUUUAAAAUAAUUAUAAUUUAUUUAUUUUAAUAUUAUGUUUCUAUUUAUUAUUAAAAAUUACUUUAUUAGAGUAAAUUUUUAUUAAUUAAAGCUUUAAAAUCAAUUUUCUAAUUACUAAAUUAAAAGGGGAUUAUGGUCAAAAGGGGUCUUUCCUUUUUGAAAACUUAGGGUUUUUGCGACCAUCUCCCCAAACUUUGGAAUAUAGGUGUCCUUUUCCUGACUUCAUAUAAAGAUAUUCCAUAAGGUCUUAUAAUAACUUAUAUUAUAUGAAUUUAAUUAAAAGAUCAUUAAUACUUAAAUAAUAAUAAUUAUAGAAGACAUUGUAAUAAAUUAUUUGAUAUAUAUUAUUAAUGAUACUAUAUGUAUGUGUAUAUAACUACAUGAUGGCUUGGAUAUAUAUUGUUAGUGGUAAUAAAUUUUUUAAAAAAAAUUAAACUAAUGAUUUCAUGUGAUUCAAUGGUGGAUAAUUUAAAAUCAUAAAAUAUUAUUUUGACUUUCAAUAUUAACCGUUAGACUGUGAGAAAUUAAUUGCUCAAUAUUUUUUGUUAAAGUUUUAAAUUAAAAUAUCCCAAACCAUUUGUUUUACUUAAAAUACAAAAAAUAUAUAAAGAAAAUUUCUCAUUAAUUUUCAUAUUUUUAUUAGAGGUAAUAUUUUAUGUAUCGUCACCAUUAAUUGCCAUCAUUAAAGUAGUGACUCUCGGUAAUAUAAAAUUUUAUAAUUAGUUAAUUGCAAUCAAAUGAUAUCAAUAAAAUAAUAUUUCAUGAUUCAUAAAUUAAAGCUAAUUAAGAAUAUAUGUUAGUUUUAACUUUUAUGAAAUCAACUAAGUGAUAUUAGAAAAUAAAAUGAAAAUAAACUAGUGAAACUUAAAUUUUAUAAGGUUUGAAUAAUUUUCUACUAUGUAAGAAUAUUAAUUGUGACAUAAACCAUAGUUUCAUGGUAUAUGUAUGCCAAAUGGGGUAACAAAUAAUAUAUACUUCAUGAUCAUGAUAGUAUAUAAAGUAGUGGAUAUUUUAAUAUAUAACAUAAAAUUCUUUAAGACAUAGGUGGUCAAUUAUAUAUUUUUUAGGAUAUAGACAAUCUCAAUCAAGAGUUUAUUGAUGUGAAUAGAUGGCAUUCUCUUAAAUGUAUGUACUUAAUUGUGUUGUUUAUUGGUAUUAGAUACUCACUUAAAUGUAUAUACUUAAUUUUGUUGUUUAUUGGUAUUACAUGUAACAAAAUUUUAUAUUAAAUUUUGAAGUUUUAUAUUGUUGUUUCUAUUGAAUUUAUAAAUACAAUAAAAUUAUGGCCAUCAACAAUCACAACCAACUGCCACCAACAAUUAGAUUCUCAUAUCUGUUGACGACAAUUUUUUAUACUAUUGGAACUCCAAUCUUUGAUGCUACACAAUAGUUAAAGUACCGACAUCAAUAGAAUUUCCGUUCAUUGUAGAUCUAUAGUCAAAGUUUCGAAUCUUAAAAAUUUGACAGCAGAUUUAUGUCAAAUGAAAGCUUGUUACCAGUGAUUCUUAUACAAUUAUGUUGUUAUAGUAAUAAGGAUUCUAAUGGUACUAAAAUGCACUCCAUUAGACAUAAAGAUCCGACGACUAGUGGCGACAAUAACUAUCAUUAGUGACUUGGAGGUAAUUGCUGUUAAUAAAUUAUUUUUUAACUUAAUAAUUAAUACAAACAAAUAAAAAAGUAAUUUAAUGAAAAUUAAUGUAAUAAAUAAUUGAAUUAAAAAAAUUAAAACCUAAAUUCUCGACCAUUUAUCCGUAUGUUUCAAAUCCAACGUUCAAAAUUGGAAUAAAACAUAGUAUAGCCAUUGGAAGUAAAACAAACAUUAAAGAGACUAGGAAAAAAAUAUCUCAUACCUUCUAUAAUGAUACAUCCUCAAUCACUGCAGAAAGCUCCAAUUAAAAAGUCGCACAAGUUCGGAGAAAAUUACCUAACAACACAAAUAAACAUCAAAUCAAAGCAACAUAGGAUCCAGCUAAUUAACAUCAUAAGUAAGUCCUUGUUCUCAGUCAAAUGUUGCAUUCUUAGGAUAAAAUAAAAAAAAAAUUGAAAGAAUAACGGUAACUAGAAAGUUUGACGACAUAAAGAUCUAGCUAAAUUUUAAGAAGCAAAAGUAAAUAAUGAAAGCUCAAUAAAAGAUCAUCAGCAUUAACAUACCGAAAUGAGAGCAGCUCACAGAACUGGUAAUUUCCAAGAACGGGAAAAAUAAGUGAGCUGAUAUUGAGGACAACUAAAGUAGUCAUGGAGUAAUUUGCUAUUGAGGACACCUAAAAUAAGAAAAUUAAUUAACAUUGCUCUAUACACCAUUUCAAUAAUUUGACUAUUAAAAAAAAAAUCUAUCUAGAUCACGAUUUCUCAAAAUGAUACUUUUUCUAAUUAAAUAAAUCAAAAUGCUUGCUUCUUUCUUUUUCAGAAAAGAAAAAGUGGCAAUGGCAUCAAUUUUUUUGCUAGAUUAUUAUCACCAAAAGCACAAGCAAGGAAUAAGAAUACUCUCUGAAACCAACCAUGUAAAGAGUAGAAGUAAGUGGUCAAUUGUAAAUUAGUCUUUCUUUUUUCUUUGUUAUUUUUUCAUUUUUUGAAUGUGAACUAAAUAAAUUUAAGGGUGAAGCUAUUACACCUUGAAAACUAUAACUGAACACCCAUUUUUUUAAUUAAAUUUUUAUUACUAAAAUAACCAUGGAGUAAUUUGCUACUAAGGAAAACUAGAAUAAUAAAAUGAAUAAUGAUUGCUCUAUACACCCUUUUCUAAGUCUAUCUUCUUCUUAAUUUCAUAAUUUGGCUGUCAAAAAGUAAUCUAUCUAGAUCACGAUUUCUCAAAAUGAUGCUUUUUCUAUCUAAAUAAAUGAAAAUGCUUGUUUCUUUCUUUCUCGAAAAGAAAAAGUGGCAAUGGCAUCAAUUUUUGCUUGCAAGCACAGCGAGGAAUCAGUAUAAUCUCGGAAACUAACCAUAUUAAGAGUAGAAAUAUUUAUUUGGUUAUCACGAAGUAAGUUAGAAAUCAAUUAUAAAUGGUCUUUUUUUAUUUUUUAAUGUGAACUAUAUAAAUUUAAGGUGAGGUUAUUUACACUUUGAAAAACAUUCUGAAAACCAUUAUUUCAUUAAAUUUUUUAUUAUUAAAGGUCCGUUUGGGGCAGCUACGUUGAAGCAGCGCAGCUGCCCCAAACGCUCUCUAAAAUAGCCAUGGAGUAAUUUCUUACUGAGGAAAACUAGAAUAAUAAAAUCAAUUAUCAUUCUUCCAUGAACCCGUUUCUAGAUGUAUCUUCUUCUUGAUUUGGUAACUUGGCUGUCAAAAAGAAAUCUAUCUAGCUCACGAUUCCUCAAAAUGAUGCUUUUUCGGAUGAAAUAAAUGAAAUUGAACCUACGUACAAUCUGUCACAAACACGUUAUAAUGAGCCUAAUGAAAAGCAGUAUGAGAAAUUUUGCUUCCAUGUUGUUUCUUCCAUAUGUAAAGGUAGUAAAAAGAAAUUUAAGUCCUAGAAACAAAUGGAUGAAGAAUUAUCAAUAAUUAAAAUUAAAAAAAGAAACAGAGUUAUAAAAGAAUCACAGUUCCACCAAAAAUUAAGAGUUAUUUUAUUUGGUGGUUUCCUAUCCCGAAAGCAUUACUUGUAAAUAUGUGCUAACAAGUAAUAAUUAAGAAAGUUAAGGCCAAUCAUUUAGAAGGGAGAAAAAUGGAAACAUCCGGAAUAUUGUUAUGUGUUUUCAGUGCGUAUCUACCAAUCAAUAAUGAAAAAUUAAAUACGCAUGUGACGAAAAUUUAAUAAAGAGAACUGGAGGUGACAAAAUUUUUAUUAUUCUAUCUUUCUCUCCUCUGAAACUUCCUUAAUUUGGUUGGGAAGUGCUUUGUCUUAGGCAGUGGAUCUGUUAUAAAUACCCUAUGCUAAAGUUAAUAUUUUGAUUGAAGAAAAAAAUAGAGGAGAAAAAUUUUAUUAAAGUAUAACAUAAUUUGAUAAAUUUAGAAUUGAGGAGAGAAAAUGAGUCUAAAUUCGAAAAUUUUGGCACUAUUUACAUAUCAUUAUUUGGGCAAAAAUUCAUUUCUCUGCUUUCAUAUGAUUUGGUCUUUCAUUGUUACGGUGCCAAUUUUUUAUUUAAAGAUGUAAGAUAGUGGUACUAUAGCUUAGAUUUUCCGUAAUUACUACAUGGUAAGUACAAAAUAAAAUACUAGUUUAAAAUAUAAAAAUGAAAAACUAUUUUUAUAACCAAUAUUCAAUUAAAUACACUUGAAACUCUAUUUUUUCUUAAUAAAAAAAUUCUAAUUUAUUUUCUCAAUUUAUCUAAACAACUUUACCUAAUCAAGCUAAAUCUACAUAUUACCCUAAACCUUAAUUCAUAAACACCCAAUCAAUCCAAUUGUUAAAUCCGAUUUCAUAAUUAAAAAAGCUAAAUUCUAUUUUAUUAUUUAUGGUGCAAAGUAAAAAAUGCCCUUGAAGUUAAGGGUAAAAUUGAUAUUUUAUUUAAAUUUUGUUAAUAUUCUAAUAAUGUUAAUGUCUUAGUGGUUAAUAAAAUCACAAAGUCAAACUUUUGUAGUAUUUUUUAUAAUAAGUUAAAGAUAUAUGUUUGAUAAUUUUCCUACGUCUUUUUACGUUAAAUUGAGUCUCAAGAGAAAAAUGAUUAAUUUGCUACAAUUCUGUCAGUUUUCUGAUGGAAGAUAAUGAUACAAUGAAUAAAUAAUACAAAUUAUUAAAUUGAUGUUGAUGAAUGAUACAACUUGAAAAUAUUGUAGUAUUCUUAAUAGUAGAGAAAUGUAAAGGUGGAUGGUUGAUAAUUUAAUGAAGUAACUACAGAAUUUUCCUUUCAAAUAUUUUUUUAAAAUAUAUAAUGAGUAAAAAUCAUUUUACAGAAUGAUCAUACGCAUUUUGUAUCACAAACGAAAACAUGAACCAACUAUGUAUAGAGUCAAUUAACUGAAGUUCUCAAGAGUUGACCUGUGCUCCUGAAUUCUUGGAAUCAUAUAUCUCCUUCUGAAUUUCCACGAAGCCUGGGACAAUUAUUAACAUAUACAAACUUGGCAGAUGGAAAUGGGAUCUGAUAACCCGUAGGCCAAAAGUUGGUGAGGUUUGGUAAAUCUGACAGUAUCAACUCCCCAAGUUCAUUCAUAACAAUUUCAUUGUACUCCGUGACGUCUGCUCCAUCUUUAUGCCAGAAUACUUCUUCUAAUUCAUCAUUACCUAUUAUCCAUAUGUACUUCAGUUUUUGAAGACUUGGAGCUACGCUGAUAUGAAAUAGAUGCUUUAGUUUGGGGCAAUAACCGACAGAGAUCCUUUUGAGUUUUGGGAAACAUACAGGUUGGAGAUGAUCCUCAUCCUCAUCCUCAUCAAUGAUUUGCUCUAAUUCGAAGCAAUUCCAAACAUAUAACGCCUCCAAUUGUAACAGAUUUCGAGCAAAUGUUGAUGAGAAGAGACGUCUCAGCAUAGUGCACCCGUCCACUGUUAAAUAGGUAAGACUUUGCAGGCCAAAAUUAUGCGUGGGACCUACGUGAUAUAAUACUUGCAGUUCUCGAAGGCUUUCCAACUGCACCUCCUUCAAACAUGGGAAUAGUUUGUUUUCUUGUCCCUCAGCGAUAAUAGCUUCCAAUUGAAAUACCACAUGUACUCCCAGUCGUCUAAUACCCAAUUCUUCCAAAUUUUUUAAGCCGUGCUUCAACAGUGCUGGAAUCGUGUCACUCAAAUGGGAACAAUUGUCCACAUAUAGAAUUUUUAAGUUCUGAGACAAAUAAAUAAAUAACUUGAUGCAAUUAAAAUUUAUUAGCAGCUAGGAUUAUCACAUGAUAAGUGAUGAACACCGCAAAAAACAAAAAACAGAAAACAAAAUCCAUACAAAAAUAUCAUAAUACAUAUGUAAACUAAUAAAAUAAUUAAAAACUAAUGGAUUUAAAAAAAAAAUGAAAUUAGGUAAAAGAGAUCAUGUGAAUUGAUAUAAACGUGACAUUAGAUUGUUUUAGAAAAAUUAUUAUUCUAUUAAUUUAUAUGGCUUGAUCAACUAUUUAAUUGAAUUUGAAUAAUAUUAUAUACACUUCAGAAGUAUUUGCAUCAAUUCUUUCUAAACCAAAAUGAGAUGUGAUUUUCAUUUGAAGAAUGAUUUUAGGUCUUAUAAUAAAGAAAUUUCUCCAAAAUAUCUGAGCAUUAUUAUUAUCACCACCACAUCCACCACCAUCAUCAUCUCCAUAGGAUCAAAAGUUUAAUGGCUGAUCAUAAAAUUUAUUGCUAAACUAUCAUUUUGAGUAAAAUUGAAUGAAAAGAAAAAACAUGAACCCAAACAAACAUACCUCUUUGAGAUACUGCAAAUUGGCUUCAAGUUCAUUACUGUUGAUGGUCAAGUUGGGACAGUUAUGAAGGUCUAAAUUUUCCAAUGCUGUCCAAAUUGAACAAUAAUUCUCUGAACAGAACUUGGUGAGUUCUGGGAGAUCUUUAAGUUUUAAUUUUCUCAACAAAGGGAGGGCGAGCAUCGUAUUUCCAUCUCCGACACUUAUUCCCCCUUCAUUGUGAUCAAACUUUGCUUCGACAAUAUAUUCCAGUCUCUCGCAAUAAGUCACAAUGAGACUUUUAAGCUGCUCCAAACUUCUAGCUUGUGACAACGUGAAGAUUGAAAAAUUGAAUCGAAAAUGCUGUUUGGUUACUAAGAAAACAGAGAGAAAUAUGAUGAAUAUACUGGAUUGUUUAUUAAUAAUAACAAAUGAGUAAAACUCCAGACUUUAUAUAGUUACAUAUUUUGUUAGUAAAAGCUAUAUCAACUAAUCUAUAUUACUCUGAAAUUUAACUAACUAAUCAGUAAGAGGUUAGCUAAUACUAACUAACUGCAACACACGUGAGCUCUCAUUGUUGUUUAACAGAAUCAGCUGACUCAGCAUUGUUGACGUGGCAUUGCUGAUGAACCUUAGCUUCUGACUUCCUCUCUUUUCUCAGUUCAGCACAAUGAGCUUUCUUCACAGCCCCUCUCAAACUCAAGGGGCAUAAAUGCACAUUAAGUUUGUCUCUCAGAUAGGUGAACUGAGUAGAGUUUAAAGGCUUAGUCAUUAUGUCUGCUAUCUGCUCUGCACUGGGAACAUAGAGAAUCUUAAGAUCUCCAGCUAGAACCUUAUCUCGGAUAAAAUGCAGAUCAAUUUCUAUGUGUUUUGUUCUUGAGUGAAACACUGGAUUAUAAGCAAGUUCUUUGGCACUCACAUUGUCACACCAUAUAACUGGUUUCUCCACACAACAUAAACCAAUCUCAAGAAAUAAGGAUUUUAACCAUGUUAUCUCUGAAACAGCUGCUGCAAGUGCUCUGUAUUCACUCUCUGCAGAAGAUUUUGUAACUACAGAUUGCUUCUUUGAGGACCAUGAGAUUAAAUUGUUCCCUAGAUACACACAAUAGGCACCAGUGGAUCUUCUGUCAUCAAGAUCACUUCCCCAAUCUGCAUCUGUAAAUGCUGUAACCUUCAACUCACCUUCUUUAACAAAUUUCAGCCCAUAGUCUUGUGUUUCCUUAAGAUAUCUAAGCACACGUUUACAAGCCAUAAGAUGUUGAAGUGUUGGUGAAGCUACAUACUGACUUAGCUUAUGAACAGAGUAGGCAAUCUCAGGUCUUGUCAAAACUAAAUACUGGAGGCCUCCUACUAUGCUUCUGUAAUGAGAUGGAUCUUCUAUGUAGUAACCCAUUUCUCCUUCAACACUCUUCUGCAAUCUGUAAUCUUUGCUGCUGCUCAUUGGUGUGUCUAUUCCUUUACACUCGAGCAUAUCAACUUUAGCCAGCAGAUCUCUAAUAUACUUCCUUUGUGAUAGAUAUACACUAUCAGUAUCAUACAAGACUUCUAUUCCAAGGAAGUAAGAUAGCUUUCCCAGAUCCUUUAAUGCAAAUGCAGAACUAAAUAGCUUGAUAAAAUCUUCCAGCUCAUCACCAUUUGAUCCUGUAAUCAAUAUAUCAUCUACAUAUAUCAGGAUUAAAAUAAUUGAUCUUUUAUUCUUCUUCAAGAACAAAGAUGAAUCAGACUUUGAGUUCUCAAAUCCCCAUUGCAUAAGACUGUUUCUCAGCUUGUCAAACCAUGCUCGUGGAGCUUGUUUCAAACCAUAGAGUGCCUUGUGAAGUUUGCACACAAAAUCAGGCCUUUUGGAAUCAAUAAACCCUUCUGGUUGACUCAUAUAUACCUCCUCAAUUAGAUCUCCAUUUAGGAAUGCAUUAUUUACAUCAACCUGUCUUAUUUGCCAUUGAUUCAUUACUGCUAAGCUUAGGACCACUCUAACUGUUGCUGCUUUCACCACUGGACUGAAAGUCUCAAAGUAGUUAACUCCUUCUAUCUGCUGAAAUCCUUUAGCAACCAACCUUGCCUUAUAUUUUGCAACACUUCCAUCAGUGUUUGAUUUUACUCGAAACACCCAUUUGUUACCAACAAGUUUGUGAUGUUCUGUUCUUGGCACAAGUGUCCAGGUACCAUUUGACAUCAGUGCAUCAUAUUCAGUCUUCAUUGCUUGAAACCAUCUCUCAUCAUUUAUAGCCUCCUGAGCAGUAUCUGGUUCUUUAUGCAACAAUACUGCAGUAUAUACCUUUGGUUUAAAGAUACCUGCUUUCCCUCUAGUGAUCAUAGGAUGUUGGUUUAAUGGUGGUGGGGUUAUCACUGUCUGAUUGAGAUGAGAGGUAUUAUUAUUGUGUUGGUUUUGGGAAAUUUCAUCUGAGGGCUGAUCUAAUAUUGUAUCAGGUACAGAAGGCAACACUGUAGGUGCAGAUGAAUUAUUUCUAUCUGUGUUUGAGGGUUGCUGAUCUGUUACCUGUGUUGAGACUACUGCUGGAGGGAAAAUGUUGCCACUGGAGUAUGCUUGAGAAAAAGAUUCAUUGCUGGUGACUGAAAGAUCUGAUAUGACAGGUAAUGUUGACAACUGAAAAACUUGAAUAGGAGUAAUUGUGCAAUAUGUAUCAGACUUAGAUUUAUCUGAAGGAUGAAAGCUAGGAUCUGAAGCAAAUGGAUAUGAGUAUUCAUCAAAAACAACAUGCCUAGCUAUAUAUAUAUGACCAGAGGGAUGAAAACACUUAUAACCUUUAUGAAAUGGGCUGUAACCAAGAAAGAUGCACUUGGUUGUGUGAUAGUCAAACUUAUGCUUAUUGUAAUCUCUCAGAUAUGGAUAACAAGCACAUCCAAAGCAUUUCAGCAUGGUAUAAUCAGCUUUGUGUUUGUAAAGUUUUUCAUAUGGAGUGGUCAUCUUAAGUGCAGAAGUAGGGAGUCUAUUAAUGUGAUAAACUGAGGCAUGAAAAGCAUCCCACCAGAAUUGAAAAGGGAGUUUGGCUUGAGCUAGAAGUGUCAAUCCUAAUUCUACAAUCUGUCUGUGUUUCCUCUCAACAAGGCCAUUUUGAUGGUGAGUGUAAGGGCAAGAAUGUCUAAAGAGAAUGCCACAUUCAUUUAGGAAGGCAGUGAAUGGCCUGUAUUCUCCCCCCCAGUCAGAUUGGAGAAUUUUGAUAGUUGUUUGAAAUUGAUUUUCAACUUGAAGUUUAAACAGUUUGAACACUUCUAGAGCUUCUGAUUUCAGUUUCAAAGGAUAAAUCCAGGUGUAUCUUGUAUAAUCAUCCACAAAGCUAAUGUAAUAUCUAAAACCAUCUCUAGAACAUGCUGGUGAGGGACCCCAUAAAUCAGUAUGAACAAGUUCUAGUGCUGAUUUGGAUUUUAUAUCUGUAAUUGGAAAGUGGAGUCUGUGAAAUUUUCCCAGCUGACAUGCUUCACAGAAAUGCUUUGUUGCUUGAUUAACAAUAUUUGUAGAGCACAAAUUAGGAUGCACAAGCUUAAGUAAAUGAAUUAGACUUUGAGUAUUAGGAUGACCAAAUCUUUUGUGAAACAAAGACAUUUUAUUGAAUGAAUCAGUGCUACAAGUGUUCUUAUUGGACUGAGAAUAUUUUCCAGAACAAUGACUAUUGACUGAAGUGCUGAAAUGACACUGAGAUAGCAUAGAUACAGGCUUAUUUAUUGAACUCUGGGAUAGAAAAGAUGUAUAUGUAGGUUGUGGUGAUGAACUCAGCUGCGAUUUGUAUAAACCUUUCUCAGCAAUACCAAGUAGCAGAAUUUUCCCUUUCAGUAUAUCCUUCACAAAGCAAACAGAACCAAGAAAUUCAACAGAUAAGUCAUUAUCAGUGGUGAGUUUAGAAACACUUAUUAGGUUCUUUGUAAUAGAUGGAACAAGCAGUAUAUCUUUAAGUGCAAUGCAUGUACUAGCAGAUUGUGUUUUAGAGCUUUGAACUUUAAAAUUGGCAUUACCAACAUGUGUGAUUGACAGACCUUUACCAUCACCAAUGAUAAGCUUGUCAUUACCUCUGAACUCACUGCUGACAUGCAUAUUUGCCAUAUCAUUUGUCAGAUGGUGUGUAGCUCCACUGUCAAGAUACCAUCCUUCAUCUGCUGGUCCUUCAAAGUUAGCAGCAUAAGCAGCUCCAGCUCCAGCCACAGGCAAGCUCAUUGAAUCAGAUAUGUAUGAAGAACAUGGUGAUUAUACAUGUGAGGUAUUCCUGAAUAAGCAGCUGUAGCAGGCCAUGAAUCUUCAGAAGGUGCAGUAAGGUAUGUCAUAUAGGCUGAUCUCUGAUUUCUUCCUCUUUUCAUGUGUUGAGGCAUAUAGUUUUCUUCAAACCUAUGCCAACAUUCAGCUGCUGUGUGUCCAGUUUUAAAGCAGAUUUGACAAACAACAGAUUGUUCAUCACUACCAUCAGGAUUUGACAAACCAGAGUUAAUACUAUAUUGUCCUCUCAUGAAUUGUGUCUGCUUAUUGUUGUUUCCAAUCAUUUGACCUCUACCAAGAUUAUUACCAAAAUUUCCAGAUCCAGAAGGAAAUCCUCUUGGAUGAGAAUUGAUAAACAUUCCCCUUCCAGUAUGAAAAUUAUUCCUUCCAAAUUGAUUUCCACCAUGAAAUCCUCCAUUAUAUCCACCUCUUCGAGCAUUACCUCUUGUUUGAGCAUAAUAAGUAUUCAUCAUACCAUAGCUAUUGUUAUUAUGAGAAACAUUAGCAAGAUUUGCAUUGAGCAUCUGUUUUUCAUUUAGACUCUGUUCUAAUCUUGUUUCAUGUGUCAAUAGCAAUGCAUAUGAAUCAUCAAAAUCCAGCUUACUUGCAGUAAUGAAAGUUGCUAAAUCUAGAUAGCCUGGUCCAAGACCAUUAAGAAUCUGUUGUAACAGAUCUUUAUCAGAAACUGGACUACCAGCACAGGUUAAUUUGUCAGCUAUUUGUUUCAUUUUCAAACAAUAAUCCUCUAUAUUUAGCGAAUCUUUUCUCAAAACACUCAUCUCAUAUUUGAGUUGAAGAACUCUACCUUCUGAUUUUGCACCAAACUUUUUCUCCAAAGUUUUCCACACAUCAUAUGCAGUAUUACAAGAAUGAACAUGACUGAGAAUACCUUCAGUAAUUGAGCUUAAUAGCCAGCUUAGUAAUGUCUGAUCCUGUGAUCUCCAGAUCGUGUAUUCUGGAUUUUCAACUUGUUGUGAAACUCUUCCCAUUGUUUCAGCAUAGCUUCCAGAAGUAAGAAACUGAGUAGGUGCUGCUUUUUCUCCAUUGAUAUAGCCUUCGAGUCUGUUUCCUCUUAUGGAAGCUAAUACUUGAUUUCGCCAGAGCAUAUAAUUGGAUCUAUCCAAUUUGAUUGGCGUAAUAAAUGAAAAGGUAGUUUGUAUUGAUUGAUUCAUGUUUGUUGCGUUUGGAUUUGUGUUUAAAUUGCUUGAGCUUGCCAUAUUUCUGGCUCUGAUACCAUGAAAAAUUGAAUCGAAAAUGCUGUUUGGUUACUAAGAAAACAGAGAGAAAUAUGAUGAAUAUACUGGAUUGUUUAUUAAUAAUAACAAAUGAGUAAAACUCCAGACUUUAUAUAGUUACAUAUUUUGUUAGUAAAAGCUAUAUCAACUAAUCUAUAUUACUCUGAAAUUUAACUAACUAAUCAGUAAGAGGUUAGCUAAUACUAACUAACUGCAACACACGUGAGCUCUCAUUGUUGUUUAACAGAAUCAGCUGACUCAGCAUUGUUGACGUGGCAUUGCUGAUGAACCUUAGCUUCUGACUUCCUCUCUUUUCUCAGUUCAGCACAAUGAGCUUUCUUCACAAAGAUGUAUGUCAACUUGUUGCACAUAUGCACAUUCAAUUCUGUAAGAGUUUGGAGACUGAUCGCAUGUUGGGCGGGCGCCUUCCAUAUCCACUUCAGUUCUGGUAAUUGCAACAUAAAUAACUCUGCUAAUCUUGCGAGACUCUUCCCAUGCGGCGACUUAGAGGCAUCCAUUAUGCAUUCUAAAUCUUUGCAAUCGCGGACAUCAAGACAAGUCAACUCAUUUAAGCCCCUUUCAUCUAUGCUUGGCACAAUAUUGUGACAACCUAUAAUCCCACUCAAAUAAAGAAUUUCCAGUUCUUGAUACAAUGCCGAAAAAAUAACGAGCGAGGUCGCUUCAGGAGGGUAAUUAUUAAUUAUUAAGCUCUUUCUCUGACUAACAUAUUUCAUUUUAUCAACAACUCCUUCAACUUUAUAGAUGAUGUACCUUUGCAAUUUCGGGAAUGUAAAGUCUUUUGGAAGACAUACAACAGAUCCGUCGGCUUGGGAGUUCAACUCAGCAAGCCUAGCAUUACUUUCUUCUGAACUCAUCCCUUCAACCUCCCAAUUUUUUAUCCAACCAUAAAAUUCUUCCAAUUGAGGAAAUUUUUUUAUCGUAAUGGGAGAAACAGAACCGGUAUCAAUAAAUAGAAGUUUCAAUCUACGAAGUUCAUCCGACAAUUCUUCAGGAAUUUCAAUGGGAGAAUCCUCGAGAUAAAGAAGUUCAAGUCUCUUCAACUUUCCAAGAAAAGAUGCGUCACUCACAUCACAUCCAAUCAGCUGCAGAACUCGGAGGCUGCUGGCGAGGAAUCGAAGCGAUUUUAGUGAAAGGACUCCAUCUUUUAUAGUAACAACUUUCAAUGCUGGCAUCCCUUCAAAAAAAUGUUCUGGAACUUGAAAUUUGUAGUCACAUAGAGUAUUGUCCAAUCGCAAAAUAUGAAGGUUAGGGCAUACCAAACCACUAGGAAGCUCUUCUUCUUUAUUUCCCAUUACAAAGAUUCCUCUGUAUUGUUCCAGGCCUUCUUCCAUUGCCCAUUCUGCCAAUCCAAUGCCAACUUUACCAAAAAAUUUCUUCUCCACUAGUACUUCUGACCCUAUCCAUAUGGCUACAUCACGAACUAUGUCAUGCAUUUUCACAGAUCUGUCACUACCAGUGUCUAACAGCAGUGAAGCAGCUUUGAGUCCUUCAAUUGUUCCACGCAGUAGGCUUCUGGCGUGCUCUAUUGAUUCAGCUUGAUACCAGGUCAGCCCCACUACAUAUCGAACCAAAACCUCCAAAUUAAUCUCAUAAUCUUCUGGAAACAGUGAACACAACAAGAAGCAUAACUUGGAAUUGUCAUCAUUCAAAUUGUCGUAACUAAAUUUGAGACAACCGUAAACGUCUAGGUUCUCCUCAUCAAUACCUUCUAUUGCAUAGAGUUUUGCAGCCUUUAGGUUAUGUAGAGCCAGGUUCCAUUCAUUAAAUCUUUUUCCUCUUAGUGCACUUCCAACAGCUUCAAUAGCUAAAGGCAGCCCCUUACAUUCUCCAGCAACUUCUUUGGAAACAUCAUUCAACGUGGAGUCAUUUACAUCAAUGCCGGCAUUUUGUCGCAGUAAAGCCAAUCCUUCUUCUGGCGUUAGUGUACUAAGUGGAAUCUGUGUGUCACAACCCAAAGAAUCAAAAACUGACUUUUUGCGAGUGGUUAGAAGGAUUUUGCAACAAUUAUCUCUACCACCGACGGGAAUACCUAAUUUUUUCUCCGAGUCGAGUUGUUUCCAAAUAUCAUCAAGGAUUACGAGGAUUUUGCUGCUUUUACUCUCAGAAAACAUCAAGCGCAAUCGGUCUGCUCUCUCUUUUUCAUCUUUCUCAUUUAGUGCCCAGCCUAACGACUUUGCCAGCUCACCUUGAACCUUUAUUAUAUCUGGAUCCUGAGACACAGUGGCUAUCCCCACCUUAUCGAAAAUCUUUUGUUGCCGAAGUUGAUUGCCCACAGAUUUUGCCAAGGUCGUCUUUCCUACACCGCCGAGACCAUGCAAUCCCACCAUCUUUGUGCUGUCUUUUUUCAGUGCUUCAGUGAUCUGAUUACAAGCCGAUUCUGUAGUCUCGAAAGAAGAAAAAAAUCUUGGAAUAGGCAUUUCUGUGUCUGAUGGUAGAGGUUUAGGAAGGGCAACUGUGCUGAAUUUUCCGCGGUCUUGUAGAUCGGACGACUUGAGAGUCUCCUUUGAUGCUUUUCUACCCAUCCAAUAUCGGAAACCCCAAUUAGGACACCAUCCAUUAAAACAACUCUUCUUUUCAUCUAUCUCUGCUUUCAAAUUUCGGACAUCGGCCAUUUCUUCGACUACAUCCGCCAGCCACUUCUCUACAUCUUUCUCAACUACUACAGCGCAAUGUUUUUGUCGUUCUUCUUCUACUUUUUUGUUGAUGCCAUCUUGUGCCUCCUUCAAAUUAGUUUCUUUAUCCUCAAGUUCUUUAACAAUGCUGUUGAAACAGAACAGAUAGCGAGCUUGUUUUACGGUAGCAUCCACCAAUAAUUCUACAAGCUUUGAUCCAAUACCUGAUAAAAUUUCCAUGCUAUUUAUCUGCAAUUGACAAAGUUGAUCUCAGUACACUAUAAGCAAAACAACAAGGCUUGAUCACAAGAUCGAACGAUAAUGUUUAAUUACUUUUUUAUUGAAUGUUUAAUUACUUUCUUUUAUUAUAUGAAUGCACGUUUAUUAACGCCAGCUUUGAUCAAUAAGAGCAAAAUGCAAACGCCAGGCUUUAAGUAGCCUUUAGCUGCAAACAAAAGAGAAGAAAUAAGGCAAACGUGAUAGAUGGUGGAUUAUAUUGAAAUUAGAUUACUUUAGAAAUUUUUAAAUAAAAAUAUCAAACAACAAAUUUAAUAAUAGAAUCUAGAUAAAUCGAAGAGUUUGUUGUGCAUUGCGAGUGAAGACAGGCAGUUACAUGGGGGAAUCUUGUAAGAGUGAUGAAAAUUAAAAAGCCAUCCAUAAUUGAAGUUAAAAAGAGUAUUAGAGAUUAGAGGGGUUCAACAUCUUAUGCAAGCUCACUCAUGAUAAAAUUUGAAGAUAAUUAUCCCAUUUUUACUUCAAUCAAUAUUCUAAUACAAUAAUUCCAUAAAUCUCAAAUAAUAUCUUAAGAUUUUUUUUUUUCCUCAAAAUUACCAUUAAAAGUAAAACAAACAUGAAGCUAAGAGCCUAUGAAACAAUAAUAUCUCAUACCUUCUUUCUCAUAGAUCCUCAAUUACCCCUGAAAGCUCCGGUUAGAGAGUCGCACAAGCUCGGAGAAAAUUAAAAGCUGCAUCCAGCAAUAUAAAUAAACAUCAGAUCAAAACAACAAAGCAUAUAUCUAGCUAACUAAACAUCAUCUAUAACUCCUCGUUCUCAGUCAAAUCUUUCAUUCUUAGGAGAUAAAAAAAAGAUUGAAAUAAUAACUGUAACUGAUAUAGGAAGCAAAAGUAACAUACCAAAACGAGAGCGGCUAGCUCACAGAUCUGGUGACUUCCAAGAGCAUGAAAAAUGAUUGAGGUUUAAUAGCAAGUUCACAGAUGACAGAUGUGGUGACUUCAAGAGCAUGAAAAAUGAUAAAACUUUGGUAGAAAGGUCUGAGCCGUGUUUCACAAGUUGCUAUUGACUUCGUGGCUUCGCUUUUAUUUAUUAUUAUUAUUUUUUUUUUAAAUUCUAUAUCAGUGAGAAUUGAAAUGUGGAAAGUGAAAUGAUACACAUGCCUUAUCAUCUAUCAUGAGGGGUGAUUUGGUAAAACCGAUUUAAAAUAAAAAAAAGUUUAAAAAGAUGCUUUGUGUCUGACUGCUUGUAUUUGGGGUAUUUUUCGGGUUGUUGAGAGUGAGUUUAAUUAAAUAUAAGAUUUUCAUUUUUCUUAUUAUAUUUUUCUCUUUAGAAUGAAUUUAAAUCUCAUUCUUAUUAAAUCCAUUUUUUUAAAUGAAAGUAGAUUUCUCUCCACACAUUUGAGAUAUAUUUUAAAAUUAAUGUUCAGUAUAUCUCUAAAUUAUAUUAUAAAUAUUUUUAUUUAAAAUCUCAACAGAUUUCAUAACGUACAAAAAGAAAUACAUAUAUAUGUUGUAAUGUUUUAAUGAUGGAUCUCCAAAGUUAUCAAGUUAAAAAAUAAAUUAAAAAAUAAAAAAUACACACUUCAACUUAUUAUAUGAUAAAAUAUAAUAAAUUAAAGUGAGUAUUAUAUUUAUUUUUUAUUUUAUCUCUUAACUUAAUAACCUAAAAUAUAUUUAUUUAAUAAUGAUUAUAUAUAUAUCUAUAUAAUUUUUUUAAAAAAUAAACAAUUUAAGUGAAGCAAAGGACAUUUUAGAGGCAUUGCGAGACUACCAAUUUACCAUUUUGGGUUGCAAUAAAGUGAAAACUGUAGACUACCAAUCUACCAUUUUAUUGAAUCGGGUCCCGCUGACUUGGAGCUUAUGUAAAGUUACAUUCAUAACAAAUUAAUGAUGUCGUUGUAUAUUAUUCAUGUUGAAUUAUCAAUUGUUGGAUUAUGAUUGAAUUUUAUUUGAUAUUAUUGGGCAAAUUAUUGAAUUUUAUUUUAAAUUAAAUAAAAAUAAAAAAUUAAAUUUUAUUUGUAGAUUUAUGAGAUUAUUGUAUGUUAUUCAUUUUGGAUUGUUAAUUGUUGAAUUAUGAUUAAAUUUUAUUUGAUAUUAUUAGGUAAAUUAUUAAACUUUUAAAUUAUAUAUUAAAUUAUUUAAUUUUAAUUUUUGCGGAUCUGAAUAUUCAGAAUAUCCGCCUGCAUCGGUUACGGAUAAUACCCGCAUCUGGAUCCACAUCUUUUUCUACGAAUCCAAAUAUAGAAAUAUGAAUGCGGAUCUAAAUUCGGAUUUUGCUGACCCUAAACUUAAGAAUGAAUGUGCCUAAAGUUUUUACAACGAACAUGGAUCAUUCAAUGACAUGACAUGUUUUGCAGCUUUCAUUAGUAUAAUUGAAUAAUUAAUUCAUCUCUAUAUUCAGCUUACACCGUCUCAAAUUACAUGCAAAUACGAAAGUACACUUCUGAAUCGUUCACUUGAGGAAAAUUAAUUUUAACUCAAUAAGUCGUAAUUCUCCACGUAGAAUUUUAAUUCAAACCAUAGCAAAUUAGACAUAAUUCUAAUUUAUAUGGGAAAUAUAAUUAGCGAAGACACUCUUUAUAUAAACAUUAUUGUCAUAGGAUGCCAAACCUAAUAAGAUUCAAGGUCUUAACAUACUUCAUAUGAAAUUUGAUCUUGGCGCGUACCGACACGCAUAACAUCAAGACUCUACUUCAUAUAUUAUAAUGUAACUUCAUGGAUUUUUCGCUCUCUUGUGAAAUUGACAAUUAUAGGCGCUGUGUGGCAGUGGUACAUAAUAAAAUAAACGUUUAUUUUUAGAAUAUUAUUAUUUAUCUCAAUUUUUUAUUUAAUAGUUAAUUUUAAUCAAUUCUUAAACUGUCAUAAUCAAUUAAUUUUUUACAUUAUGGCAUCUUAAAUAAAUUUUGGAUCUGUAAUAAAUAAAAACUGGUAACGUUUGUUCUUUUAAAGCAUAAAACAACCGUAACAUUGGUUUUUACAUUUUGAAUUUUUCUUGCAUCACUAUUUAGAAAAAUGAUGUUAAAUCAACUCACAAAAUAUAUCAAGCCAUCUAAAAUCCAAAUAUUAUUACAUUUGUAUUUGCAUUGUUAAAUUGUUGGAACGACGGCAAAGCAAUUGAAAAGAUAUUAACAAAAAAUAAAGAUUGGCCAAGGAUUAUUUAUGUUUAGGAAAUGCCUUAACUUUUGAUAUAAUCAUUGUGAUAAUUAUAUUGUAGAAAUAAUCAAUUACCUAAUGUUUGUGGUGGUAAAAAUUAUUAACUUGUUUUAGUAUACCCGUGUUUAUGGUGGUCUCCUUUUUGUCCAAUUCUGUACAACAAAAUAUUUGCAUGUUUUGAUAGAAAUUGGUUUAAAUGACAUUUGAAAUAGUAUAUCCCCAAACAAUUAACGAAAUAUUUGGAUGGUAGGAUGAAGUAAUAUAGUUUUACAAAUUACCAUAUUAGAGGUUAAAAAAAAUCAAGAGGUUACUAACUACAAAUUUUAACACAAAAAGUUUAAUUAACUUUUCUUUUUGAGAUAACAAAAUCUCUGGUGUUGAAAACAAUGAGGUUUGAGGUUCAAGCUUGAAUAUCAAGUUACAAUUAGUAGAUGGUCUUAGGACAAAUCAAAGAUUUCUUUAAAGACAAAAUAAUAAUUACAAGCAAUAGGAAUUUAUGGUAUUCAGAACAUGUAACCUUCGCACAUGAAGCUUGAAUCCAGAACAAGAUGCAGCUAGCCAAUCCUUCCAACUUCCAAAACCCCACAAAAUCUCUGUCAACAUGUCUGCUCUACUUCAAUAUUAAGCACAUUCAUAGCGGUAUCAACAGCUUACAGCUCCAAAAUAUUUUCCCCAAAAAGAGUGAGAGAUUUCACUGAAGCUAAGUUGUGACUUGUGACUUGUGAGGCCAUCUUUUUUUAUAGUAAGCGUACGCCUCUAAUGCUUUGCCAAGUGUCCAUUGAUAAUAUCACAAGGGCAAUUAAAUUGGUGUAUGUGUAUUACACCUCCUAAAGUCAUGUUAAGAUAGUUAGUGAGCCGAUAAAGUUUGUUGCACGUGUGAGUUGGUUAAGUCUGCUAGAAUUGCAAACAUGUAAAGCUGAGUCAGCAAGUUAGUUAAGGUUAUUAUGAAUGCUUAGAUUCAGCAAGUUAGUUAAGGUUAUUAUGAAUGCUUAGAUUCAGCAAGUUAUGGUGUUGAAAAUGCUGUUGGUGAAAGCUCAGCUGAUAGAUCUCAGGAGAAUCCAGCCUUUGUUGCUUGGAAAAGGUAGGAUCAAUUGUUAUUAAGUUGGCUCAUGUCCUCCAUCAGUGUUGAGAUACUUAGUCUUGUGGUAAAUUCUGAUUCUUCUCAUAAACUUUGGACUAAUCUUGAAGAAAAUUUUUGGAUUAGAAACUAUGGCUAAGAAAGCACACUUAAAAAUGAUGUUAAGCAAUCUCAGAAAGGGAUCAAUGACAAUAACUGAGUAUUUUGCCAAACUUAGAGCUGUAACUAAUAAACUUGCUCUAACUGGUAGCCCUGUUUCUACUCUAGACUUUAUUACUCAUCUAAUCUCUAGAUUAGGCCAGCCAUACUACCCUGUUGUUUUGUAUAUUGAAGCUAAUAUGAUGAAAAUAUUUGUCAAUGAAGCCUACUCUAUGCUUUUAACUCAUGAAGCAAGAAUUAAAUUUAAUCAUCCGAGUGCAAAUAAAGAAGCAAAGUUGAAUUAUGCUGCUAACAUAGCUUAGGCUGGACCUAGUAAUAACAAUAAGAAGUCUAGUAAUCAAGCUAAUUACUAUCAGGGCAACCAAGGUAACUGGAAUAGAAAUGCUAAUUGGUGUGGUAACAAUGGAGGAAGAGGUGGCUUUGGCAGAGGUUUUUCAGGGCAAGGAAGGAGUAAUUAGAAUAAUGGUGGUCAUUGGAACAAUGGACCUUGGAGUAGUAGUCGAGCAUGUUAUAAUUGUUCUGAUAUAAACAUUAUGACAUGGUUGCUGGUGAACCUGUAAACAUAACCACAAAAGUAAGAAGGCAUAAUCUUUUUAUAAGAAACUCAAAAAUGUAUUAAUGAUGAAAAUUUUAAAACAGAUAAUGGACCAGCUGUUCAUUAAGAAAACAAAAAACUGAAUAUUUGUGCUAUAGAAAGGCACACCUAAUCUCACCCCUAUAAAAGGCUAGAAUCAGCUACAAAUCCCUAUCUCAAAACCCCAUCCUAGUUUAGAUGAAUGAAGAAAAAAGAUGAAUCUUGAAACUCCUUAGAAACUGAAGCCCAAAGUGAAGCAAGAAGAUGAACUCUAUCCCAAGCAAGCAAUAUGGCAUAUUUCUCCAUUAAUGGUUCAAAUAAAGUGAAUGGCUUUCUCUGAUGAAUGGGAAAUUGUCAAGAUCAAUAGUCAAACUCACGCAAAGUAAACGGACUUAAUUCUCAGUGGCUACUCAUUCUAAGUCUUAAAGAAAAAUUUUCUAAUUUCUAAAGAUUAUAUGGGGAAAAAUCAUUAUUUUCUAACAUGGAAAAUUUGAUACGGUGUUUAAUGUCUUAUCACAAUCAUAAUAUGAGUACUAACAAAAACAUCUUUAAUCGGCAUGGUGCGAGUAAAACACCAUCACUUCAUCUUUGAUGGAAAGAUGAUAAUAUAAGGAAAUGGUGAAAUGGUUUUGGUCCCUGGCAGCUUGUAAUCAAAAGAAAACAAAAAACUACACUAUUAUUAAUGAUUACCGAAGCUACAGAAGUAUCAAAAUCGGAAAGCAAACAAUUGCAAAACACAUCAAUGACUGAAGGUUAGGUUCUAAAACUUCCGUAUUUAAUUUUCAGAGCAUGUUAUGUAUUAUUCAGAAAUAUGCUUUCACUUCAGGCACUUGACCAACACGCAUUAAACAUAAAACGCGGCGUUUUCAUGGACUAGUACAUUCCAUGCUUCGAAAGUUUAUGUUUUAGACUAAUUGGUUUGAUACAUUAUUUGUUUAUUGCGUUUUUCUUGCUUUAAAUAUUAUGUUGGAUUGAUAAGUUUUGUACACAUUUAUAUUGCUCGCAGUAAAUAAUUUAUGACAUUUAAAAAACUAUCAACCGACUAUCAAAAGAUUUCUACUAUAAAUAUAUAUACACAAAAAACUUUUAAUUUGGUCAAUUUUUUCUCUUAUUUAUUUUUGUUCUAUUUCUCUUUUCCUUCCCUUUCAUUUUAUUGUUUUAUGGUACAAAAUAAAAAAAUAACCUUAAAAUUUAAGGGUAAAAUACUCAUUUUACUAAAAUUCCGUUUAAUAUUAUAAAACUGUCAAAUGUCAAUGGCAUAGUACACGAGUGAUACAAAUUAAAAACAAUAAAUUGAAAGUUUUUAUGCAUUUUCGUUUUAUUUUUUUUAUAGCCGAUACAAAUUAAAAACAAUAGGUUUAGACCGUUUAACAAAUCUUAAAUUAAAAAAACCCGUGGUGUAAUAACAAACUCACAUCAAACCCUGUCCACUGUCAUCCCUAAUUAUAUUUACCACUUCAUACUCACAGUGAUAAUUAUAUUACCGUUAAGAAUGAAGCAGAAGAGUUUCCCCAAACAAGCUAAAACACCGCACUUCAAUUUAAAGAAUUUUUAUAUCACAGUACCGGGACAAAAAGUUUAAUGCAACAACAUACAUUAAGUUAAUUCCAUAAUCUAUCCCCAAAGAAAGACAAACACAAGCUUAUAAGAUUAAAACUUUGGAAAACAUUAAAGAGUCAGACAAAAUUGUGUAAUCUUCAGAGUUUGGAGCCUAGUUCAUCCAGGAAAGCAAAAGAAAUAAUAAUAAUAAUAAUAAUAGUGGUGGUUUGAUCUCAAAAGGUGGCAUCAAAGCAAUAACGUCUUCAACUUCCAUUCAACCCAUCAUCCACAAAAUCACCAACCCGUUUCACCUUCAUCUCCUUGGGCUUAACAGGGUACUUUCCAGAGAAGCAAGCAAAACAAAAAUUCUGAGAAUCAUUGCCUAACAACUUGUUCAAGCUGUCAAUCGGCAGAAAAGCAAGCGAAUCACACCCAAUAAACUCCCUGAUUUCCUCAACGCUCAUCCUGUUGGAAAUCAACUCCUCAGUACUUGGAGUGUCUACUCCGUAGUAACAAGAAGCUAUGAUUGGUGGGCUUGCAAUUCUCAUGUGAACCUCUUUAACUCCAGCCUCCUUAAGCAACCUAACAAUUUUUGAUGAAGUUGUUUCUCACACUAUCGAAUCAUCCACAACCACAACUCUCUUUCCCACCAACCACAACCUUACAGGAGAGAGCUUAAGCUUGACACCAAAGUCCCUAAUUUUCUGGGAAGGCUCAAUGAAAGUUCUCCCAACAUAAUGUGACCUUAUCAACCCUUGUUGAAAUGGCACCCCGGCUUUUGCAGCGUACUCAAGUGCAGCCACCACUCCAGAAUCUGGUACUGCAAUCACGACAUCACACUCAACAGGAGCCUCGGUAGCAAGUACUUCCCCAAAAUGAUACCUCGACUCAUAAACAGACCUUCCAAAAACAACAGAAUUAGGCAAAGCAAAAUAAAUAUGCUCAAAGAUGCACUGCUUAGGUUCAGGGUGAGGCAUCAAACAAGGUGAUUGAACCCCAUCUUUAUCCACCAUCAAAACUUCACCGGGAUAUACCUCUCUCUCUCUCUCUCUCUCUCGCGUAUGUGGCCUCAAUCAAAUAGUGCAGUGCACAAGUCUCUGACGCAAAAACCAGAGCACCAUUACUCCUCCUACCCAUCACCAACGGCAUAAACCCAUACGGGCCACGAACCGCAACAAGCUUAUCCUCAGUAACAAACACCAUUGAAUAAGCACCCUCAAGCUUCUCACAAACAUCCACAAUCCUCAAAAAGAACGGCCUAGCUUUCGAUAUCGGAAUCAAAUGGAGAACAACCACAGUAUCAGAACUAGUAUUACAAAAUGGAUCCAUUAUCUUCAAGCUUAGCCCUCAAAGUAUUAUAAUUAACUAAUGUGCAACACCAACAGAACCAAACCUGUACCCAGCAACAAAAGGCUGCACAUUCUUAAGCAUAGAACUACCCGCAGUCGAAUAUCUAACAUGACCAAUGGCCAUAUCACCCGGCAAUUGAUCAAGUUUAGACUGAUUAAACACAUCAGAGACUAAACCAACACCAGUAAUAGACCGAAGAACUUUGUUAUUCACAGCAACUAUACCUACAUCUUCUUGGCCGCGAUGCUGCAUCGCGUGUAGCGCCAAAUAGCACAAACGCGAGGCCUCUGGGUCACCAUAGAUGCCCACAACACCACACUCCUCACGGGGCUUAUCGUCGUCAUCAUCAUCAAAACUGCCAAAACCGUCAUCUGGGUAUUCUUUAUUUGUGGUGAAAAACUCAGAGAUGGGGUUUUUUGAUAGAACAGUGAAGUUUUUUUUGUGGGUUAAAGAUUGUUGUUUCCGAGGAAAAAAAGGGUUUUUUUGCAGGGUUUUGGAGAAAAGAAAAAGAUGGGUUUUUUUGCGACGGCUUAGGGUUAGCAGAGGGAGAUGGGUUUGAGAGAGGGCAGAUAUUGGCGGUGCCUGUUGUGGUGGCUGCCAUUAAUGGCUGAAUUUAUUUUGUUUUAUUUUAUUUUUUUGGGUUGACUUGCUCAAAGAAAAAAGAGAGGAGGUGUGGAGGGAGACGGUGGCGAAGGGUACUUUAAGUAGAGGGUUACUUGUUCUAGGUUUUUUUCUGGAAUUGUGAGGGAAUCUGAUCCUGUGUUUGUGCAUAUGAUUCAAUUACUUAUAGGUUUAUUGUUGUGUCACCACAAAUUCUAAUUGGGAAGCUUCAGCUGUCAAAUUUUUUCCAAGGGUUUAUUAGGUAGAACUUUCAUGUCGUCGAAUUUAUUUAGAGAUUCUAAAAGUAGUUUCCAAAUAAAGAGAUGGACCAAAAUCAACAAUGUGAAACAGAUACUUUAGAAUUUUUUUCCUAUUCCGAAAGCAAUAGGAAUGUUCCAAUGCAUUGCUCCUACCAGAUUUGGAAUUAAACUUAGUUUGUGUUUUCCUAUUCCGAAAGCAAAACUUAUACUUACUGUAUAAGUGAUAUUCUAAUAAGUAGAAAUUAAGAACCAUAACAAAUUUGAUGAUUCUAAUUUGCUAGAAAUAUUGUAAUCCAAAACUAAGAAAGUUAAAACCAAUUAUUAGAAGAAAAAAGCAAGACGGAAGCUCCCAGAAUAUUGUUAUGUGUUGUGUGUUUUCAGUGUGUAUUUCUCAAUCAAUAAUGAAAAGUAAGUACACAUGUUACAAAAAUUUAAUAAAAAAGAUUGGAGGUGACAAAACCUUCAAUCUUCUAAUUAACUUUCUCUGCAUUGGAAUUUCCUUAGUUUGGUAGAGAUUGCUUAAUUGGUGUAUCUAUUAUAAACACCGUAAGUCAAAGUUAAUGUUUUAAUUGUUAAGAAAAGUUAGAAGAAGAAAUUUUUGCAUAAGAGAAUUGGGUUUAAAUUGAGAAUUCUUUAGGACGAAAUGAGUCUAAAUUCUAACACUAUAAUUUAGCACUAUUUAUAUAUAUAUAUAUAUAUAUAUAUAUCAUUAAUUGGGUGAAAAAUUAGGGUACGCCUAUGUUGUAACAGUUGCAAAGUACCACUAAUUUUUAUCUUUUGUGAUGUCAAAUUUCAUUUAAUCUCUUUUUUUUUUUAUAAUUUAUUUAUAACGUUAUGUGUUUUGGCAGGUGAAUUUUUAAAAUAUAAUUUUAUUUUAUUUAAUAUAAUUUAUUUUUUUUCUUUAUAAUUUAUUUAUAAGUUUAUGUGGUUUGGCUGACGAUCUAUUAAAAUGUAAUUUUAUUUCAUUUAAUAUCAUUUAACUUCUAAAAGAACAAAUAUAACAAUAAGCCUUUAACUAGAUAAUAUUAACUAAUAUUUUUAAUAAAAUAAAAUAUUAAAAAUAUAUUCUUUUAAAUAAAAUAAAUAAUAUUAAAAAAUAUUUAUUUUUUAGGACUCACAAUUGCUUAUUCUAUUUUAUUUAAUAUUAUUUAAUUUUGAAAAAUAAAUAUAAUAAUCUAUGAGUAAAUAAUAUUAAAUAAAAUCAAAUAAAAAUUAUUAAAAAUAAUAUUAAUUUUUUUUAGACUCAUUAUUGAUUAUUUCAUUUUAUUUAACAUUACUUACUUUCAUGAAGGAAUAAAUAUAACAAUAAGCCUAUGACUAUAUAAUGUAAAAUAAAAUAAAUAAAUAAUAUUAAAAAUAUUUAUAUUUAAUAAAAUAAAUAAUAUUAAAAAUUUAUCUUUUUGAAUAAAAUAAAUAAUAUUAAUUACAAAUUAUAUUUUUUUAAGACUCACAACUGAUUAUUUAUUUUAUUUAAUAUUAUUUAGUUUUUUAAAAGAAUAAAUAUAAUAAUAACUCUAUAACUAAAUAACAUUAAAUAAAACAAAAAUAAAUACUAUACAUAAUAUUAAAUAAAAUAAAAUAAAUUAAUAUUAAAAAUUAUAUUUAUUUUUUAAUGCUUACUACUGAUUAUUUUACUUUAUUUAAAAAAAUUUAAUUUUUUGAAAGAUUAAAUACAACAAUAAACUUGUAACUAAAUAAUAUUAAAUAAAUGAGAUUAAUAAUAUUAAAUAAUAUUUUUAAUAAAUAAAUGAUAUUAAAAAUUAAUUUUUUAAAUAAAAUAUAUAAUAUUAAAAUAAAAUUUAUUUUUUAAGACUCACUACUAAUUAAACAACAUAAAAUUUUAAACAAUUUGGACUUAUGUGAUAAAAGUUUUAAUUCUUUAGCUCUUUUGCGUUUUUGAUAAAUAGCAGGGAGCAUAAUGUUAAUAUUCAAAUAAACAAAUCUCUACCCUUCAAUCUAUCUUUUCAUUAAAUCCAAUGAUGAAGAAUUGAAACCAUAAAAAAUAAAAUUAGGUGGUACCUUGCAACUGUUGCAAGGUAGUUAAGUCCAAAAAAUUACAUUUGAUGUGAUUUUGAUCGUUUAUUUUUAUAUGAUGGUAAUUUCUUGUUCAGAGUGAAACUAGGGGUGGGUACGGUUCGGUUCGGAUCGAAAUUAAGAAGAAUCGACUUAAAUCGGUUAUUUUAUAAAAAGAACCGAAUAAGAACUGAAUUCAAUAAGAACUGAUUUAACAAGAUUCGUUUGAGUUCGAUUCGGUUUGGUUUGGUUUUUUCGGUUCUGGGCCUAUUGACCCUAUUUUGAAUUUCUAAAUUUUUAGCUCAUUGGGCCUCAUGAAUGUCAUAAUUUUUUUCAACAAUUAAUUCAUCCUAAUUUCAUUACAAAUAUUAACAAUAAAUACAAAGUAUUCAAAACACAUUUGAUCACUAAUAUCUUACUAACUACUAAUAAGGUACUCACUACUCACAAAAUAUGAAAUAUUAAGAUUUCAAAAUACAUAACCAAACUCUAAUACUCCAUCUACAUAAACAUAAUGUUGUAAAGACAAAUAAAAAUAACAACAGUGAUUCGGUUCUUCGGUUCGGUUUUUCGGUUCAGUUGAGUGAACCGAAUAUCGAACCGGUAUUUCGGUUUUUUUAUAAAUAAUAUAUUUCAGUUUUUUUUAACAAUUAAAACCAAACCAAAUUAGAACCAAACUGUCGGUUUGGUUCUUUUUUUAAGAAUACAGUUUUUUUGUCCAGUCCUAAGUGAAGCUAUUGGCACCCUUUCGCUAUAUUUAUAAAAUCCUACUUCAAAUAAAAUUACACUUAAAGACAAUAGAAUUAAACAAACAUGUUUUUUUUUUCCCAAACAAAUUACUUACAUUCAUAAUUAUUUUUCUUCUAAUUUUCUACAUGUUGCUUCAUAUCUAAGUAAAAUAAAUUGUAUAAAUUUAGAAUAAUCUAUUAUUCUUUUUAAAUUUCGUAUUGAUUAAAUACUUUUGUGCUUAAGAUUGCUUUAAAAUUAUAAGAUAAAAUAUGUGUAAUUUAAGCCAAUGAUUAACAUUCAAAAUUUUAUCUCUCAGAAACAUUUUUAAUUUGUGUGCAGGGUAAUAAUAAAAUCGUAAAAGAAAUAAAAAAUAGCAUAACACUACUUUGAGUUUAGAAAAUAAAAAAAUUAAACAGAAAAUUAGAAGUGUAAUCUAAAAAAAGGAUAUUUUGUAAAAUAAAAUAAAUAUAAUUAAAACAAGGUUUCAUGAGGGGUGCAAUAGUUCAACUCUUUUGUGUAAAGUUUUAAGAUGUUAGUAUCCGUAGCUUAGUUUUUCCCUAAUUAUUAUAUGAAAAUGUAAUAACAAUGCUGAUCACCCCAAUCUCAUGGAGGUCAAAGAUUUUGGUCAUACCGCAUGAAUUAGUGCUUUUGGUUGGCAAAUACUUGUAUAAAUUUAUUAACAUUAAAUAAUUUGACCAAGACUACGUAAUGCGCCGCCUGAAGACUGGAGUCAUCGUAUUUUAUACGUCAAAAGCGCGUUUCAGUUCAAUAAGCCAUACAUGUCGUUUAAUAUGACCAUUUUGUACUUUUUUUAUAAAAAAAAAUUAUUUAUUUUAUUAAAAUAUUGUUUAUUUAUUUAUUUUUUUUAAAGGUAAAGAGGUGUGUAAAAUCUAAAUUCAAUUUUUAUCCCUUAUGUCCUGGCCCUAAGAUUUGAACUCAGGUGAACAGCCAAAUGUAUAAUAACAUGUAUUUCGAAUUUCAUUUUAAAUGAUAUGCAAUUCGUUAAGUGAUUGUUAAUUUUUUAUAAGAUACGAGUGAAAGAAUUAUAUUAUCUCACUAAUUAAUUGAUGAGUGUCAUAUCAUUAUGAUUCCAAAUAAUUUCAAGCCAUGUCAUUAUUAGGAUAAAAAUAAAGUAAAAUGGUUAAAACUAUUUUUAUGUAAUUUAUAAAAAUUAAUGAAGCAACUACAUAAUUUUUUAAACGAAAAACAAUUGAAAUGUGUGAGGAAAAAGAAGAAAAAAAUAAGGCAUUUAAAUAUCUUCUUAAAAAAUAAGAUUGAGUAAAAUCAUUUUAACAGAAUGCCUUCCAAAUACAAUUCCACAUUUUUUUUUAUUGCAGUGGGAUAUUCCAAAAUUGGCACAACUCAUUAAGAAUUCGGCAACUCAAACUUUAUUUAUCUCUCUACGCAUUUGACAAAUUAAAAAGAAAAAAAAAAAUUCAUAUAUCUUCUGUUCAAAAGAGACCUUGGUAAAUAUUGUAAAACAAAUUACCAAUUUUUUUAAUUUAUGCCAUUAUAUCGUCGCUAUUUUCUCGCCCACUUUCUUAAAAUAGAAUCAAUAUUUAUUGAUGGGUUGGGUUCCAGAGUAAGCACCAAUUCAGCAAAAUGGUUUUAUAGCAGAAAAAGCACUUGUAAGACAUUCAGAACACAUUUUUCAAUUUUGUCUUUUGAAAAUGAGUCUUGAGUUUCCACAAGCCAAGUAGAAUGGCUAAAAAAUGUAUGGUAUCAAAGAAAGAGAAACACACACACACACAUAGAUUAGUGGGGAGAUAUAUGAGUGUGUAAUUUGUAUAUAUAUCCCUAUUAAUUGUUGAUAGUCCAAUGGGUAUAUGCAAAAUGAAAAAAAUUGGCUGUCCUUUAAGACAAAAUUGACUGUCACAUGAAAAUGUUAGCACACUUGCCACGCAACAAAAAUAAAGAUUCCAAGAACAACUUUAUGGUCCCCUUUCUGUCCAAACAUAUGCGAUAGAAAUUAGUGUAAACGACACUUGAAAUAUAUAUGUAGAUCCUCACACAAUUGAUUAAAUAUUUAUAGUAGGGUGGAGUGAUAAAUAGUUUCACAAAAUUAUUGGAAUUAACUGCUUAAUACAUGAGAUCUAUCUCAUUAAGUAUAAAAGAUUGAGUGCUGCUUCAAAAGCAUGACGUUGCUGGCAACAAAUUUAACACAAAAGUUUAAUUAAUUAAAAUCUCGUAUUAAGAACAAAAGGUUUGAGGUUCGAACAUUCUCAUUCAAGAAAAUCAAGUCAAAAUAUUACAUCUUCCAGCACAUAUCAAAGAUUUUUUCAAUUUCCAAAACCCAACAAAAUCUUUGUCAAAAUAUAUGAUCUAGUCCCAUAUUAAGCACAUUCAUAGCUGUAUCAACAGGUUCAAAAUAUUUUCCCCAAAAAGAGAUAGAGAUUCCAUUGAAGUUGAGUUGUGACUGUCCCAACGUUUUGUAAUUAUAUGGUUCAGGAUACCAAUAUGCCGGAGCUGCAAAGGUUGACUUCUACUAUCCUAUCAAUGUCUAUACUUUCUAUUGAAUUUCCUUGUUUUUUUUUUAAUUUGCGAGAUUUAUUUUUGGAAAUCUUUGACACAUUUUAUGUAAGAUACCAUAAAGCCAAAUACAACCUUUUUUUAUUCUCAGCAGCAACUUUUUUUUUUCCAUUUAAAAAAAGGAAGCCAUAUAAAUAAUGCUUAAAACAUUAUUUGCAACAAGGAACAAUUAUUUCAUGCUUUCAUGUAUUAGAAACUUUCCAAAAACGCUAGCAAGAAAAUGAAAUGGAACUUUACCUAGUCACAGAAUAUGUACUGUUGUUAGCACAAUUGUUAUGAAGUGGCUUCUGCAUCAGAAGAUUCCAGCUCCCACCAAGCAUUGUUAUCUCUCUUCUGAAUACAAUCUACAUCGUUGGGCAUGAGUUAUAUCAUUAAUGUCUGGAUCCUCACUUACAUCAUCCCAAUCAAGUGCUUUUUCUCCACAUUUGGAUUAUAAGUCCAAUCUCUGCAAAACAUCCUAGUCCUUCCAUCACAACUGAUACGACUUCCUUCCUAAUUACUUUCCCAUUAAUAAAUCGCUCCAAGAAAAAAAAGCAUUAGCAAUUCUCUUCAACGCCCCAUCACUCAUAUCCCCCACAACAACCGUCUUCAGCCACCUCAACGUUGACUCUUGAAAGACCUCCACAAAAUCCGAAUCAUCCGACACAACCACCAAACACCCAAACCUUCUUUUGUCCACCAUAGCCACCAUAUAAUUUCUCCCCAAAACAUCGGCAUCUUGUGGCUUAACUAACACCAUCCUGACCCAAAACCGUGCUCUUUUUAACUCAUCUGCAAAACCAUAACCCACUUUUGGAGUCAAAAUUGCGCUUGCAGCCAUUUUAUUUUUUUCCAUCUUUAUUGAAUAGUUGCCGACCAAAAGCACUCUCACCUUCCCUCUAGCUGAUUCUAUUUGAUUGGACCUUUUCUUUUGUUCACCCUCAUGAAUUUGCCUAAAAUGAUUAACAAGUUUGUCAUUAUUAUAAAAUCUCCUUCCAUAAUCACCAAUACAUACGGCUUAGCAGACCUAAUUACACCCUUGAUUUCUAAUUGGUAAACAAUUCUCUUUCUUUCUUUGCUCUCUUACAACUUGAGGCACAUAACCAAACGCGUGGCUAUUUGGAUUUUGUUAUCCAAAUACCAAAAAUUUCUCACAUUGUGUUGGACAGUUUUUGGUUCUAAAGUUGAUGACUGGUUUUGCGAAUCAGGCUUCAAAUGAGAACUUCUAAACAAUAAGACAAAUGGGUUUUUAGUUUAUAAUCUUGUAAACUUUGUUCUAUUGUAUAAGUUAUGAAAUCGCUGAAACAUCACUACAGCUACAGGUCUUUAUGUGUCAAUGAAUUGCAGAAGCUAAUGAUCUACUUGUAGUAGACUUCUAUUGCCCCUGCCGUUCUAGGAAGACAAACAAGUUCAGGAACUACUUCUGGACCAAACUCAUAAUAUUGCCACUGCUUUGUGCCAAUCUCAGAGGAAAAGAAGAUUGAAGUUCCUAAAUAAGGCACAUCAUGAUUUGAUAGAAGUACCACUAUAAGGAAAAAUUGAUUUCAGGAAAGCACUAAAUUAUGACAUAAUCUCCCCCUAAUGGUCUAAAGUAGUCAAGAAAUGAUAUUAACCAAGUAAAAACACAUAAACUAGUUGAGAUACAAAGUUAUCAUAAAAGUCAAUUUUGACCACAAAUCCAUUAAAAUUAAAAGUCAUCAGAAACUUAGAGAACAUUAUAAUUUAGGACUCAGCUAAGUUGCAGAUUCUGUAACUAACAGCUGAGUCCACAUUGGUCUUGCAUCAGCUGAGUUUAGGUUGCUUUUCCUCUCUCCUGCAACGCGUACGUGGAAGCGCCCCAUUUGCUGUGUUAUAGAACGAGUCGGUACCGUAACAAGCUCCUAUAAUUUAAGUUUGAUUACUGUAGACAAUAGUCUGCCUCUGCUCAAAAGCUAUGCUGCAAGAUAUAACAUCUUUGCAAUGUUAUACUUUCUAAAAGUAAUAAGAAAUGAAACCAAGGGGUAAAUCGAACACCAAAAGAAAUUUAGUCGGCCAACCACAUUAUGUUCCCACACAGUCCACUAAUUAAGUUAAUAAUUAAAGGGAAUCAAAAUCUAAGAAAUCUCAUCUUCAAGCAUAAUACAAACACACCGGGAUUGAAAAUCACAAAAUCAUAAAAAGAAGCUGACUUGAAAAGCUCAAAUAUACGUUCAUCAGCCUCUCAACUUAUAUCUAAGAACAAAUGCCUGCAGCCUGUGAAGACAUAGAUAAUUGAAGCUGAGGAGGCAUAUUUAACAGAUGAUUAAACUCAUGCGAUUAAAAUUAUAAUUCAAUAAUCGAGCACAUAAAAUAACAAGCAACUAGUUGUAUAUAUACCAAGCAACUUUAUGAAGUUAAAUAUACCAACGCCAAUACUCUUAUUUUUAUCCAAAUAUAGAAGACCAAUGCAUCAAACAAGGAAAAUGAAAUAUUGUUAAUAACUCAAAAACCACUAGUGUCAAGAACUAAACUAAUAAGUAAAACCCAUAAUCAGACACAACCACAUCAAAAUCUCUAAAAAUUGAGGUCUAAACAUUGAAAACAAUUAGACAUAUAUAACAGUCAAUCGAAACAAAGCCUCAAAAUAAUAAUGAACUACAAUAAGACAGAAACUAAAUUGUAAACAAGCGCAUACUCAGUAACAGUAAUCAAGUAACAAGUCAAAACCAGAAUCAAACGUAGAAUUUUGAAAUCCAUACGAACUCUAACGUAUUAGAAUGAAAGAAUAAGGACGAUCGAUAAACUAGAAUCAAACAAAACAUGCCCAGUUAAAAAACGAAGGUAAAUAAAUAAAAAUGAUAUAAAACUGCGAAAAAAAUUAAUGAAAUGACGAGAAAAUCACAGGAAUCCUAUGAAGAGGAAGGUAAACAAAACCUUCGAGAGCUGAGAAGAUGCCUUUUUUUGUUCACUUUUGUGCCUAUACAUACAUUUUUUUUUUUUUUGUAAUUUUGAAGAAAGUAUUGGUUAAAUAUUGUCAGAACGAAAUAUUAAUAAUAGAUCCUGGCAAUUUCAACAAGGACAAUCUUCGAUUCAAAUGUACCCCUAUGAUAAAGAAAAAGCCAGCUUGGCUAAAUUUUGAGCACCACAUUACAAAAUCUUGGUGCAUGUUUAACUAUGCAAAAUGAAACCUCUAUUAAUUGUAAGUCCCUUGACCUCUGGAACCAGCCAACCAGUAUCUUUCCUGUUAGACAAACUUCCAUCGAUCAGACUAAUAAUAUUUACUGAAUCAUGUUCUACAGUUAAUGGAGUUGGACCCAAGGCAAUUGUUAGAAGUCCGCCUAGACAUAGAGUGCGCUUAGAAGUGGGAUGCUUAGAAAUGGGCCGCCAACACAACCAGCCAACCGUAGUGUGCUUAGCAAAUCACUGAAACCCGGCCCAAGAUCUAGAACUAUCUACAAAUUGUAAAUAAGCUAAAAGUUUCUAAGUUUCUCUACAUAGGUCCCUAGGAUAUUUAUGGAAGUUGCUAGGAAGUUUCCUCCCCUAGAACUCUAAUACCUAUACCCUCUCAUUUGCCCACCAACCACACCACACAGACAAACACUCCAGCACACACACAAGCUCUCUAGCUUUUGUAAAAAACUCUCUUGUAUAUUCUCUCUUUGUGAGUAAUAAAAUCAUAUUCAGCCAUAUUGCUACACUUCUCUCUAGCAUUUUCUACAAGUGUUCUUGCUUCGCUAGUUUGAGGAGUGUUCUAGGCUUGCUUAACAACUUGUUCGCUAUAACGACAUCUUGGUCACAAAACAUGGACAUGCAAGAAAAAAAAAAUAUUGAUACGUUCUAAAAAUAAUACGCGUUCUUCUACAGUGAACCAAAAAAUUUAGGAUAAUGGUAGCAAGUGAAAGAAUUGUGAUUUCACGUGCAUUUUGUUGACAUGAACGUAAAGGACUUUUUUUUAUAGUUUAUAUUGUUUAAUAUAACAUUUGAAUUGCAAAAUAGGGGUACAAAAUAGAUACACGAAGUGAUAAAACUAAGCUGAUUAUAAUAAAUAUUGAAUUAUAAGAUUUAGGUUUAAUCAUAAACACAUAAGUGGUGCACAAAGUCACGAAUUGAUAUCAUCCACGAUGCAAGUUCAAACAACUGCAUAAUAAGUUGCCCCAAGCUAAACUAUUAAUCUAGUAACUAUUCCAGUCGAUGUGGGAUAAUUUUCCUAUCACCAUCUAUCACGUGCAAGCCGAAUUUUUUGCUUGGUCCUUACAUGUGGUAAGGUCAUAUGAAUCCACUUGUGCAUAAAUUUGGCUCCGAUACUAUAUAGAAGCCUAUGACCCAAAAUUAUACUUAAAGGUUAUCUCAAGAUUUGAGGAUUGACUCAAGCUAAUAUUAUUAUUAGUCUGGUAACCUUUUUUGUUUGUUGAUAUGUGAUAUUUUACCUAUAACUUUUAUUAAUCUUUAUGCUUAUGUUUUGUCAUUUAUCCCAAAAUAUAACAUUAACACAAGUUCCAAAAUUUCCUUCAAGAGAUAUAUUUGAGACAAGUAAUUUGUGCAAUAACUUUGUAAAUUGAUGAGCAAAUUAAGAGAAAAGAAUAUAUAUGCCAAACAUAACGUUUAUUAUUGUGUUUAUUUGUAGAGCUAUUUAAAGCCCAAAAAAAAAAGCACCGGUCCGCUAUGAUUUCAAAUAAGUUCAAGCCCUAUGUCAUUAUUGGUACAAAAAUGAAUCAGAAAGGUUAAAAACUAUUUUUAUUUAACUUAUAAACUUAGGAAAUUAUCAAAUGUCCGCCCUUAAAUUGCGCUAUUAUAAAAAAUAUUACAACAUUUUCAGGUUGGAUCAUUCAUCUACCAUAAAUUUACAAUCUGCAUCAUUUAUCCACCAAAUCAUUAACUUCGUCAAAAAGUGAUAGACGUCACAAGGGUAAUUUAGACAUUUAACACAAAAAAAUAAAAGAGAAAUUAUCUAAGCUUACCAUGUUAUCAAAAUUGCUACAAAAUUUUAAAUUUUUUCAAUUUUCCAAUCUAAGUUUAUGACCUCCAAGAUGUUAAUUGCAAUUUGUAAUUAAUGACUUCAUAAGGAUAAUUUAGACACUCAAUAUGCAAAAUAAAAAAUAAAAUAAUGGCUUAAAACAUUAAAACAAAAAACUACGUUUUAUAAUUGAUAUUCAAUUAAAUAAACAUAAACUCUAUUUUUUCUUAAUUAAAAAUAUUCUAAUUUAUUUUCUCAAUUUAUCUUCAUAAAUUUACAUUAAUAAACUAAAUCCACAAAUUACCCUAAACCCUAAUUCGUAAAUGCCCAAUCAAUCUAAUAGUUUAAUUCGAUUUCAUAAUUAAAAAAAGCUAAAUUUAUUAUAUUAGUUAUGGUGCAAAGUAAAAAAUGUCCUUAAAUCCAAGGGUAAAAUAGCAUUUUAUUUAAAUUCUAUAAAUUAUUCUAACAAUGUUAACAUUUUGGUGGACGGUUAAUAUAAGUUACAAACUUAAAAUAGAAAAUCAAAUAAAUUCAAAAUUUCAAACUAUUUAUGGCAAAUUUAGGAUAUAUGGUUAAUAAUUUUCCUAUGUCUUUUUACAUAAGUUGAUAGAAGUUACAAACUUAAAAUAGAAAUAAAAUAAAUUUAAAUUUUCAAAUCAUUUAGGGCAAACUUAGGGCAUAUGGUUAAUAAUUUUCCUAUUUUUUUAACGUUAAAUUGAGUUUCAAAGACAUAAUGGUCAAUUUAUUAUAAUUCUAUUAAUUUUUUUAAUGGAAGCAAGCGAUAUAAUGGAUGAAUGAUAUAAAUUGUAAAAUUAAGGUGCAUGAACGAUAUAAUUUUAAAGUAUUGUAGUACUUUUAAUAAUAAAACAUUUUAAAGGUGGAUUGGCGAUAAUUUAAACUUUAAUGAAGCAACUAAAAAAAAUUUUUAACAAAGAAAAAUAAUUGAAUGCUUUGUGAAACCAAAAAUAUUUGAAAUGCUUUAAGAAAAAUAAAGGAAAUUAAAUAUCUUUUUAAAAAACAUAAUUGAGUAAAAUCAUUUUACAAAAUGCUCUUUCAAAUGCACAUUCCACAAGCGCACAUUCCACAAGCCAAGAAGAACGGGUGGCUAACAAAAAUCUCACUUUUUAUGAGUUUAUAAAAUCUCACUUUCACAAAAUCCAAAAAUAACCAAUACUAUCACACAAAAAAUAAAAAGUAUUGCUGUCACGACAUUACACACUUUCUUCGCCGUCUAGAAAGGUAGAACAUUUUGAAAUUCCUAAAUACAAAAUGCGUGCUAUUACUAAAUUGGCCCAAUUAGUGCCCAUCGAAAGGCCAUAGAUUUAGCCACCAAAUUUGCCAAAGUUUUAACAAUUGAAGAAAUAGUGAACUCAAAAGGAACAGGUAAAUUUUGAAGUUGAACAAACCUUAAGGUACGGGAAAUUUGCAACCUACCCCCAAAUAAAUUGACAUUUUGCACCGCGUCCCCAAUAAAUUUGACUUAUUGCACCGCGCACCUAAAAAAAUUGACAUUUUGCACCACGUCCCCAAUUCCGUUACUUUUUCAGUUAUUUCUAACAGCUCCGUCUAACUUUUGAUUGAAUGACAAAAAUGCCCCUCUAUAUAAAAAAACAAAAUUUUUAGCUCAUUUAAUUUUUUUAAGGUUUUUUUUCAAUUGCAAUAAAAAAAAAAUUCUUCUUACAUGUUCAUUGUCACCACUAUUAUUUUUCCUUUAAUUUUUUUAAGAUUUUUUUUUUAAUUUUAAUAAAAAAAAUCCUUGUUACAUGUACAUUUGUCACCACUAUUAUUUUCCUUUAAUUUUUUUAAAGAUUUUUAUUUUAAUUGCAAUAAAAAAAUUUCUUGUUACACGUACAUUGUCACCACUAUUAUUUUUUCUUUAAUUUUUUAAAGAUUUUUAUUUCAAUUUUAAUAAAAAAAUUCUUGUUACAUGUACAUUUGUCACCACUAUUAUUUUCCUUUAAUUUUUUAAAGAUUUUUAUUUUAAUUGCAAUAAAAAAAUUUCUUGUUACAUGUACAUUGUCACCACUAUUAUUUUUCCUUUAAUUUUUUAAAGAUUUUUAUUUUAAUUGCAAUAAAGAGAAUUCCCAUUAAAAUUAAUUUAAGGAAUAAACUUCCAAUUUUACCCCUCCACCGUUAAACUUAAUUGAGAAAAUAAUGGAAUUGGGGGCGAGGUGCAAAAUAUCAAUUUUUUUGGGUGCGCAGUGCAACAAGUCAAAUUUGUUGGGGACGCUGUGCAAAAUGUCAAUUUAUUUGGGGGUAGGUUAUAAAUUACCCCUUAAGGUACAUACAACAAAGCCUUGAACUUUAGUCUUCACAAUUUAAUCACGCAAUAACAUUAAGUAUCCACCUAAAAAAACAAGUAUAGAACAAAGCUUGUUAGCUUCUUGGGCAUUAACUAUGAAUGAUGAGUAAAAUUAAAAAAGCAAACAGAGAAAAUUAUAAGAAGAAUAAAAGCAAACAUUUCAAAAAAAAAUUAUGAGAAGGAAAAUUUUGGUAGAACUCCGUGGCUCAUCUGUGAAAUUAAUGUCAAUAUGUAUUUUUAUGUAAAUAGGGUCUCUGGAUUUUAGGAUGAAUCAAUCAGCUACCACAAACGAAAACAUGAACCAACUAUAUAUAGAGUCAAUUAAUUAAAGUUCUCAAGAGCUUACCUCUGCUCCAGAAUUCUCGGAAUCAUCAAUCUCCUUCUGAAUUUGCGCGAAGCUUGGGACAACCAAGAAAGCGUCCAGGUGGAACUGGGUUUGGAUAACCCGCAGGCCAAAAGUUGGUGAGGUUUGGUAAAUUUAUCAGUUCUAUGCCCUGAAGUUCAUUCGUAACAAUUUCAUUGUAAUCCGUGACGUCUGCUCCACCUUUAUGCCAGAAUACUUCUUCUAAUUCAUCAUUACCUACUACGAAUAGGUACUUCAGUUUUGGAAGACUUGGAGCUACGCUGAUAUGAAAUAGAUGCUUUAGCUUGGGGCAAAAACAGACAGUGAUCCUUGUGAGUUUUGGGAAACAUACAGGUUGGAGAUGAUCCUCAUCCUCAUCCUCAUCAAUGAUUUGCUCUAAUUCCAAGCAAUUCGAAACAGAUAACUCCUCCAAUUGCAACAGAUUUCGAGCAAGUGUUGAUGAGAGGAGCCGUCUCAGCAUAGUGCACCGCUCUACUGUUAAUCGAGUAAGAUUUUGCAGGCUAAAAUUAUGCGCGGGACCUUCAUGAUAUGAUACUCGCAGUUCUCGAAGAUCUUCCAAUCCCAACCCUUUCAAACAUGGGAAUGGUUUGUUUGCUUGUCCCUCAGCGAUAAUAGCUUCCGACUGAAACACCACCAGUACUCCAAUUUUGCUAAUAUUCAAUUCUUCCAAAUUUUUUAAGCCGUGCUUCAACAAUACUGGAAUCGUGUCGCUCAAAUGGGAACAAUUGUCCACAUUUAGAAUUUUAAAGUUCUGAGACAAAUAAAUAAAUAACUUGAUGUAAUUAAAAUCUAUUAGCAGCUAGGAUUAUCACAUGAUAAGUGACGAACACCGCAAAAAACAAAAAUAGAAACAAAAUCCAUACAAAAAUAUAAUAAUACAUAUGUAAACUAAUAAAAUAAUUAAAAAGUAAUAUGGAUUGAUAAUGUGAAGUGACAUAAAGGUAACAUUAGAUUGUUUGAGAAAAAUUAGUAUUUUAUUAAUUUUUAUGGAUUGAUCAACUAAUUAAUUGAAUUUGAGUAAUAUUAUAUACACUUUAGUAAGUGUUUGCAUCAAUUCUUUCUAAACCAAAAUGAGAUAAGACUUGCAUUUGAACAAUGAUUUUAGGCCCUAAAAUAAAGAAAUUUCCCUAAGAUAUUUGAGCAUUAUUAUUAUCAUCACCACAUCCACGAUCAUCAUCAUCUCCAUAGGACCAAAUAAUUAAUGGUUGAUCAUAAAAUUAAUUGCUAAAUUAUCAUUUUGAGUAAAAUUGAAGGAAAAGAAAAAACGUAAACACAAACAAACAUACCUCUUCAAGAUACUGCAAAUUGGCUUCAAGUUCAGUACUGCUGACAGUCAAGUUAGAACAGCAAAUAAGGUCUAACUCUUCCAAUGCUGUCCAAAUUGAACAAUAAUUUUAUGAACAGAAGCUCUUGAGUUUUGGGAGAUUGCAAAGUGUUAAUUUUCUCAACAAAGGGAGGGCAAGCAUCGUAUUUCCAUCUCCGACACUUAUUUCCCCUUCAUUGUAAUCAAACUUUGCUUCGACAAUACAUUCCAUUCUCUGGCAUCCACUUACAAAGAGACUUUUAAGCUGCUUCAAACUUCUAGCUUGUGACAACGUGAAGAUAUAUGUCAAAUUGUUGCACCCAUACACACUCAAUUUUGUAAGAGCUUGGAGGCUGAUCACAUGUUGGACGGGCGCCUUCCAUAUCCACUUCAGUUCUGGUAAUUGCCACAUAGAUAACUCUGCUAAUCUUGAGAGCAUCACAGGAUUCCCACUCUUUCCAUACGGCGACUUAGAGGCAUCCAUUAUGCAUUCUAAUUCUUUGCACUCAUUGGCAGAAAGACAAGGCAACUCAUUUAAGCCCUUUGGAUCUAUGCUUGGCACAAUAUUGUGACAACCUAUAAUCGUUCUUAAAUUAAGAAUUUCCAGUUCUUGAAACAAUGCCGAAAAAAUACCGAUCGAGGUCGCUUCACAAUUAUUAAUCUUUAAGCACCUUCUCUGUCCAAAAAUUUCAUCUUCUUCGUCCAUUAGAAAUUCAAGUUUGUUACCGUUACUGACGUAGUGCCUUUGCAAUUUCGGGAAUGUAAAGUCUUUUGGAAGACGUGCAAUGUUUUUGUCAGUAUGUACAGUCUUUCCGUCGUCAUUUUCUUCUGAACUCAUCCCUUCAGCCUCCCAAUCUUUUAUCCGACCAUAAAAUUCUUCUAAUUGAGGAAAUUUUUUUAUCGUAAUGGGAGAAAUACGACCAGAGUUAAUGAAUAUAAGAAGUUUCAAUGUACUAAGUUGAUCGCCAAAUUCUUCAGGAAUUUCAAUGGGAGACCCCUUGACACAAAGGAUUUGAAGUCUCUUCAACUUUCCAAGGAAAGACGCGUCACUCACGUUACAUCGAAUCAACUGCAGAACUUGGAGGUUGGUGAGGAAUUGAAGCGAUUUAAGUGAAAUGACUCCUCCUACUAUAGUAACAACUUUCAAUGCUGGCAUCCCUUCGAAAAAAUGUUCUGGAAUAUGCAAUUGAUAGUCAUAUUCAAUAUUCUCCAGUCGCAAAAUAUGAAGGUUAGGGCAUACCAAACCACUUGGAAGCUCUUCUUUUUCAUUUCCCAUCAAAGAGAUUCCUCUGUAUUGUUCCAUUGCCCGUUCUGCCAAUUCAAUGCCAACUUUACUAGUAAAAUAUUUUUUCUCCAUUGAGCCUAUCCAUAAGGCUACGUCACGUACAAUGUCAUGCAUUUUUACAAAUCUGUCAUUACCAGCGUCUAAUAGCAGUGAAGAAGCUUUGAGCUCUUUAAUCGUUCCACUCACUAGGCUCCUGGCAUCUUCGAUUGACUCAGCUUGAUACCAAUCCAACGCCACUGCAUAUCCAACCAAAUCCUCCAAAUCUAUCUCAUAAUCUUCUGGAAACAGCGAACACAACAAGAAGCAUGACCUUGAAUCCUCAUCAUUCAAAUAAUCGUAACUAAAUUUGAGACAAUGGUAAACGUCUUGGUCCUCCUUGCCAAUACCUUCUAUUGUAUUAAGUUUUGCAUUUUUUAGUUUAUGUAGAGCUACUUUCCAUUCACCAAAUCCUUUACGGCUUAGUGCACUUCCAACAGCUUUAAUAGCCAAAGGCAGCCCCUUACAUUCAUCAGCAACUCGUUCUGAAACACCAAUCAAUGAAUCAGCAUCAAUGCCGGCAUGCUUUCUUAGUAAAGCCAAUCCUUCUUCUCGCUUUAGAACACCUAGUUGAAUCCGCGUGUCACAACCCAUGCGAUCACAAACUGGCUGAAGGCGAGUGGUUAGAAGGAUUUUGCAACAAUUGUCUAUCUCACCAACAGGAAUACCUACUGUCUCCAAGUCAAGUUCAUUCCAGACAUCGUCAAGGAUUAUGAGGAUCUUGCGGCUUUUACUCUCACAGAACAUCAAGCGCAAUCGGUCUGCUCUAUCAUUUUCAUCUUUCUCCGUUAAUGCCCAACCUAACGACUUUACCAGCUCACUUUGAACAUUUAUUAUAUUUGGAUCCCGAGAUAUAGUGGCUAUCCCUACGUCAUCGAAAAUCUUUUGUUGCCGAAGUUGAUUGCCCGCAAAUUUUGCCAAGGUCGUCUUUCCUACACCACCGAGGCCAUGCAGUCCCACCAUUUUUGUGCUUUCUCUUUUCAGUGAUUCAAUGAUCUGAUUGCAAGCCAGUUCUGUAGUCUCGAAAGACGUAAAAUGUCUUGGUGCGGGCAAUUCUUUGCUUGAAGGUAGAGGUUUAGGACGGGCAACUGUGCUGAAUUUGUCGUAUUUCUUUUGUAGAUCGGACAACUUGCGAGUCUCCUUUGAUGCUUUUCUACCCAGCCAAUAUAGGCAACGCCAAUUAGGACACCAUCCAUUAAGACAACUUUUGUUUUCAUCUAUCUUUGCUUUCAAAUUUUGAACAUUGGCCAUUUCUUUGACUACAUCCGCCAGCCACUUCUCUACAUCUUUCUCGACUACUAUGGCGCGGUGUUUUUGUCGAUCUUGUUCUACUUUUUCAUUGACGCCAUCUUGUGCCUCCUUCAAAUUAGUUUCUUUAUCCCCCAAGUUCUUUAAUAAUGCUGUUGAAGCAGAACAUAUAGCGAGCUUGGUUUAUGGUUGCGUCCGCCAAUAAUUCUCCAAGCUUUGAUGCAACGCCUGAUAAAAUUUCCAUGCUAUUUAUCUGCAAUUAAUGAAAUUGAUCUCAGUAAGAUCGAACGUGAACGUUUAAUUACUUUAAUUUUUUUUUUUGGCUUAUUAACGCCAGCAUUGAAAUUAGAUUACUUUAGAAAUUUUUAAAUAAAAAUAUCAAACAACAAAUUUAAUAGAAUCCAGAUAAACCUAAGAAUUUGUUGUGCAUUGCGAGUGAAGACAGGCAGUUGCAUGGGGAAUAUGAUAAAAGUGAUGCAUAAUUGAAAAGCCACCCAUAAUAACAAUUAAAAAGAGUAUUAGAGAUUAGAGUAGUUCAACAUUCUAUGCAAGCCCACUCAUGAUAAAAUUUGAAUUGUUUCAAGAUGAUUACCUUCUUCUUUUUUUUUUUUUUUACUUUAAUCAAUAUUCUAAUAAAAUAAAACCAUAAUUCCAAAUAAUAUCUUAAUUUCCUUUACCUUCAAAUGUUCAUUAAACUCACAUAUUGGAUAAUUAAUUUAAUUAUUUGUUAAAUUAUUUAUUACCCUAUCUUAUUAUUCAAUAGAUAUAAAUGACACCUUAAUUAGGUUUUAAUUGGAAACAAAUAUAAAAUAUUAUUUUUUGAUUAAUUUUUGUGAAUUCUUUUAAUGUUCGAAUUAGAAUAGAAUAAUUUGUAUAAGGAUGAUUUAUACAAAGAUAAUCUGCAAAAUAAGCUUAUUUGUCGAGUUUAAAAGAGUUAUAUGAGUAAUCAUAUAUUUAUCAAAAAAUUUUAAUAAAAAUUUUGUUUAAAAAUUGGCCAAAUGGGUUUAAAAUAGAAGGGCAUGAACAGCGCCACUUUCAAUUUUUUUUUUUGGUGGUUGUACAAUUGAAAAGACGUAUUGAAAUGGACCAAUUUGAAAUGGCAGGAGAGCAUAAUGGACUCAUGUUGGAACUUGGGUAGGAAAAUUAAUUUUAUUUUUAAAAGUAUGGUCAACAGUACUGACUUGGAGGUGAUUGACGUUAAGUUAAAUUAAUACAAACAAAUGGCAAAAAUAAUUUAAUAAAAAUUAAUUAAUAAAAAAAUGAUUUAAAAAUAAGAACUUAAGUUCUUGAUCAUCAAUAUCCGUAUGUUUUUAAUCCAACGGCUCAGAAUUGGCAUAAAACUAGCCAUUGGAAGUAAAACAAAUAUCAAAUUAAGGGCUUAUGACACAUUAAGAUCUCAUACCUACUUCGUUGUCUAUCCUCAAUUACUGCUGAAAGCUCCAGUUAAGAGAGUUCGCACAAGUUCGGAGAAAAAUAAAAAGCUGCAUAUGGCAAUAUAAAUAAACAUCGGAUCAAAACGACAUAGGAUAUAUCUAGCUAAUUAACUUCUUAUAUAAGUCCUUGUUCUCAGUCAAAUCUUUGAUCCUUAGAAAAAAGAAAAAAAAAAAGAUUGAAAUAAUAACUGUACAUUUUUAAUCCAACGUGCAAAAUUGGCAUAAACAAACUAAUAUAGCAUAAAACAAACAUCAAAUUAAGAGCCUAUGAAAUAAUAAUAUCUCAUACCUUCUUUCUUAUGUAUCCUCAAUUACUACUGACAGCUCCAGUUAGAGUGCCAUAAUUUCCGAGAAAAUUAAAAGCUGCAUCUAGCAAUAUAAAUAAACAUCAGGUCAAAACAAAAUAGGAUAUAUCUAGCUAAUGAACAUCAUAUAUAAGUCCUUGUUCUCUAUCAAAAUCUUUCCUUCUUAAAUAAUAAUAAUAAUAAUAAUAAUAAUAAUAAUAACAAUAAUAAUUGAAAUAAUAACUGUGGGUGAAACAGGAAGCAAAAGUAAUUAACAUACCGAAAUGAGAGCAGCUCACAUAUCUGGUGACUUCCAAGAGAAUGAAAAAUGAAUGACCUUCGGCAGCAAGAUCCAAAUCAUGUAUCACAAAUUGCUACUGACUUCGUGGCUUCACUUUCCUUUUCUUUUUUUCUUUUUUUUUUUUAAUUAAAUUUUAUAUCACAGUGUGAAUUGAAAGGUGAAAAGUGAAAUGGUACACAUGCGUAUGAUGAGGGGGCAAUUUUUAGACACCUCCCCGAGGUUUAAGGUCUUCUGAAUUAGAUGGAUUGUAUUUUCGUAUUAUCAAAUACCUCCCCUGCCCGUUUUUAUUCCAUUUUGUAUAUUCUAAAUGGCUGAAGGUAAAUUGGUAAAAACUCAUUUAAAAUAAAAAAAAAAUCAAAGAAAUUCAAGAAGAAGCUUUGUAUCUGCCAUUUGUAUUUGGGGUAUCUUUUUGGUUGUUGAGUGAAUGAGCUUAAAUCUUAAAUAUUUAUUUUCUUAUUAUAUAUUUCUCAUUGGAAAGAAUUUGAAUCUUAUUCUUAUUAAACUUAUUCUCUUUAAAUAAAAGUAGAUUUCUAUCCAUGUAUUUAGCAUGUAUUUUGAAAUUAAUGUUCAACAUAUCUUUAGAUCCUAUUAUAAAUAUUCAUAUCUAAAAUCUCAACAGAUUCCAACAUAUAAAUAUAUAUAAAGAGAGAGAGUAACGUUCUAAUAAGAAAUUUCUUAAAUUAUCAAAUUAAAGGAUAAUUCAAAAGAUAAAAAAAAUACAUAAUCUAAUAUAUUAUAUAACAAAAUAUACUAUAUUAAAAUAUAUAUUUUGCUUAAUUUUUUAAUAAAUCCCAUAAUAACUUAAGAAACCCUUUAUUUACCUGAUAUAUAUGUGUGUGUGUAUAAUUUUUUACAAAAUAAACAAUUUAGAGUAAAACAAAGGACAUUCUGGGGGCCUUUUGCUAGACUACCAAUCUACCAUUUUGGAUUGCAAUAAAGUGAAAAUACCGGACUACUAUUUUGGAUUGCAAUAAAAUUAAAAUGGGUUACACCAAAAAAGUAAAAAAAAAAAGUGACAAUCAAUCUUGUCGGCCAAUACACCGACUUUUUUGCCGGAUUAGUAUCACCGUCGAAAACAAAUUAUUGCAAGCACUAGCAAAAAGCAAUCGAUGAUUUCGCAAUUUGGUUGUCAAAAAGCAAACUAGAUCACGAUUCCUCAAUUCAAAAUGGGGCAAAAUUAUGGUAUCACAAUGGUACCGUACUACGGCUGGAUCCAACCUACAGUUAUCAUCAUAAUUGGAGCAAACGGUUGGAUUCAUCUGUAGUAUGGUACCACUGUGGUACCAUAGCUGGACCCUUUAAAAUGAUUUUUUUUAAUUAAAUAAGUGAAAAUUAAACCUACAAUUCAAAAUAGAGGACUGUAGAUGCGUAUAAAUUGAAGAAGGUAAAUUUUGUGUGGGCGUAAAUAUUUUAGUUAACAACAAAAAAUUCUAACAAGUUAAUAUAAGAGUAUCAUAGCAGUACAAGAGAUUUUUUUUUUUUUAAUGUUAAGAGUUAUCGAGAUACCCAAUAUAUAUAUGUGUGUGUGAGAGAGUGGAGGAAGAAAAAAAAUAUUAAGAAUAGUUUUGGCAUUUUGAUGGGUUUUAUAGAGUAAAAUCUAUAUUUUCAAAUAUGAUAAUUCUUUAAUUUAAUUUGGUGUUAUGAAAAAAAAGGGCAUUUUAAAUAUGUUCUAGGUUAUAAAUAACUCCAUCCAAAAUUUAAAAAUGAAAUCUUAGGGGGGGAAAAAUUUCACCCGAACUAAGGCCCAAAGUAGCCGCGGCAUUUUUCACCAAUUCUCCAAUUCUCAAUGUGGUGUAAUUAUUUACAAGGAAUAUGAGUAGGGGUGGGCACGGUUCGGUCCGGUUCGGUUUGGAUCGAAAUUAAGCUGAACUAAUUUAAAUCAGUUAUUUUAUAAAAAGAACUAAAUAAGAACCAAACUCAAUAAAAACCGAACAUAAAUGGAUCUUUUCGGAUCGGUUCGGUUUUUUCGGUUUUGGGCCUAUUGGGCCUAUUUUGAAUUUCUAAAUUGUUAGCCCAUUAGGACUCAUGAAUGUAAUAAUUUUAUUCAACAAUUAAUUUAUCCUAAUUUCAUUACAAGUAUUAACAAUAAAUACAAAGUAUUCAAAGCACAUUUUGUCACUAAUAUCUUACUAACUACUAAUAAGGUACUUACAAAAUAUGAAAUAUUAAGAUUUCAAAAUACAUAAUCAAACUCCAAUACUCCAUCUACAUAAAUAUAAUGUUGUAAAGACAAAUAAAAAUAACAACAAUUAAAACUUACAACACAAAAUAAAAAGAAAAUUUAGAAACAAACACCAACAACAAUUUUUAAAUAUAUAUAUAUACCCGUAAUCGUGUGUGUGCAUGCAUAUUUUAGUUAUCUCACGCAACCGAUUAAAAUUUAACACGUGUCUAUUUAAAUAAAAUUCCAAGAAUAACUCGGUUUUUUGGUUCAGCUGAGUGAACCGAAUACCGAACCUGUAUUUCGGUUUUUUUACAAACCAUAUAUUUCAGUUAUUUUUUAAAAUUAAAAUCAGUCCGAACAGAACGGAACGGUUCAGAUCGAUUUUCUCUAGUGCACGGUUUUUUUGCCCACCCCUAAAUAUGAGAUUCUCUACCACUCCAAUUUAUCCCAUUGUUAGCAAUCCUAUUAGCUGUUUUAUAUCCUAUUUUUAUUAUGCUCCCCAAACAAAUAUGUUUCACGUAAAGGUGCCCAACGGGCUGCACCGUCCGUCUGAAUGAGCGCACGAGAGGCUCCACAUGACACGGCAAUCUUUUUUAAUGAGGGCGUGUCUGAUAUGCUCUUUCAAGUCUACAUACCUAACGUUCUUUUUUUAAGUGCAUAUAUUUUUUUUUUAAAGCUCAUGUGAAAUUCAGUAGUAAGAGAAUGCAAUACUAGUUAAUAAGUUAGAGCCUACAAAAUAAUAAUAAUAAUAAUAAAAUUUUCUUUAAGGGUUAACAUUUUAUUGUUAACUUGAAUUUACAUACUGUUAUAGAUUAUAGUCCAUAAUAAUAUUAAUAUUUACAAGUUUCAAAUUAAAAUUUAAUAAUUAACAUUUCAUUAACACAACUAUAUUAUCUAAUUUUGCAAUAACCAAUUAUAAUACAACAAUACAUAAUUCUAAUUUCAUAGACCAUGGUAAUAAAAUCUCUACAUUAAUGAAAAAAUUUAUUUUGAUAUAUGUCGGUCUGCUUGCUAUUGAUGGCCGAUGGUCGUAUGCUAGCCUGCUAAUGAAACAUGUUUAUUAUUGGUUUUUUCAUGUGUCUUGUUUUACCACAUCUCUAAUCAAAUUGUACUCUUAAAAUCCACAGCCUAACCUAGCCUCUGUGUGUGUCCUGUCGUGCCAUACUAUACAAACACGUAUCCGGUACUAUCCCACGUACCGGUCGGCCCUUUGCCAUCUCUAGUUUCACCCCUAAAUGAAAUCUAAACGGCUAUUGGCAAGUAAGAAAACUUGUUAUUCUUUAUUUUGAAAAUAAAGGGAAUUGCUUAGUUUGAUAUUGUUUUUGGUAAGUCAUUUUUUGUUUUGAAACAUUUUUCUGAGAUGUUGUAUUUGGUGAAAAAUAAAUUAUUUUAUUUUAUACUUUUAAUGAAGAAAAGUAGAGAAAAACAUUCUUAUAAGUGCACCCGUGCCACUUUUUUCUUGUUUUAUUUGUAUGAUAAUUAUCAUGGACCCACGUAACUUUCUUUUGCAUUUAAAAUUUCAUAAUAAAUUAAAUUAGACAAAAGAAAUGAGUCCCACAAAUAAUUUAUUUUAUAAUUUUUUAAAUAAUACUAUUUUAAAAUAAAUUAUCAAAACAAAUUUCAUAUUCACUAAAAUUAAUCAUAUUCAUAUUAUAAAAUAAAUUUAAAAAUAAUAUCUGAAAAGUAAUGCUAAAUACACUCUUAAAUUUUAUGUACGGUAUUAGAAUUGAUGAACAAUCUGACAAAGAUGCUGCGACUUAAGUAGAGAUGACAAUUAAAGUUGGAUUUGGAAAAAUUCGUGUCUGCAAAUUAAAAAAAUGUGGAUUCGGAUAUGGAAAUUUGGAAUUCACAUGGAUCCAGAUAAAUUUUAUUUUAAAUUAAAAAUAUAUAUUAAAAAUUAAAUGAAAAAUUAAAAAUAAAUUUUAUUUGUGAUUUUAUGAUGAUGUUUUAUAUUAUUCAUGUUGAAUUAUUAAUGGUUGGAUUAUGAUUGAAUUUUAUUUGAUAUUAUUAGGUAAAUUAUUGAAUUUUAUUUAAAAUUUAAAAUUAAAUUAAAAAUAUAUAUUAAAAAUUAAAUAAAAAAAAUUAUAUUUUAUUUGUAGAUUUAUGAGAUUAUUGUAUGUUAUUCAUGUUGAAUUAUUAAUUGUUGAAUUAUGAUUGAAUUUUAUUUGAUAUUAUUAGGUAAAUUAUUGAACUUUUAAAUUAUAUAUUAAAUUAUUUAAUUUUAAUUUUUACGGAUUUGGAUAUCCAAAAUAUCCUCCAAUAUCCGUUGCGGAUAUUACCCGCUUCUGGAUCCACAUCUUUUUAUACGAAUUCAGAUAUAAAAAUAUGAAUGCGAAUCCGAAUCUGGAUUUUGCCAACCUUGAACCUAAGCAUGAAUGGGCCUAAAGUUUCUACAACAAACAUGGAUCAUUCAAUGACACGACAUGUUUUACAGCUCUCAUUAGUAUAAUUAAAUAAUUAAUUCCUCUCUAUAUUCAACUUACUCCGUCUCAAAUUGCAUGCACAUACAAAAAUACACUUCUGAAUCGUUCACUUGAGGAAAAUUCCAAAUUCUCCACGUAGAAUUUAGAUUCAAACCAUAGCAAAUUAGACAUAAUUCUAAUUUAUAUAGCAAAUAUAAUUAGCGAAGACACUCUUUAUAUAAACAUUAUUGUCAAACCUAAUAAGAUUCAAGGUCUUAACAUACUUCAUAUGAAAUUUGAUCUUGGCGCGUACCAACACGAAUAACAUCAAGACUCUACUUCAUAUAAUGUUAACUUCAUGGAUUUUCCGCUCUCUUGUGGGUCUAUCGUUUGUUUGCAAACUUUUCCAUUUUAAAUUGACAAUUAUAGGCGCUCUCUUGUGGUACAUAAAAUAAACGUUUAUUUUUAGAAUAUUAUUAUUUAUCUCAAUUUUUUAUUUAAUAGUUAAUCUUAAUCAAUUCUUAAACUGCCAUAAUCAAUUAAUUUUUUACAUUAUGGCAUCUUAAAUAAAUUUAGGAUAUGUAAUAAAUAAAAACUGGUAACGUUUGUUCUUUUAAAGCAUAAAAUAACCGUAACAUUGGUUUUUACAUUUUGAAUUUUUCUUGCAUCACUAUUUAGAUUAGAAAAAUGAUGUUAAAUCAACUCACAAAAUAUAUCAAGCCAUCUAAAAUCCAAAUAUUAUUACAUUUGUAUUUGCAUUGUUAAAUUGUUGGAACGACGGCAAAGCAAUUGAAAAGAUAUUAACAAAAAAGUAAAGAUUGGCCAAGGAUUAUUCAUGUUUAGGAAAUGCCUUAACUUUUGAUAUAAUCAUUGUUAUAAUUAUAUUGUAGAAAUAAUCAAUUACCUAAUGUUUGAGGUGGUAAAUAUUAUUAACUUGUUUUACUAUACCCGUGUUUAUGUUGGUCUCCUUUUUGUCCAUUUCUGUACAACGAAAUAUUUGCAUGUUUUGAUAGAAAUUGGUUUAAAUGACAUUUAAAAUAGUAUAUCCCCAGACAAUUAACGAAAUAUUUGGAUGGUAGGAUGAAGUAAUAAAUAGUUUUACAAAUUACCAUAUUAGAGGUAAAAAAAAAAUCGAGAGGUUACUUGACAAUUAUGACAUUACUAACUACAAAUUUAACACAAAAAGUUUAAUUAACUUUUCAUUUUGAGAUGACAAAAUCUCUGCUGUUGAAAACAAUGAGGUUUGAGGUUCAAGCUUGAAUAUCAAGUUACAAUUAGUAGAUAGUCUUAGGACAUAUCAAAGAUUUCUUUAAAGACAAAAUAAUAAUUACAAGCAAUAGGAAAUUAUGGUAUUCAGAACAUGUAACCUUCGCACAUGAAGCUUGAGUCCAGCAAAAGAUGCAGCUAGCCAAUCCUUCAACUUCCAAAACCCCACAAAAUCUGUCAACAUAUCUGCUCUACUUCAAUAUUAAGCACAUUCAUAGUGGCAUCAACAGCUUACAGCGCCAAAAUAUUUUCCCCAAAAAGAGUGAGAGAUUUCACAGAAGCUAAGUUGUGACUUGUGACUGCCCAAAUGUUCUAUAACACGAUAUGAUUAUUCUAGCAACACAAAUCCAACAGCAUGCAACAUAAUCUACUCUCUAACAUUGCGCAUUAGUAAAAUAAAACAGAGUAAAAAGAGAAACCAUGCCUGUGAAUCUCUUCCUUUCCCCCUGCCACCCCUUUUUUUGCUGAAGUCCAUCAAAUGAAAAUGCAGCAUGACCACGUUGGCCACUGCCACUGCCAUUACUUCUUCAACUGUGCCUUUUGUUGCAGGAAAUAUUCAAGAGAAAGAUUGGAUUAUAUAAUUCAAGAUUCCAAUAAACCUGAGCUGCAAAGGUUGCCUUCCACUAGCCUAUCAGAGACUAUGCUUUCUAUUUUCCUAGUUUUUUAAUCAAAAUUUUGCAAGAUUUAUUUAUGGAAAUCUUGGACAAAAUUUUAUGUAAGAUACCAUAAAGCCAAACACAAUCUUUUUAAUUCUCAGCAGCAACAUUUAAAGUAAAAAAAUGGAAGCCAUAUGAAUAUAACUAUGUUUGGUACAAGGAACAAUUAUUUCAAGCUUUCAGAAAUGCUACCAAGAAAUUGUAAGAGAACUUUACCUGGUCACAGAAUAUGUCAAACAUACUACCACCAACUGUCUUUAGCACAAUUGUUAUGAAGUAGCUUCUGAAUCGGAAGAUUCAAGCUUCCACCGGGCACCAUUUUUUUCAUUCUUGAUACAAUCUGCAUCAGUGGCAUGAGUUAUAUCAUCAACAUUUGCAUCCUCACUCUCAUCAUCCCAAUCAAGGCUUCUUCUCCAGCUCUGGAUUAUAAGUCCACUCCGACAUCUUCAAACAUCUCGGUCCUUCCAUUUGCCAACAACCGAUAUGGCUUCCUUCCUUGCCUUUCCCAUUAAUAUAUCACUCGAAGGAAAAAAAGCAUCAGCAAUUCUCUUCAACGCCUCAUCGUUUAUAACCCCCCAAAAAAAGGGUCUUCAGACACCUCAACUUUGCCUUCUGCAAAAUCUCCACAAAAUCUGAAUUAUCCAACACAACAGCCAGACACUCAAUCCUUCUUUUGUCCAUCAUAUCCACCGUAUGAUUCCUCAACAAAAUAUCUACAGCUUGUGGCUUAUCUAACACUGUCUUGAUCCAAAACCCCGCUCUUUUCAACUCAUCUGCCAAACCAUAACCCACUUUUGGAGUCAAAAUUGUCCUUGCAGCCCUUUUAUAUUUUUCCAUCUCCAUCGAAUACUUGCCACUCAAAUGGAAUUACCAGACAGGAAUCCCAGUAACAAGUCCACUCAACUUCUUCUCAUCUGAUCCCUCUUUCACUCGGGCGGAAACAUUAAUAACCAUUCACCAGCCACAAAUUACCCAAGUAAGUACUCGUGUCGUCAACACUUACCCUUCACUUCAUCUACGCAAACAAGAAUUCAAAUUGCUUACUAGCUAGUGCUCGAGCGAAAGCCAGAAUAAUUUAAAUAUGUGUGUGUGUGUGUUAAAAGAGAAACGGUAGCGAAGUUAUUAUACAAUAAAGCAAACCAAAAUAAAUUCUACACUCAUGUGGCGCUCAAAGCCAUGAAUUUGAUAUCAUCCAUGAGGGGAGUUCAAACAACAGCAUGUAAGAAGCAACAAGUGUUGAGAAAAAAAAAGUGACAAAAACAAAGCUAAUCACAAUGAAUGAUAAGGUUUAGAGUAAACAUAAAGUUAUAAUCUUGAACAUAAGUGGCCCUCAAAGCCAUGAAUUUGAUAUCAUCCAUGAGGGGAGUUCAAACAACAGCAUGUAAGAAGCAACAAGUGUUGAGAAAAAAAAUAAAAAUUCAUUCUAACACAGCAGAAUAAAUUGUAAAGAAAUCCCAGUUUGUAUAAAAGAAAGAAAACAAAAUUAAGGAAAACAUAAGCACAACAAAAUUUGACUGAUUAUUAAAAAUGAGAAAUGAGUUAUAAUGAGAAUUUUAGCUUUGUUGUGAAAUAAAUUGGGAAGUAUCCAAAGUACGCAUGUAAAUAAUAUAAAUGAUAAGAAGACGAAGGGAACAAAAUGAUAAUAAGCAAGCCAAAUAUUAAAAUGCAGAUUCUACGCUUCCCCCCCCCCCCCAGUUAGUGUCUCGCUAAUCAUUUUCGAUGUAUCAAUUACAAAGGUAGUAAGCGUACUGUCACGGGAUGAGUAUUUUGCGCAGCUAACCCGUGCGGCACUUAGAUAGUUUUGCCGAAUGUUGCUAAGUAAGCCUAGAACUUCUCGAACUAGAAAAGAGAGCAAUUGAGCCGAAUAAGAGAAAUUGUAUUGCACAAAGAGAGAUUACAAUGCUUGAGUUGCUUACAAUACUUGUUGUAGUGUUUGUUGGAUGCAAAUGCCUAAUGCCAUCCCAUAUUUAUAGGGGAGGCUUGCCAAGCUCUAGAGAUUCUAGAGAAUUCUACCACUUCCUAGCUAUUUACAUGUGCUGGAAUUGUAAGGAGAAUUCUAGAGUAUUUACAAGCUCAUGUGCUAGAGUUGCCUAGAAUGUUCCGGAAUUGGGCCAAGCUAGCACUCUUAGCCUUGUGUUGGCUCUCUAGCCCGAAAUUGUGGGCAAUUGGGCUAGCGAAUUGGGCGGUCCACAACAUCCUCCCCCACCUAAGCUCGCGGCAUCCUCGUCGCGCUUUCGUGCUUGAAGUGUUGAAUGUGCUCGGCGAAUUGCCACAAAUCCUCUUCACGUUCCCAAGUGACUUCGCUCUCGGGGAGGUUUUUCCACUUCACCAAGUACUCGCUAUGUGCUGGCACGCCUCUCCUCGAAACCACGCGGUCUGCAAUGAUGUAGUCCACAUCUUUGUCGAACGCGGUGAAAAUGGUGGUUGGCCGCGCCUUGAUUCUCCGCGACUUGGGUCUCCCAUGUCUUCGUGAUAUGGCUUGAGAAGAUUCACAUGGAAGACCGGAUAGAUCUUGAGUUUUGGCAGAAGUUGAAGUUGAUACGAGACGUUGCCCACACGUCGAACAACUCGGAAGGGUCCCUCGUAGCGCCUCACUAACCCCUUGUGGACUUUCCGCAACGUCUUGAAUUGUUGGGGUAGGAGCUUGAUCAUGACUUGAUCACCUUCCGUGUACUCAACACGCCGUCUCCUUGUAUCCGCCCAUUUCUUCAUUUUCCUCGCGGCUUUGUCGAGGUAGGCUCGCGUGAUGUCUGCUUCCUCAUGCCACUCGCGGGCGAGCUUGUGUGCCGCGGGGCUUUUCCCUCCAUAAGUCGAGGCUAUGGCAUUGGGGGUCAUGGGCUGGAAUCCCAUGAUGAUCUCGAAUGGACUCUUGCCCGUAGCCUCACUUCGCUGCAAAUUAUAAGAAAAUUGGGUGAUGUUGAGUAGCUUCGCCCAACCCCGCUGAUGAGUGCUCACAUAAUGCCUCAAGUACAUCUCGAGGAGGCCAUUAAUGCGCUCGGUCUGCCCAUCCGUUUGUGGGUGGAAGCUGGUCAAGAACUUAAGAUCAGUCCCCAACAUCUUGAAGAGCUCCGUCCAAAAGCGUCCAGUGAACCGAGGGUCUCGAUCGCUCACAAUGCUCUUUAGAACUCCCCAAAGCUUUACGAUGUGCUUGAUGAAUAGGCGGGCUGCCUCGUCCGCUUUGCAAUCGACUGGUGCGGCGAUGAAUGUGGCGUACUUGCUGUAUCGGUCGACAACGACCAUGAUGCUACCACAACCUUCGGACUUGGGCAGCGAUGUGAUGAAGUCCAUGGAGACACUUUCCCAUGGCCUUGUUGCUAGUGGUAGCGGCUCCAACAAUCCCGUUGAAAGUUGAUGAUCCACUUUGUCUUGUUGGCAAACAAGACAAGUUCGCACAUAUGCCUCGAUGUCGUCCCUCAUGUGUGGCCAAAAAUGCGAGGCUUGAACUAGUGCGGUGGUGCGCUCGAUUCCUGGGUGACUAGCCCACUUGGAGUCGUGGCACUCCUUGAUUACUUCCUUCCGUAAGUUUCCCCACCUUGGCACGAACAGCCGAUCUCCCUUGGUGAGGAGGAUGCCUUCCUCUUGCCAAAAUCGCCUUGUCUUUCCCUCGAGCAACUUUUCCAGCAAAUUCUUUGCUAGCGGAUCUUGUUGGAGGCCUUUCUUGAUGCGUGAGAUAAGGUCGGACUUCGGUUGGCUCAUGCUAAGUGUUGCCAAUUCCGCCUUGCGGCUUAGAGCGUCCGUAACGACAUUGGCUUUCCCUGGUUUGUACUCGAGCCGAUAGUCGAAUUCCGCUAGAAAAUCCUGCCACCUUGCUUGCUUCGGACUCAACUUCUUUUGUGUUUGAAAGUAGCUCGUUGCUACGUUGUCCGUCAUAAUCGUGAAGUGAGAGCCUAGCAAGUAAUGUCGCCACACUCUUAGACAAUGGAUGAUGGCUGUCAUCUCCUUCUCUUGCACCGUGUAGCGGCGUUCCGUAUCAUUUAGCUUUCGACUCUCGAACGCUAUAAGGUGGCCUUCUUGCAUGAGGACUCCCCCUAUGGCGAAAUCCGAGGCAUCCGUUUGGACUUCGAAGGGCUUUGUGUGGUCCGAAAAGGCGAGGACUGGUUCCUCCGAAAUUGCCUUCUUCAACUCCUCGAAUGCGCGUUGGCAUCCUUCGGACCAAUGCCACGUUCUGUUUUUCUUGAGCAUAUCCGUCAAGGGUGCCGCCUUGGCCGAAUAGCCCUUGAUGAAGCGGCGGUAGUAGUUCACCAACCCAAGGAAUGAGCGAAGCUCGGGCACUUUUGAGGGAGGUUCCCAUUCGAGGAUGGCCUUUACUUUGGCGUUCUCCAUCAUGAUCUUCCCGCCCGCAAUCUUGUGGCCAAGGAACUCCACUUCUUGUUGGGCAAACGAGCACUUCUCCAACUUGAGGAAGAGCUCGUUGUCUCGGAGCACUUGGAGGACUUGUCGCAAGUGUUGGGCAUGAUCCUCGAGCGUGGUGCUAUACACCACGAUGUCGUCCAAGUACACGACCACGAAGCGGUCGAGGAAUGGUUGGAGCACCUUGUUCAUGAGCGUGUAAAAUGUGGCGGGUGCAUUAGUAAGGCCAAAAGGCAUCACAAGGAAUUCGAAAGACCCGUACCUUGUUGUGCACGAUGUCUUCGGUUCGUCUCCCUUGACGAUGCGCACUUGGUAGUACCCGGAGCGCAAGUCGAGUUUGGUGAAGUACCGCGUUUUGCCAAGCUGGUCGAACAAGUCCGCGAUCAAGGGAAUCAGAUACUUGUUCUUGAUGGUGAUAUUGUUGAGCGCUCUAUAGUCGAUGCACAUCCGCAGCGAUCAAUCCUUUUUCUUUUGGAAGAGCACGGGUGCACCGAAUGGGGCCUUUGAGGGGCGAAUGUAGCUUGCAUCCAGCAAGUCUUUAAGUUGUCUCCGCAACUCUUCUAAUUCGGGUGGCGCCAUGUGGUAAGGCGCCAAGGCUGGUGGCUUCGCACCUUGUUCCAGCUCGAUCGCAUAAUCUACCUCUCGUCGAGGUGGGAGCUUCUUCGGAAGUUCUGGAGGCAUCACGUCCUUGUACUCGUUGAGGACUUUUUGUAUUUGCGGAGGGACUUGGCUUGGCUUGUUUCCGCAAUCUCCUUCCUCGUUUAGUUCCCGAAUGGAGACCAAGAAGCUUGGGUCCUUCUUGAAAGCCCUUUUGAAUUGCAUGGCGGAGAGUGUCUUCUCCUCGGACUUGCCUCGUUUCGUGGGAACCAUGCAUGCCUUGCUCCCAUCGAGGAUGCUUAGGGAGUUUGUAGCGGGCAGCGGGAAGGCAUGGACUUGAUCGAAGAAUUCCAUGCCGAGGACCAUCUUGACGUCAUCCAUGGGCAUAAUGGAGAAGUCAAGCUUUCCGCUCCACGUACCAAGUGUAAUGUGCACGCCUUGUGCGAUUCCCGCAAUUGGCUUGGCGGGUGAGUUCACAGCCUUCAUCGUGCCUCCUUCCUUGGUGGCCUUGAGGCCUAAGCGCUUGGCCUCGUCUACGGACACGAAAUUGUGCGUUGCUCCCGUGUUUAGCAGUGCGCGAACGGACUGGCCGUUUAUUUUCGCGCUUACAUACAUGAGCCCUUUCUUGACAAGUGUGGGCUGUUGGCGAUUGAGUGCGCCAAGGCGUUGGAGAGAACCCAUGCUGAGUUGGGGUUCCUCCGUGGACAUUGUGGGGUUGCUCUUGAGUUGGGCAGCAAGAGCAUUAAGCGACCUCUUCUCCGGACAGUCGCGUACCCAAUGAGGACCGUUGCAUAUGAAGCACGGGCUUCGUGGCUUUGGCGCCUCCUUUUUGCCCUCCGAUUUUCCUUACUCGCUCUUGUUGCUAGGCGGCUUUUUCUGCCCCCAAUCUUUGCGGUUGUUGCCCUUGUCCUUGCGACUAUCUCCCCCACCUUUGCCUUGGUUGGCCUUUUUGUCCUUGGAUUGGGUAGAGUAUUUGGUGAACGACUCCGCAAUGGCGAUGGCGUCGUCAAGUGUUUGAACACCACGCCUAUCAAGCUCGGUCUUGGCCCAAUCCUUGAGGCCAUCUUGGAAGUAGAAGAGCGAAUCCUUGUCGGACAUGUCGCUUAUCUCCAACAUAAGGGUAGUGAACUCAUUGAUGUAGUCCCGAAUGCUACCCGAUUACUUGAGGCGACAUAAGCGCGCUCGCGCUUCCUUCUCCGCAUUGCUUGGGGCGAACUGCUUUCGGAGUUCUUGCUUGAAGUCGGCCCAAGUGUCGAUGGUGCAAAUGCCCUUGCCCAUCUCGCCAUGCUUGUGACGCCACCAUAGUUGUGCAGCACCUCUAAGAUAGGUGGGUGCAGUGCCCACUUUCGAUGCCUCAUCUCGAACACCCAUGGCAUCGAAGUAUUGAUCAAGCCCGAAUAGGAAGUUGUCCACGAUUGUGGCGUUGCGUGUGCCAUCGUAGGUGUCGGGCUUUGGCACAUCAAUGCGGCGCGCAUCACUCGAGUUUGCAGAAGCUGGACUUGUGGAGAGUGUGCGCUUGUGCCAUGCCCAAUCUGAGCGGACUUCAUCCACUUCCGCACGGACAGCGCGUAGUUCGUCCUGAACAAAACUACGAAGUUUGAGUAACUCAUCAUGGAAGGAACGAAACUCACCUUGGAGAGUGUUUGCUUGCUCUUGGAUGAGAGCUUUGGUUGCCACCGUGAACUCGGCGUAUUCCCCUUCGAAACCGUCCACUCUUUCCUCCAAUCCCUCGAGGCUAUCUUGAGCGGUGGACAAAGUGAUUUCGAGAGUAGUCACACGAGGCUCCAACACAUCCACGGAUGGGGCCUUGGACUUGCCACGAGUCUUGCCUUGGGCGCGUUCUCCCUCGCGGCCGCGGCUUGGUUCCGGUGGAACAUCCACACCAACAACACCCUCUUGUGCUACGUUCGAAGGGUUGGCCAUUGCUCGUGAGCUAACUUGCGUGUGUGCAAACCUUAGCUCUAAUACCACUUGUCACGGGAUGAGUAUUUUACGCAGCUAACCCGUGUGGCACUUAGACAAUUUUGCCGAAUGUUGCUAAGUAAGCCUAGAGCUUCUCUUACUAGAGAAGAGAGCAAUUGAGCCGAAUAAGAGAAAUUGUAUUGCACAAAGAGAGAUUACAAUGCUUGAGUUGCUUACAAUGCUUGUUGUAGUGUUUGUUGGAUGCAAAUGCCUAAUGCCAUCCCAUAUUUAUAGGGGAGGCUUGCCAAGCUCUAGAGAUUCUAGAGAAUUCUACCACUUCCUAGCUAUUUACAUGUGCUGGAAUUGUAAGGAGAAUUCUAAAGUAUUUACAAGCUCAUGUGCUAGAGUUGCCUAGAAUGUUCCAAAAUUGGGCCAAGCUAGCACUCUUAGCCUUGUGUUGGCUCUCUAGCCCGAAAUUGUGGGCAAUUGGGCUAGCGAAUUGGGCGGUCCGCAACAGUACGCCUCUAAUGUUUUGCCAAGUGUCCAUUGAUAAUAUCACAAGGGAAAUUAAAUUGGUGUAUGUGUAUUACACCUCCUAAAGUCAUGUUAAGAUAGUUAGUGAGCUGAUAAAGUUUGUUGCACAUGUGAGUUGGUUAAGUCUGCUAGAAAUGCAAACGUGUAAAGCUUAGUUAGUUAAGGUUGUUACGAAUGCUUAGAUUCAGUUCACGUGUAUUGUAUGUAAUGCUUAGAUUCAGCUCAUGUAGAUUGUGUAUACAACUUUCUAAUAUUCUUUAGAUCUCAAUAUAAAUACUUGUAAUCAACAAAUACAAUAAUAAGAGUCAUCAUUCUUCAUUUUCUCUAUGUUUCUCUCAUAUUUUCUCUGCAUCCAAACACAAUAUUCUCAAUUCUUGACUUGGUAUCAGAGUUGCAGUUUAAUUGUCAUGGCUUCCUUAAGCACAAAUUCAAACACAAAUCAGUCUCCUUCAUUCUUUACCCUCACAAAUGCGAUCAAACUGGACAGAUCUAACUAUACGAUCUGGAAAUUUCAGAUCCUCUCUUUAGUGCGUGCCAAUGGACUUGAAGGCUUUCUUAAUGGAACUAAAAUUUGUCCAGAUCAGUUACUUACUCAAGAGAUUGAAAGUUAUGGUGUUGAAAAUGUUGUUGGUGAAAGCUCAGCUGAUAGAUCUCAAGAGAAUCCAGCCUUUGUUGCUUGGAAAAGGUAGGAUCAAUUGUUAUUAAGUUGGCUCAUGCCCUCCAUCAGUGUUGAGAUACUUAGUCUUGUGGUAAAUUUUGAUUCUUCUUAUAAACUUUGGACUAAUCUUGAAGAAAAUUUUUGGAUUAGAAACUAUGGCUAAGAAAGCACACUUAAAAAUGAUGUUAAGCAAUCUCAGAAAGGGAUCAAUGCAAUAACUGAGUAUUUUGCCAAACUUAGAGCUGUAACUAAUAAACUUGCUCUAACUGGUAGCCCUGUUUCUACUCUAGACUUUAUUACUUAUCUAAUCUCUACAUUAGGCCAGCCAUACUACCCUGUUGUUUUGUAUAUUGAAGCUAUUGUUUUGUAUAUUGAAGCUAAUAUGAUGAAAAUAUUUGUCAAUGAAGCCUAUUCUAUGCUUUCAACUCAUGAAGCAAGAAUUAAAUUUAAUCAUCCGAGUGCAAAUAAAGAAGCAAAGUUGAAUUAUGCUGCUAACAUAGCUUAGGCUGGACCUAGUAAUAACAAUAAGAAGUCUAGUAAUCAAGCUAAUUACUAUCAGGGCAACCAAGGUAACGGGAAGAGAAAUGCUCAUUGGUGUGGUAACAAUGGAGGAAGAGGUGGCUUUGGCAGAGGUUUUUCAGGGCAAGGAAGGGGUAAUUAGAAUAAUGGUGGUCAUUGGAACAAUGGACCUUUGGAGUAGUAGUCGAGCAUGUUAUAAUGGUUCUGAUAUAAACAAUAUGACAUGGUUGCUGGUGAACCUGUAAACAUAACCACAAAAGUAAGAAGGCAUAAUCUUUUUAUAAGAAACUCAAAAAUCGGCAUGGUGCGAGUAAAACACCUUUGCAACCCAAUCAGCAAACUCCUUUGCAUUGGGCACAGUAGCGGAGAGGAACACAAAUCGGGAGUUCUUUGGAGCCAUCACAAUGCUCUCUUCCCAUACCACACCUCUCUCACGAUCCCGCAUGUAAUGUACCUCAUCAAAUAUAACCCAAGCCACUUCACGCGUAAUCUCUGAGCCUUUGUACUGCAUACUACGCCAGAUUUCAGUAGUCAUCACCUGAAAUUAAACUUCAUAUAAGCAAUCCACAAAUCAAAGCGCUGCAACACCCAAAAGAUGACACUACCAAGUUGACCUACCAAACAAGAAGCAUUAGGGUCAAUUGUGACAUCCCCAGUCAUCAAACCGACAUCUGAAAACUCUUCUUUAAACUCCCUGUACUUCUGAUUGCUGAGUGCCUUAAUCGGUGAAGUAUAUAUCACACGUUGCUUAUUCCGCAACGACAUAGCAAUAGCAUACAAUGCUACCACAGUCUUCCCAGCAGAUGUAUGGGCCGAUACCUGUCAAAUAAAUGAAAGGCAAACCCGAUUUUUUUUAUAAAAAAAAAAAAGAGAAAAAAAACUAUUUUUAUUUUUCACGCAAGAUAACACUUAAUGCAAAAAUUAUUAUCAGUGAGCUGAAAAGCAGAGCGCUUUGUACGAAAGCACUUCCAAAUUCGAAUUAAAUUUUUUACAAAAAAUUACAGCUUUAUAUAUAUGUGUGUGCGCGUGCGUAUAAUAAUAAUAAUAAUAAUUAACGAACCGUAACGGACUCGCCGUUGUCGAGGCACUUGAUAGCUUCGGACUGGAAUGGGUCGAGAGUGAAAGGGAAUUCCUUAGCAGGUUUAAACAUAAAACGCGGCGUUUUCAUGGACUAGUACAUUCCAUGCUUCGAAAGUUUAUGUUUUAGACUGAUUGGUUUGAUACAUUAUUUGUUUAUUGCGUGUUUCUUGCUUUAAAUAUUAUGUUGGAUUGAUAAGUUUUGUACACAUUUAUAUUGCUCGCAGUAAAUAAUUUAUUACAUUUAAAAAACUAUCAACCGUCUAUCAAAAGAUUUCUACCAUAAAUAUAUAUACACAAAAAAACUUUUAAUUUGGUCAAUUUGUUCUCUUAUUUAUUUUUGUUCUAUUUCUCUUUUCCUUUCAUUUCAUUUUAUUUUUUUAUGGUACAAAAAAAAAAAACCUUAAAAUUUAAGGGUAAAAUACUCAUUUUACUAAAUUCCGUUUAAUAUCAUAAUGCUGUCAAUGGACAAUGGCAAAGUACACGGGGAAAUUUAUAGUAAUAACCAUUAAAGUUUUUAUUUUUUUCAUCUUAACCCCCCAAAAAUAUUUCUAUCAACAUUAGCCAUAAAACAACCUUUGAGACCAAAAUACCCUUCUCCCUCAUCUCUCCCCCAACACUCCCUUUCACUCAUCUCUCCCAAACCGAUCCAACUCCCAUCAUCGGCGGCAACAUCAACCCUCGUUGGCGGCGGCUCCAUCUCUCACCGGCAUCCGAUCUACGAUCUACAACCUUCAACAAAACCUAGGUUAGUCAUUUUUCUUAUUUUCAUUAAUUUAAAAUGAAAUUUUAGAAUAAUAAUGGUUAUAGUUUGAGAAUAAUGUUGAUGGUGGUGGUGUUUGUGGUGGUUGGUGGUGUUUGGGAGUAUUGUUUUUCGAUUUUGGAGUGUUGUGGAUUAAUUUUGGGGGUGGGGAGGGAGGGGGGUAGGGCGCGCGCGCGCGCCCAUCGCUGGGCAGCAGCGCGAGCCCAUGCGCGGCCCGCUGUCGCACCAAAUCUGGUGCUACAGGCCCUGUCGCCAGAUUCACCUCCCGACUCAGUUCAGCAAGUUCAGAAAAUAACUCAUACCACUAAGUGAUGCCGAUUAGUGUUGAUCCGGAUAGAUUAUGAUCGGAUUUCACUUUUAUCGUUGUCUUUUGCCGUCGCCGUUGGCUGAUGAUUCAAGAGUGGCAAGCUGCGUUUAGUUUGACGAUAUGGGUGAAACAAUGUUGCUUUUGGUCUGUAAAGAAGGGUAAUUUGGGGAGAAAAGCUUGUGUUUGGCUAAUGUUGAUAGAAAAAAAUUGAGAGAGUUAAUUGUGAAAAUAACAAAAUAUUUAUGGUUACUUUCGUAAAUUUUCCAAGUACACGAGUGAUACAAAUUAAAAACAAAUAAAUUGAAAGUUUUUAUGUAUUUUCCUUUUAUUUUUUAUAGCCGAUUGAGAUUUCCCUUCGUAUUCUUAAAUUCAAUACGUUUAGACCGUUUAAAAAAUUUUAAAUUAAAAAAAAAACCCGUGGUGUAAUAACAAACUCACAUCAAACCCUGUCCACUGUCAUCCCUAAUAAUAUUUACCACUUCUUACUCAAGAGUGAUAAUAACUGUGUAUCACAAUUGAUUUUGCAUACGGGUAAAAGUUCCAAGUCCGGAUAUUUAGUUAAUGAAAUUGAUGAAAAGGGCAUGAAAGAAAAUAAGAAAUUAAAUAAUACAGGUGGUAUUAAUCAUUACAUAUUUAGUUAAUGAAAAUUGAUGAAAAUAUUUCUGCAGACAUGAGCCGUAAAUAUAAUACCGUUAAGAAUGAAGCAGCAGAGGUUCCCCAAACAAGCUAAAACACGGCACCUGAAUUUAAAGAAUUUUUAUGUCACAGUAUCGGGACAAAAAGUUUAAUGCAACAACAUACAUUAAGUUAAUUCCAUAAUCUAUCACCAAAGAAAGACAAACACAAGCUUAUAAGAUUAGAACUUUGGAAAACAUUGAAGAGUCGGACAAAAUUGUGUAACCUUCAGAGUUUAGAGCCUAGUUCAUCCAGGAAAGCAAAAGAAAAAUAAUAACAAUAAUAAUGGUGGUUUGAUCUCAAAAGGUGGCAUCAAAGUGGUAACUUUGAGGUAUUGGAAGCAAUAACGUCUUCAACUUUGUCCUGAUUUCGAAGUCCCUUAACCCAUCCGCCAUCAAUGGAUUGAAUGCUUCCAUUCAACCAUCAUCCACAAACUCACCAACCCGUUUCACCUUCAUCUCCUCCGGCUUAACAGGGUACUUCCCAGAGAAGCAAGCAUAACAAAAAUUCUGAGAAUCAUCGCCUAACAUCUUGUUCAAGCUAACAAUCAGCAGAAAAGCAAGCGAAUCACACCCAAUAAACUCCCUGAUUUCCUCAACGCUCAUCCUGUUGGAAAUCAACUCCUCACUACUUGGAGUGUCUACUCCGUAGUAACAAGAAGCUAUGAUUGGUGGGCUUGCAAUUCUCAUGUGAACCUCUUUAGCUCCAGCCUCCUUAAGCAACCUAACAAUUUUCGAUGAAGUUGUUCCUCUCACUAUCGAAUCAUCCACAACCACAACUCUCUUUCCCUCCAACACUCCCGUUACAGGAGAGAGCUUAAGCUUGACACCAAAGUCCCUAAUCUUCUGGGAAGGCUCAAUGAAAGUUCUCCCAACAUAGUGUGACCUUAUCAACCCUUGUUGAAAUGGCACCCCGGCUUUCGCAGUGUACCCAAGUGCAGCCACCACUCCAGAAUCUGGUACUGCAAUCACAACAUCACACUCAACAGGAGCCUGGGUAGCAAGUACUUCCCCAAAAUGAUACCUCGACUCAUAAACAGACCUUCCAAAAACAACAGAAUUAGGCAAAGCAAAAUAAAUAUGCUCAAAGAUGAACUGCUUAGGUUCAGGGUGAGGCAUCAAACAAAGUGAUUGAACCCCAUCUUUAUCCACCAUCAAAACUUCACCGGGAUAUACCUCUCUCUCGUAUGUGGCCUCAAUCAAAUAGUGCACAAGUCUCUGACGCAAAAACCACAGCACCAUUACUCCUCCUACCCAUCACCAACGGCCUAAACCCGUACGGGUCACGAACCACAACAAGCGUAUCCUCAGUAACAAACACCAUUGAAUAAGCACCCUCAAGCUUCUCACAAGCAUCCACAAUCCUCAAAAAGAACGGCCUAGCUUUCGAUAUCGCAAUCAAAUAGAGAACAACCUCAGUAUCAGAACUAUUAUUAAAAAUGGAACCAUUAUCUCAAGCUUUGCCCUCAAAGUAUUAUAAUUAACUAAAUUCCCAUUAUGUGCAACACCAACAGAACCAAACCUGUACCCAGCAACAAAAGGCUGCACAAUCUUAAGCAUAGAACUACCGCAGUCGAAUAUCUAACAUGACCAAUGGCCAUAUCACCAGGCAAUUGAUCAAGUUUAGACUGAUUAAACACAUCAGAGACUAAACCAACACCGGUAAUACACUGAAGAACUUUAUUAUUCACAGCAACUAUACCUGCACCUUCUUGGCCGCGAUGCUGCAGAGCGUGCAGCGCCAAAUAACACAAACGCGAGGCCUCUGGGUCACCGUAGAUGCCCACAACACCGCACUCCUCACGGGGCUUAUCGUCGUCAUCAUCAUCAAAACUGCCAAAAUUGUCAUCUGGGUAUUCUUUUUUGUGGUGACAAACUCAUUGAUGGGGUUUUUUGAUAGAACAGUGAAGUUAUUUUUGUGGGUUAAAGAUUGUUGUUUCUGAGGAAAAAAAAGGGUUUUUUUUUGCAGGGUUUUGGAGAAAAUAGAAUGAUAGAUUUUUUGCGUCGGCCUAUGAUUAGCAGAGGGAGAUGGGUUUGAGAGAGGGCAGAUAUUGGCGGUGCUUGUGGUUGUGGCUGCCGUGAAUGGCUAAUUUUAUUUUAUUUUUUUCGGUUGCUUUGCUCAAAGAAAAAACAGAGGAGGUGUGUGGAGGGAGACAGUGGCGAAGGGUACUUUAAGUAGAGGGGAACUUGUGAGGGAAUCUGAUGCUGUGUUGUGCGUAUGAUUCAAUUACUUACUCAUAGCAAGAGGUGGUCAAUGGG
rnacentral:lncRNA from 1 species